rnacentral:lncRNA from 1 species
UUGAAAUGGGAGGUGGCCCCCCAUCAUAUGGACGAUGUAGGACGUGAUAAUAUCAACUUGCGAGCUGACCAGGAACUAAGUUGAUGCGCCGUUGAUCCGCUAGAUUUGGUUGGAUGCUGGUGGUGAGUUGCCGAACCCAACGAAUACAUUCUGAAGUCGGAUGGGGUGGCGGAUUAGGGUGCAGGGGGAGAGCAGGGACUGCCCCGGGAAAGGGGGCCGCUGGCGAAGUUAACCACCCUGUAACAACAUACAUCCAGGUUAUAGAAGCCGUCUGACCCAAACGGCCCAUCAAUUUUGAACCAAGUCUCCCUGACAAACGUGUCGUACAUGCGUGUAGUAAUUCGUACAUGCGUGUAGUAAUUCGUACAUGCGUGUAAUAAUUCGUACAUACGUGUAGUAAUAAGCUGCGGGUUAGCGCGUUGGCCGCAGAAACCCCACCUCACCCACACAAGGAGUGUAAGUCGAUCCGCCUGACGACCAGCACCUGCCCCCCACCUGACGGGCAACCACCGAUCAACCAAGAAAGUAACCCUAAGAGCGGAAAAGGAGUUCCGGUGGUGAGUGAGAUGUGUGGAGAUGUGUGCCACCUGCACCAGCCGCCUCCGUGCGCCGCAGCCACAGAACCGCCAAAAAAUAUACCCGCACCGGCUUGAUCUCGCUGAUCAACCGGUGCUAUACUGGUUUCCUCAACAAUACUGCAGAAACAGCCCCAGGGGUACAACAGGAUGGCAUGCUAUGUCAUGGCAUGUGCCUGCCACGUGUGUUGUGUGUCUGGAGGACCAGGCGAUAGGUGGACUCGCUGGGCAUUGGGUAGAUGGAUUUUGGCGCUGGGGAUUUUGUCGGCAAUCCUUGCGACAUGGACCUCGGUGUUGAUAAUGCAGACAGCCGCUUUCGAUACGGCCCCCUGGGACCUGGUUGACAAAGGUGUGCUUCAAACCAAAUUAGUAAUGGUUGCAAGUAAUGCCUGACAAAGCAUUGCUGCUUCCGCCACCUCAUUUAUAGCUGGUUAAAUUUUACAAUAUAGUAUGUAUGUAGCUACAAGCAUUUUACUUGAGAGCACGAUGGCGAGACUUUGCGUGCUGUUUCGAGCUGCAUUGGACUGACCGCGGAAGUAGGUAACUUCCCGUUACCUACUUCCGCGUAAUUUACCUACUUCCGCACUUAUCAUAAACUAAACUGCUCCCUUUCUACAGAGGCAAGGUGACUGGAAACAUUGCUGCUUUGGUAUCCAAAGUCGAAAUGCAAGAGAACACUGUCGCCAGACGACGCGUCGCCUUUCAGCUUGUCGCUAUCCCAGGUUUUUUCUUAAAAAGAAUUGACAUUGAUUUGCCAUAUUUUCAUGUGCAGGCUGGCCGUCGUUUUCAUGUACGACCGAUGCUCUGCUCGGGCCGCAGGCGUUCUACUGCCCCCUAUCCACCGAUCAGCCCCUAAGUCCCAUCGGCGUUCCUUCUCUCCUACAGCCCAUCACAGCCACUACACAAAGAGAGCGUCUCCUCCCCGCCCAAUCCGAGUUUCCCCACAUGCGCACAACGCAGCCUCCCCCACUUGCCAUCAACGGACCCUCACCAAUCUAUCCCACCCCACAAAGCUUGUCAUCCAUGCGAGCUGCUGCCUGAUUCAAUAGCCCAACACGUCCAUCCAAUAGCUUAAUUGCCAACGCAGCGCCACCAGGUCCAGUCAAAUGUCCUCAUCACGGCUCGUACAGCACUCGGCAGUUGGUGAUGAGCACGUCCGGCACGGGUCGCUCGUUAAUGUAGGUUUGCAGGUUCUCCAGUUUGGCUAUACAUUCCAAACCUGAGGGAGGUUGGAAGGGGGGUUGGAAGGGGGGUUGGAAGGGGGAAAAGACGAACCAUGAACGAGUGAAGCUGCUGCCAAAGAAAGAGUGUUGGAGGGGGGAGUGAGGGAGGGAAAAGGAGCGGACAGCUAGGUGGAAGUAAUGCGUGCCAAGCUAGGUAGGUUCGUUAUUUGGUAGGUACGACAGAUACGGAUAUAAUCCGUAGGUACGACGCAUAGGUAAGUAGGUAGGUAGGUAAGGUUCAGCAGGCGAAUAAGAUGAGCAUAAGUAGUUAGUUAAAGAAGUAUGGCAGGUAGGUAGGUAUGGUUUGCGGAUCGGAAAGGUAGGUACGGAGCAGGUGAGUAGGUAGGUAGGUAUGAAGCACUUCGAUAAAUCCGGUUUGCAGGUGAGUAGGUAGGUAUGAAGCACUUCGAUAAAUCCGGUUUGCAGGUGAGUAAGCGGAAAUGAUAUCCCUAGUAGUAGUAGCCCUACGUCCUUUAUGCGCUUGCAGUUGCAACACCCCCCGCCGCCUCACCUUCCAAUGUAAGCACCUUGCCGAACGCCACCCGCUUGCCGUCCAGGAAAGGCAGCGGCGAGAGGGUGAUGUAGAACUGCGAGGCGGCGGUGUGGGGUUGGCCUUUGUUGGCCAUGCCCAGAAUGCCCUUGUCGUCGUGCUUGACGGCAAACGUCUCGUCGGGCAGCGUGAAGCCCGGGUCGCCCUUGCCGCUGCCGUCCACUACGUCCCCUCCCUGGAUCCAUCCAGUCUUGACGACCCGGUGAAUGGGGGAGUUCUGUAGGGGGGAAAAUAGGUGAGGGUGGGGUGCGCGUUUGCAGAAUUGGGUUUUGUGUUUUGUUGGAGGAAAAGGUAGGAUAUGGGUUCGAGGGUCCUAUUGGGGUUGACUUGGAGGUGUUUGGGGGUAGGGGGAGGGCUUAGGAAGUGGGGAAAGCUGGAGAUGUGUGUGAAGGAGUGUAUGUGAGCGCGGCGUAUGAUGAUGAAGGGGAGUAUCGGGAUUGGGGCAUUGUUUUUAUCAUCGCCAGUUUGGGUAAGCAUGUUGGAUUCGCUUAGCCUGGGGGUUGUUGUUCAUAAAGUGGACGGUCUUGUGAAGGCGCGGGGUGGAUGGAUCAGGUCAAACACUCUCCUAGUCUGCGGCCGCAGCAGUGAUACAUCUAGUCGUGAGGGAUGCUGCGGAUUAUGUCAGCGAUUAGGAAGGCGACGGCGGUGAAGGUAGGUGCACCGGUUGUAUGCCUGCACAUGUUCAUGCCACCAUCGACCUCACCUCGUAGGUGUGUUGACCACCGGCUUUUAUCAGUCUUAGGAAAUUUGCACAUGUUGCUGGUGCUAUAUCGGUGUAAAGUUCAAGCACGACAGAGCCAAUUUCCCGAGUUGUUUGCACCAAAUUAAAUGCGACGUAAGUUCGACCAGUAGUUUUGCAAUACUCCAACAUCGCAUCUGCAUUCUCAAAUUCCAUCUUGCUCUAUCACAAAUUAAUAUAACAAGUACGUCUUAGACGUUAGCGCAAGUGGGUUACAGGUUCAUUACGCUGCAGGUUCGUAAUCGAACUUUCCGUUUAGACAUUUUACAUCUUGUCAAAAGGCCUGCGUCCUUCUCAGUCAUGCCGUACAACCAACUCAACUGGCUAUUAAAAUAUACCCAACGACAACGAACGCGCUGUUAUCGCUUAAACGUAAGCAUCAACGAUCCCCAACGUACUAAUUGCAUUUGAUCCGCGCAUCUGCGGCCACAACUUGCAAUUUGCGGUGAGCAUCAGCAACCGUGUCCAAAAAUGCACGCGCUGCACACCGCUCUCUCCGCACGAAGAGGUCCAAUCUCGCCGGCAGUUGCAGAGCUGUUGACAAUCCUCGAGCAAGCCGGUCCAGAACUGACUACCAUGGACGUUCAAAUUUCAUCCUUUGGUGUGUGCAUGCCGUGCGGAUACCCUUGGGAAUAUAAAUAGCAUGAAGAUAGCUCACGAACAACUCCACAUACCUCCUUUCCCUCCUUUUUCACCUUUCUGCCUGGCGAUAUGACCAUAGCGCCCAUCCUGCGCACUGUCCCAUCGGUGACCAGGCACCCCACCAUCCAUACCGGAAUAGGAAAUACCCAACCACAACCAAACCUAGAAGAGAACCCAUCGGUGAUCUCGUUGUCGUCUCCCCCACACCCACAUAUCAUCGCGGCCAUCAAACCCUUCAGGUGGCGUUGGCAGUACGCAGCUGUCCAACCACCUCAACGCGUACGGCAUGACCACCAACCUCCUAACUGACACAGAUACACUGCGGCAUAGUCCCUGGUAAGAGCCGGGAGAGGCGUACUCCGGUGAAGAAGAUACAAGGAUUGCCAGAUUUUAUGUAUUAGUCGUUGUCAGUUGUGCGUUAUUGGGUGGAGACAUUUUCUCUUUUUUAACCCUCCCCCCCUUUUACCCUGCCGGCGUGCCGGGUUACAGGCCUCCUGAAUUUCCUCCGGUGGAAAGCCCCACAACCGCCGACCGCUGUCAACUGCCUCCAGGAGCUAACCCUCAUGGUACGGCAGCUCGUCCACGCCACGUUGUGUACUUGUACGGCGACCCACUUGGCGCUGUGGCCAGUCACUACCGCCGGGGUCACGCGUGUCACCAGGUUUGUGUUUUGGUUACUGCCGUGCUUGAUUGCGUGACUUGAUGAUCUGAUCCCCGGGUGUGUGGGCUUACACGUUAGGGUUUUAUGGUUUCGGAGCAAGCUGUGGAAGCAAUCACAGAGGUCGGGCGUAUUGCAUCUGCGUGCUUAUGGAUUUGCUUUUUUAGAGGAAACUGAGCAAAUUCGGGUUCCGGAGCGGGGCUGUGUCGUUAACCGUUUCUAGAAACCAAAUUGCUAGGAGAAUGUAAUUUUUGGUGGCUUGAUUGAGCCGCGAAAAUGGCAACAACCAGCAACGAUGGGGUACGACUCCACCGACCAGAUUUUGUCUUACGCAUAUAUGCAGCUACGGAUUGGGGGGUUCAAUUGAAGUCCUAGAGGGGAAGGGGGAUGAGAGAAGAGAGGGGGGACUUGUGGGGCUACUGAGGAAAUGGUGUUGUUGCUCGGAGCGAUGUCUGAGAGAGUGCUGACAGCUGUAUGUUGGCUGUCUUUGUGUUCGUCAUGGCAUCUGUCCCCAACCUUGGGCUCCCCACCAACCCCACCUCCCAUUCCACCGCCUCCUCUCCUCCUCUCCCCCCCCCCGUGCCCCCUAGGUCAGGCUCAGAAAACAUGUGGUAGUGGUGGCAGUGGUGGUGGCAGCGUUAUCUUGUCGGCAGUCUCGGCCGCCACUUUCCCGCCCUCACUAGAGGAGUAUGUGGCCAGGUGCGUCUGUAUGCAUGUAUGUAUGUACAUAUGUACGCACGUAUGUAUGUAUGCAUGUCUAUCCUCCAACCGAAACCCCAAAACGACACCCUCCCUUCCCCGCCCGCCAUCAGACCCACAGCGGUCACCCACAGCCUGUUCCCCGACCACGCACAUAUUAAGUGGCGCGCUUAGGUGCACACACCCGACUACGACUCUAAAUCCACACCUCCAAACAAGCUGUGUGUUUCCCUACACACACCCACCACCACCACCACCACUACUUGUCCCGUCAGGGGGGAGGACCUGUUCGGGCUGCGGAGGCACUUCAACAACUGGCUGACUGAGCCGCGGGACUACCCCCUUGUAAUGCUGCGGUAGGGGGGACGGGGGGGGGAGGAAUGUGGGGAAGGAGGUGUGUGUGGGGGGGGAGGAAUCACAAACGAACUGCUGGCGCCCAAAAUCCGAAACCCUAAGUCCUCGAUCCGUGAUUCCGAAAGUAAAGCCCAUUAUUACGUUACCGACAUUUUUUUUGUCAUGUAGUCGCCGACCGGUCUCGUGAGAUUGUCCUUGAUACCUAGCGCAAAGCGCAGACACGCUGUACAUCGACAGGUAUGGUAAAGGCUACCGUAAAGCCUGGCUAACUUUGUCUCUAGCUCGAGCGGUACGUGCGACCUGAUGCGCCCGGACCUCAACUUUGGAAGCAACGUAAACAGCGGUGCUACACAAGGCUGCAGACUAACCGAGAUGUCGCAACGACAGUAGCAGGCCACGACGACCCCGCAGCAAUUAUCAGGACAACAUGCGAAAAAGUAGCGAAAUAUGGGCAGGUUAGUAAGAUGGGCAAGACGAGGUAUGUAUGUGUGGCAGCUGUCAGGGAAAAGGAAGAAACAGGGCGAUGUAAGACGGGUUGGGAUGAAAGUACGGAUGUACGGGAGGGAUGUACAGCAGAGGAGAAGGACGAAACGCAAGCAAAAAUAUUAUGCAAACGUACUGAAGUUACUUUAAACAAGGAACUUAUCUUAAAGUUAAAUAAGAAAUGUACCCUGGAUGAUUUUGGAAAGCUCGGGGGAAUGAAAGGAAAGGCAACGGAAUGGAGAAAUGAGCGUAGCGGUGUUGUAGCUGGCCGCUGAAAAAGCCUCCCGAGAUACUGGUGAAGCAUUUCGCGCGAAUUUGUAGUUGUUAUACGUGCCGUACUGUGUAUCAGCUGCUACAAAAGGGGGGAGGGAAGUGGGCAUAGCCUGAUACCCUCCACCUUGCCGCCCCCCGCCCCUCUCACAGCUGCCCGUCUUACGGCCUCUCUGCCGUGUGCUCGUCCAAAGGUACGAGCGCAUGUUCGACGCUGACGUGGCGAUGCCGCUGUUCCAACUCCUCUGCUCGCACAAACUGUCACCGGAGCGGAUCGAACAGAUGGCGGCGGCGUUUACGGCAUCACGAAAACCCCGAUGCAGUCAGGUACGAAUGCCGUACAUUACUUGACGGCUGCUGGUCGCCAUUUCCCAGGCCGAUGCAUGGUUUUUAUUCGUACCUCCAAGGAAUGGGUCCCAUUCCUUGGAAUGGGAAAUACGACGAAAUUCGAGAAGGAAUUAUAUAAGAAGAAACGCUGGUGUCUCACGCCCGCGCCCACAAUAUCAGGUGAUGCCAGAGCUGUACGACAAGAUGUACGGCGAUCUCCUCGCGGAGAUGGACCGGCUGCCACCUCUGUACGUCAGGUAAGCGGGUUGGUGAUUAUGCGCGCCCAUGUAAUAACCGGUGGCGGGGGUGCUCAAAUGGAGCUUUGUGUGCGGCCUUCUGAGCUCUGAGAGGCAACGGGGCGGAACCGAUUUGGGAGGGCAAGGGGCCUAGAGUUAGGCCGAGGUGGAGGGACUUGACUCCGGCUUCUUACCCCAUCUGCCUUCAGGUGGGAAAAAUGUGUGAAGCUGAGCCCUGUACGCGUUGCGCCUCAACCUUGCUGGCGUGGGUUUAUUAAGUCGACCUGGGGAUGAGGUUCUCUGAAGGGAUAAGGAUGGGGGGGGGGGCCGGGGGCCUGGUCUAUUUCAGGGAAUGGAUUUUACUACCUACAGCAUGUGGAUGGAUUUCUUUCUCAGUGCGCUGUAUUUGGAGUCAUUCUUAUCAUAAUUGUUGUGUUUUGUUUCAUGUACCUGACGUGGCUCCGUCCACCACCCUAGAGAGUCUGUUUGUCGGUCCAGUCGGGCAUUCCAUCACUCACUAUCCUGACUGCAGACCGCCCAUGCCCAAGGGCGCUACUGAAGCUUGACAGCAGGGGAGAGCAGAGGACGUCAGCUGGGGCGUACAUCGUACGUAAUGUUCAAUCCAACAACAGGCUCCAACAGCAGUAUUACAACGCAGGCUGAUAUGCCUGGGCCAGCGCCUUGUAUUUAUACAUUCAUACUGGUUCCAUCAACGCCCCCAAAGCCGGGUCUUGACACCACCACCACCGGCCGCCGCAGGUCGGUGAAGACCUCUGAUAGACCGGAGCCCUCCCUCACCAGCUUCACUCGUUCGUGGUUCGUCUUUCCCCCUCCCUCACCUCCUCGGCAGCAGAGGGCCGACCUGUCAAACAUAACUCAACACACCGCGCUUCAGCCUUUUAAGAGCUGCGGGGACGGAAUCGCGCAUGAACGGUUGCUGUUGUUGUUAUUGUUGUUGUUGUUGAAGUACAAGCUGCAGAUGGCGCGGGCUGCACUUCAGCGGCUUCUGACAUCCUUCAUGAGGCCUGCUGUUAUUUGGGAGGCAGCAGCUUCCCAGCUGACACUAAGGUUUUUGUUAGCCCAGCGAAGUCUUUUAGGAUCAUUGAUGGUUGAAUAACGUUCGUUGACCCCAAAUAAGAGAGGCAGCUAGGGAAGUCCGCGUUCUCCAAAGCCGAAAAGGGCUUUGGCCCCGGUGCAGCCCCGCCGCAGCAUUCCGCAAAGGGGAGGCUGUACGGCACUGGGCUGCAAGUGGAGGAACGGUGUCGUGUUUGGACUAGACACUCUUAACGGAUAGCUGCCAGGGCCAGCAGUGGCAGCCGGCGGUGUUGUAUGAAUGAUGUAUGAAUCUGGUGUAUACACACUUGCUUAGGCGCCCAUGCAAAUCUAUGGAUGUUGCAUUGUGUGCCGCCUCCAUCUCAACAAGAACGGCUGAGCAUAUCUAUAGCCUCCUGGUAGUGCGCAUCCCAGCCCAUUGCCAGUCGAACUGGAGAAUAGGGCAUGUAUGAGAUGUGUGUGAGACGGAGCAGAAGGAAAAUGCUGGAGCAGUUGGCAUGGGUAUGCUGGAGUUGCGGAGUGUGGUGGAGCUAAGCCAUAGCUGAUCCAAGGAAGCCCAAGGAUAGAGCGAGAAACCGCGCGGCUUUACAGUAACCAACGCACCGUGAGCAGAGGCAGUAUGCGCUGCAGGAUGCAUGCACACCGCACCCCCUAUGGCAUUAAAGGUGAAGGGUCGGUAACCCAACCGGUCGCUUAUAGCUAUAACCCAACCGGUCGCUUCGGUAGGGUAACCGACAUUUCGAGAUAACGACCCGGUAACUGACCGGUCGGCUACCUCACCAGUCGGUUACCUUACCAACCGGUAACCUCAUCGGUCAGUAAUUCCCUUACUGGGUCGUUAGAUCGUUAUGUCAGUUACCCUACCGGCCAGGUACCGAAGCUACCACUUACCGACUGGUAUGGUAGGGGUACCGACUGGUUUAAGGCAACGACCAUUGGGUUACCUGACCCGGUUUUACCUUGGGGUUUAAAUGCAUGGGUCACAUGCAUCAGUCUUACAGGCAUCCAGUCAAACCCAUGGAAGCCUAGGGUAUCCAGCUUCAAAACGGAUGAAACAACAUUGCACGUCUCAAGGUCUAUCAUGUUGAUAUCGGGCUUUUGAGUCCUGACCUGAUAACCAUUAGGUUUAUUAAAAAACAAUCUAAUCGUAGCAAAGCUGAAAGAAGCCGCAGUAGAUGUAGGUCAGCGCUGCCAGCCGCCAGCUACACGAUCUUCCUAUUGUAGUGCAUGUCCGUGUUUGUGUGCACGCGCAUGCGCGCUGUUCUUUGUAUAUCAUUAACAACAGCUCCGGAGGCAUCCAGAUUGCGGCCCUCCGCCUGCUUCCCCCCCGCCUGCCGCCCGCGCAUGGUCGCCUCCUCACGCAUGGUCCUGGAGCUUGACCGGGUUGCGGCCUGGCACGUAACGUCAAGGCAUGUGCCUGGCAUAUACUUGUAUGCCUGUAUGUCGAAUUACAGGCGGUAAGCGGACUCGCUGGUCAUGUGCUUCAGCUGGGGUUCGGCGUUAGGGUUUUCUCAGCGACCCUGGUGACGAAGCCGAAAACAGAGCUCAUGCGCGCAUCUGCUUUUCGGUACGCCCCAUGGGGGGCCAGCUGUGGGUUCGACCCCCAUAGCGAUCGAAAGGGCAAGUGCCGCCAUAGCAUCCAUUCAUCAGAGCCUCUGUACCUGCGUAGCAUACUCGCUGAAUUCUUUAGUAAAAGGCGAAAGAGGCAUGAGAGUUAUGACGGCCCAUCUACAACGGAUGUGCGUACCUCAUCAUUGCAAACAGUGGCUAACACCAGGGCAAUGGUGGGUAAAACCACGGAUCUCAGCGUAGGCUUUCGUCUAACGACAUCCAGCACGACCCAAUGCAAUCUUGCAUUUGCUACUUUCAGACAGGUUCUUGGCUCAUGUCUACGACAAUGCAAUCGUCACAAACUGACAUGUCCUCGGCGAGCAAGUUGCCAGCCAGCUGCUUCUUCGGAGCAGGUCUGAAACGGCCACACCCCGCUCUAGGACUGGACGCCCUGCAUAUGCAAGCGGCCGAACGUUUUCCUACUGUUAUGUGUCUUGACAGCGGUUAUACAACCCGCGUAUGAGGUCCCACACUCUCCCAUCACGCCUUCAUCAACACACGCUCUUCAGCGUGAAAUCGUAGAAAGUCGUACAAGGUCGUACAGGCGUGAGGCGCCCUUGGCCCCAUGGCCUCCACCAGGUCAUCCCACAAGAAUGAAUGAAACUUAAUGACAGAUAGCAGGCGAAGCAUUAUGCACGCAGCAAAGUUCAAUAUCAUGCCGUUACUUAGCCACGCAUGUGCCAUGCGAAUGGCGAACAGUGCAAUCAAUAUUCUUUUAACAGCAUCCCUUUACUUAGCACUCCUUAACCAGGGGGCAGAAACGGUGGUCUAUAGUUCACGUUCGUUAGCAACCCAAGAAAUUGCUGUAUGGAUAUCGGUAACUGCGAUUUACUUCAAGGCUGUGCACUUGCGGCUCCAUUUCCGCCAUCGGCUUUCACUUGGCCACGCGCUUUCCCUUUCCCGUUUCCAGCAUACCUACGGCCUUCCACGGCUGGUCAGCGCUGACUGCUACCCACCAUUGAUAACCGACACUGCACAACACUGCACGGUCACUGCAAGGCUUAAAGAUCAUGUACUUUCAUGUGCAAAAUGUAGGUGGGCUGCUUGCAGGUCAUAAAAUAUGGUGUGACGUGUAUUCAGAAGGGGGCCGCAAAGGGUCUCUGCACCAACAUUUGCUUAGGCACGAAGGCACCGCGGUGCACCAGCAGGGAACCUUCUGCUGCUCUGUACUUCUUGCAUAUUACAACUACUGUUUCGCCUUUGCUAAGUCUUGAAAGCGCUUCGCGCUACAUACCAGGACACGCUAGGUCGCCUACGAACGCAAUACUCAGCCAGAGCUCAGAAUCUUAAGGCCUACUUUGGCUCAAGUGACGGGAAGAAUUUAUGACCAACCUCGCUGUCAUGUGUCAAGCUAGAAGCUAUGAACAAGGGAAGCUUAGCGAUCUGUCAUGAGCAAAGCUGCGCUAUCCAGUUUUAACUGAAGAAGUCCUCGCUUUAAUAUGUAGCUAUGCCGUUAAUGCUGUGCAGGGAUUGGAGCUUGCGUCGCCGGACGGUCGUACAUGCGCUUUUGUUUGCCUACUUCGCUUCAGCCCUCGCAUCCUUAUAUGCUUGGAAUGUUACUUUAAAUUCUUCCGCUCGCACUUUGCUCCCUUGCUGGGUAAUCAGAAGCAACAUUGCUCGCAUUGCUUUAAACCCUGUUUGGAAUCACAUCGCUUGACAAUAUUGCCAUAUCUUGUGCGUAUCAUCCUUUCGAGAAAUCUAUUUUUCGGAGGUCUCCCCUUUCAUUGAGACCGUCUUUGGCGGACUUCGAUCGCUGUAAUUUUUCAGUCCUGGAACUGGAAAUCUGCUUUACAUCCCGCUUGUGUUGGAGGCGAAGCCGUAAUGGCGGUAAGAUUGGUAUUGCAUGUAAGCUUUUGAUCGCUGCAAAGCGUGCGUGGUUUUCACAUUGCGAACGCGUCUAUCUUGUGGGGGGCCCGGCCUUUAUUGAAUGACCUUCUUGGGUACAUUCGUAAUACUCGUAACAACGAACAUGGUUAAUGAUGUUUGCGUAACUCCCAUAAUGUGUGCUUCUUUGGGCUCUGCAGUGGCGCACCGUUUCGACUACCAGUACCCCAGCUACUGUCAGGCAACCACAUGGUGGACGUCCAAGUGGCCGUUUGCUUGUUCGAGUGAGUUUACUGAUGGCGGCGCAAAAGGGGUGCCAUCGUCAGCAUGUAGCGUGCUUUCGACAGCGGUUGGUCGCUUUGAUGGUUGUUGAUUGCGGGCCGAUUGUUACGUUUAUAGAACUUUUCCGUGCCUCGUCAUGUUCUUCCCAGAUGGUUAUGGACGUCCCCACAGUUCGCGGCCAACAACUAACAUUACUUGCCCGGGCCAAUUCCACAUAUGCAAUGCAGGUUCAUGCCGCGUUCAUGAACCCGCACAGCCUAUUAGGAGUUAGUCCUGCAGCGGACGUUAAGGAAGUCAAGCGGGCAUACCGCAAGCUUGCUCUCCAGUGAGUCUCUGAACAUCGUCGGAACAGUGUCAGUAGCAACUUGUGGACCGCAGAUAGAAAAGCAAUUCCGGAGACGUACUCUUGUCGUGCUCGCUUUUCCGUGUGUGGGCUUCUGGGUAAGAAUGUUGCUUGUGGCCCUUUUGCAGAUUCCAUCCGGAUGUGUGCAAAUCUGAAGACGGCCACGAGCGCUUCAUCGCUUUGACCCAGGCAUAUGAGAUGCUGCUGGGCCGUGCGGAAGGCAAGACCGAUCCCAACCACGCCUCCUCCUCCGGUUGGGACUUCCACGACUGGUAUUGGAACUUCCGCAUGCAACGUAGCUGGGAGAAACAGCAACGUCAGGCCAAGGGGGCUGCAGAUGGCGGCAGCACAGGCAGCAGCAGCAGUAGCAGCACAGAAUCGGGCUACAGUUGGCGUCCUCCCCCUCAUGGCCAAGCCGGCUUUGGGCAACCUGAGGCCCGAGCGAAUUUGCGUAGCCAGCUGGCAGGACUCCGCCACCGGGCUGCAGUACGCGCCAACAGGUCCUCUGCCCCCACAUCGCCGCCGCCAAGCAGCUCUCCUACCACCGCCACACCGUCCUGGUCUGCCGCAUCAUGUGGCGCUGUGGACUACGGGCCUGAUUGCACAGACGGGGCUCAAUCAUCGCCUCCUUCGACGGAGGCAGCGGCUGCAGCCGUUCCUGAGGUCCCGGGGGACGCCGCCAACGUCAGAGGCAGCGCACGAUGCCAUGGUGCAGCGGCCCGCAAUGAUCCCUCUUCCUCACCGUCACCAGCCGCCGCCUCCUCGGUCAGCUGGAACGCGUGGUCUUGGUCGUGGUCUUGGGACGACUUGCUUGAGUCAGAGGACGACGACGAGCAAAGCAAUGCUGGCCCAGCGGUUACUACUGAGCCAGCAACCGAUGAUUUGAACGGCGCGGCCACCGGCAACGGCAGCCUUGGCGGCCAGGCCAGCUCCCCCUCGGAGCUGCACGAACAGUACACUCAUGUUUAUGACGCGGCUGCAGCAGCCCCAGCCGCAGCCGCAGCCGCUGCUGCUGAAUGUGCUGAGAUGGAGGUCAUGGCCGUGCACGACGGGCACUUUGGAACCGUGGUAGGUGCGGUGGUGGCAAAUCAUGCGGUGCCUUUCCCUGGCGGGGCGAUUAGCUGCUCGGAGUUCCCUGACGUGGCUGGCAGGCAGCGGUCUUACUCGACACAGCAUCAUCAGCCCCAGCCCCAGUACCGCUAUAGCGGGGAGGAAACUACUGCUCCAGCAGCACAGAGCUAUCAGGAUCAGAAUUCCCACCAACCGGACCUGGAUGAUGCGGAGCCGGAGCCCUUCUCUAACCCCUUUGGCAGGGAUUUUUCCGCCGGCCGGGGCCAGGGUGAGCAGCAGCAGUACGGCUCUGCUCGCCGGCGUUUCGCCGCCGAUGGUGUAUCUCGCGAGACCGUCUCGCACCAGCUGGCCGGCUUGCGGCGUAAGGCGGCGAUGAAGGCGGCCUCGGCGCAUUUUAGCGGUGCCGAUGCUGCGGCUGCAUCAUCAGGAGAGGAUGACUGCGGCUGUGAAGUGCUGUGAGUGCGAGGAGGCGACACGGUGACUAAGGCGACAGGGUGGGUUGGAUGAAUGGAUGGGUCGAUCGAUCAACGGAAGGCGCCGUAUGUGGAUGGACACAGCCCUCCUUGAUGAUGUCACGACCACAUUUCGUAACCGUAUCGCGGCUGCGUCUAUGGCGGCUCGGAAAGGGAAGUCUUCCAGACGAGGGUUGCUUACUGGGAGCAGUUUCUGCGCCGCUUGGGGCUGUAUAUCAUUAUUUCCUUUUGUGCGAGAUAUUUGCACUUGGAGAGAGAAAAGCGGAAGUGGGGAGGGCUAUAGAGGGCAGUUUUCCCGCUGGCCUGUAUUUUUUUCGUUCAUUCCGAGGCGCGCGGGCGUGCGCGCUCGGCCCACUUUGGGCGGCGCAAGGCUUCCUCCUGUGUGCCGUUCGGCCCCUCUUGGCAAAGUCGUUUCGCGGCCUUGCUUGCGAGUCGGCGUUGUUGGCCGUUCAAAUUAUCCAACAACAGAGAGAUUUUGUGGGACAGCUUCUCGCCAUGUUGGGGUAUUUUUGCAGUGGAGGAGGUAAUUAGAUGGCCCUUGAGGCUGAAUCGUACGGUAAUGCACUCUUGUCCUUUGUGCCGGGUGCUAUGAACAUGUGUGUACGCGUGUAUGUGUGUGUGUGCGCGUAGGCAUGGUUUCGGUGCAUGCCCAAUAGGUGCCGAGGAACGCGUGUUGUUUGGCUCGAAGUAAUGCGAGGGAGAGAUGUGAACGUAUUGGGAAGAACGUGGCGAUAUGCAGAGAUAUAGUUUUAAAAUAUCCGGCGGGAUUGAGGUACGCCGCGGCAAUCGAUCGCACGGCAGCCAAUUUUUCGCCGCUAUGACGCCUUUGUGUCAUCAUAUGAGUGGCUCUUGCCGUGCUUAAGCUGGUGUGGCGUGGUGGUUCUGAUGGCGGUGGACGAUCAGGCGGUGAUGCUGAGGGACUUGCGAAUGGGGCGGAUACACGCCCCGUAGACAUGCAACAUGCAUGGGUUUGCUGAUUCGCGGUCUCAACACCGGAAUGUAGGCGAGGUUAGUUAGUUUGGGAUCUUAAAAUGGUAAUGCCUUUGCCCUUUGGUGCAAGGCUUGGUGUAUCGUGCUACUGAAUAUGCGAUAUAUCAUAUAUUUAGCAGUAAGAUAAUGAAUCCAUCCGUCUUAGGGAAGAGGAAAUCGCAUUGGGAUGAAAAACGCAACAGGAAGAGCGGUUAGGCUGAAAUGUGGACACGUGUAUUAUGUAUGCAUGUAUGUAUGUAUGUAUGACGUCUGGAUGGUCGUGUUUUUAACGUGGCUGUGCCGGGUUGUUGGCUGUGCCAGGGUCGUAAUGUACGGAACCUCCUAAGCUCGGGGCUGAGGGCCCCGAAGUGCCAUUAUUGGUUACGGCCCCCCUCCUCCUUCUCCUCCUCCUCCUCCUGUUCCUCCUCUUGUUCCUUCGUCAACCCUUUUCGACACCGGUUGCAUGUGCCCCUUUGGAACAGUUUGGAAGACAUUCCGACGCGGUUCUCCUCAUCGUUGUCGUCGUCAGCAUCAUUGCCAUGUGAGGAUAAGGUGGCUAGGGCGGCGCGUGUGUGGGGGGAUAGGGCCCGUGUGGGUUUGCCGAGUAGAGGCCGUCUGCGGAGAGGGGGGUUGAGCGCAGCAGGGGGAGUGCUGGGCUCCCACUGCCAGUGCGACGUCGUGUGGUGGUGUGGUGGUGCGACCGCAUGGCUAGGAAAGCCCAUGGGCGCCCGGGGAGGACACGAAACGGGGGACGGGGCCAAGGCGCGGCGGGGAGGAGGAAGGCGGUGACGCUGUUAUUGCCUGCUGCGAUGCUUCCUUUUCCUGGCGACUGUCCGUCAUGCAUGUGCUGAAUCCACCGCCUUUCUAGUUUCUAUUUGCCAUACUGUUUUGUGGCGUUGCGGGUUGGCAGAGUUGAAAAAAGACGAUAUAGUACGUGUUGUGUUUUUUGCAUCUUUUACCGCGAAGGAAAAGUUGGUUUGUUGAUGUGCAGUGGUUUUUCCCUGUCUAUGUUAAUGUUCAUGUGUGCCGUUGUCGGGUUGCUGCUGCAUUACGGUCGAUCUGUCGCAUGAGGCCACACCUAUGCGUGUUGCGGCAAUGGUGAUGAAGUCAUCGACGAACGCAAUAUCAAUCAACGGAACGUCACGACAUUGUUGGCCGUUGUGAAGGAUCAAGGAUUCGAACAGCAGACCAGGCCUCCAGGAGUUGUUGUCUUUCCGUCACUUUGUCGCCAGGCAGCGACCCAGCGUCCGCGCCGCCAGUUUCCAGAGAGAAGAAAGUGUUUGUGAGCCAUGUGAAAGUCUUUUUAUACUCGUUUUGCCAAAAGCCAUUCCCCGCUUCGCUUAUUUCCCUAAGAUAUGAAGCGAAAGGGUCUGUUUAGUAUACGUUGUAGCGCAGUGAGUUUUGCUACCCACUAUUUCUGUUUGUUGUACAUUUAAUUGCGCUGCGGUGUAUGCCACGACUUGUUUGCUUUUCCAUUUGUUGGGGAUUUGUUAGCGGUCCAGCUGCGGGUAUACGCUCUUCCGGGAACUACCCCCUUAAAUAUGUACCGAUGGCGUUUCGUCACUCGUGAGGAGGUAUAACCCCCCGGGGGGUAGUUUAGAGGGAUGAAAUGUGUUGUGCGCUUUGCACUGGGGGGACCGUGCAGCCUUGGGGGUGACCGGAGAAGAAACCCGUCAUGCACCGGCUUUGUCAUUGUUUUUGUGGUUCGUGCGUGCAGAUGGACGAUGCAGCGUUCUGUUCAGGCUUGGCGCCGUUGUCCUUGGCGCGAAUGCCGAAGCACAUUUUUGUAGCGCCAUGUAACACUGUUCACAUGUUGUAUUGUAUCUCCUGCUGACAUGCGGGCGCCCAUGUGCUUGACAGCACGAUGUCUUGAUGCACACAGCCUCUUUAACUUACAUCACAGCAAGAGAACCGAAGCCAGCAACAGUCUAGCAAGGUUCAGGCAAGACAGGACAGCGAGGGGAAUCCCGCAGUCCGAGCCGACAAGCUGAUGGCACAAGCAUAGCAAUAAUGCAAUGGUACAGCUUUACAAAAAAAAAAACUUAUAGGGGUAAAUUUGCACGUACGAUGGUACAGGAUCAGGGACUAUCCGGGACACUGGCGUACGUACUGCAGUUCAUACUGUAGCUGUUAACUGGAAUAUGAUUUCCACUUCCUUCAGCCGUUUUCGAAGCAUGUGUGCUUUGUGUGCUUUGCCUGCAGCAGCUCGGUGAACGGUUGACUGGUGAGCACACAGGUCAAGACGGGGAGGUUGCUAUCCUGGAUGGCGGCUGGAGGGGUUUUGCACUUUCCACUCUUUGCGAUGUCUUGCUCAGGAUCCACUUGAGAUUAGGCCCGUCCAAGCAACCGGAACAGGAAAGUGUACGCAACAUGUUAUGUCGCUGUGACUCCGUCCCUAUGUGCGCUUUUGCGUUUUUGCAUGUCUGCGAGACAGGCUACGUUGCGACGUUGCGUUGGUUCGUUGUUCUAACCGUUAUGCGGUUGCACAUCCACGAGUUCUUGUGCGCCAUACGGCCGCUGGUAGCUGAGUUUUUCGCCAUGCACUUGUCCGGUAGCUGACGCUAUUCCGGUCUAUCAAAUGCGGCGCGCGACACUGCCUCUGCUGUUGAGGUUGGCGGAAGCCACACCUGCCCAACAACAACAUCCACAACAGGGGCAGCUGACACGCAUACAAGCUUUACUUCUUCAGGCCACAGGGCAUAUCGGUUUCGCACCAGGUUUGAUCGCACAGGCGCCAUCGGAGCUUCGCAACACGAUUUUUGGCACAGCGCUUGAAGACAACCAAGCAGCAAACAGUAAAGUAAAGAAAAUUACAAAGAAUGGUGUUGGAAGAACGCUUGGGCAAGGAGACGACAGGAAUGAUGCAGCCGCUGUCGGUGGCAAUGGCGAUGGCGAUGCCACCAUCGGGGGCGCCAAUAGGCGCAGCCCGCGAUUUACCACCUUGGAUGACACUGCUAUCUCAAUUCUCUCCCACCGCGCUCGCCGCUCCGGCCGCACGGCGCCGCUGUCGAUGGCGCGGGCUGCCCCGCCGACAAGCGAACCGUCAGGGCUCCUGCAGUCAAACAUCGGGCAGCCUUCAUCUCGACCACCGCCACCAUCACUACCUCAACAAGGCCACGAUGGUUCCUUAUCAGCUUCCCUUACCGAAAAAGCGACAACGGCCUUAGCGGCGGUGGCGACGGAUGGCACGAAAACAGCAGAUGCAACAGUAGGCGGCGGGCGAGGCAACAGAGAACACGAAGCCGAUACCACUGGCGCAUUACAUGCCUUCGAAAAUGCCACCAACACCACCAACAAGCAGAUCAGCAAUGUCAUCGUAGCCCGCCGUUCCAUACACGAGUUACUUGGCGAGCUGGAGCGCAACGCGGCGGCGCCGCCGCCAUCGCCGCGUAUCUUGCUGGAUUCCCUGGAGCAGUGGAGGAAGCACCGUCGGGAACCGGUGAGCCGAUCGCCACUAACCCCUUAUCCCCUGUCGGGUUUCGCAGGGUUUGUGAGCACGUAUGUGUUUUUCUGUCCUGUGCGGCCCUACUGUGUUGGUGGUACUGUAGCGCUCUCUUGAAUAACCAGUUUGCAGUUUGGGUCUUAGGGUUUGGUUGUUUACCCGGGUGGAUGGGUUUGUGGUGGUAGGGAGCAGUGCAUUAGGGCGCUUAGGCGCUGUAAUGCUGCCACCAUCAAUGUGUUUCGUCUCUCCCCCCCCCCCUCCUCCUCCCCCACUCCUCAUCCCCCUCCUCAUCCCCCUUCUCCUCCUCCCCCUCCUCAUCCCCCUCCUCCCCCCCCUCCUCCUCCUCCUCCUGAGUUGCUCCGCUGAGCGGACAGCUGACAACAUCUUUGCCUGAAUUUCCAACCCAUUUCUCGCACGGCGGCACUUACCGCCAUCUUCGCCCUGUGAUGCUCAGUGCUUGCCCCGGCUCGAGGGACUUGAUCUGUAUCUGUAUAAUGUUCGGACUGUUGGUCCGCGCUAUAGCUCUUGUCGUACACAUAGUUGCCGUACUCGUACCGCAGAAUGCUGGGGGUCGAUCGUCGGCUGCAGUGCUGGCUGCUCGGAUGGACCGAUUGCUGGCUCCAAAGCUGGCGGUGAGUGGUUGGUCGUUGGUCGUUGGCUGUGUGGCCGGUGGGUGCUGCAACUCUCAACCCCCCAAAUUCGUGGUUCGUCUUCCCCCAAAUUGGUGUUCUUUUUUGCGUCAUGGAGCAGUUCAUGUUAUGGCUUUUGCACUUAACAGCAGUAAUAUAAUAAUAAUAAUAAUAUUUUUAUUAUUAAAAAUAAUAAUAAUAAUAUUUUUAUUAUUAAAAAUAAUAAUUAUUAUUAUUAUUGUUAUUGUAUAUUAUAUAAUAUUAUCAUCUCCCUUCGAUGUAUCCACGAUGUUUCCAUUCCUCAGUGAGGUUCAUUCGGCAUUCAUCUCCCACCCGGACGACCUGGCGGCCUGGCGACCGCACCGCACCAGAACCCAUGGGACCCCAAAACAACCCCAAAGCACUUACCGCCUCACACUCGCAUACAUACAUACAUACAUACAUACAUACAUACAUACAUACAUACAUACAUACAUACAUACAUACAUACAUACAUACAUACAUACAUACAUACAUACAGGGGGACUACGGCGCCAAUCUGGAGAUCAAGUCCCAGGUGCUACUGUUCUGGUCACUGGUCAAGGGAGGGCUGUUCGGCGAAGCCACACUGGCACUAGCACGUCGUAUGGAGGAAUCCAUCAGGCCAGAGAUGCCGUACGGCAGUAGCGACUACUGGGCCUCCCUGGCUUUUUAUAGCCUGGGGCUUGCGCAGCAGACGGCAACGGGCGGGGCCGGGGCCGGGGGCGGCGGGACCCCUAGCCCGGCGACGGCGGCUGCGGCGGCAGCGCUCGUGGAGCAGUCGCGGCGGCGGCUGGCGCCGGCGUUGUUGGCGUUACUUAGCCGUAACGCUCGUACGAUUAAUCAGCAGGGUCUGUCCAACACGUUUUGGGCUGCCGGGCUUUUGCAGAUGAGGGUGAGGUUCCUUUUUUGGAUGUGUGAUGAAGUUGGGGUGAGAGGGGGCGGGUGGGUUUGCGAAUGAGGGACGGGGAGGGGGGGAGGGAUGCAGCCGUCAGUUGGUCGCCUGAUCCGCCGGUUGGGGGGGAGUUGAGGGGCCCCCGGGACAUUGCGGCGGCGGCGGCGAUCUGUUGGCCAAAAUGAAGUGAAGUGGGGUGAGUUGGGGUGGAGAUGGAGGUGAGGUGAGGUGAGGUGAGGCUGGGGGAUUACGAAUGACGGGGGGAGGAGGGGAAAUGGCCUUUAUGGGCGAAUGGGAGGUGGGCGUCGGACGGGUGUGUUUGACCACAGCGGCGGCGUGAUGACGGCGGCGGGUGGGCAGUGGCGGAUGGAGGGCUUAUGCAUACCCGCCGUGCCGAGGUGCUGUUUGAAUCAGCUUGGCAGCGCAGCCGGUCUGGCCCUCACACCACCACCAGCGGCGGCGGCGGCGGCAGGGUUACACUGGCGUUUGUUGGCGUUAGCUGCCGCCCCGACAGUCUUAGAGUCGAUACUCGUGUGACCCUCCUUUCGAUUCGUUACUGAGUUGCCGUACACCAUGAUUGUGAUCCUGCCGUACUCGUGCCGUAGGAUCACCGCGGGCUCCUGGCGCCCCUUGCUGCGCAAGUGUACAGGUUGGCGGCUGAGGCGCAAUCGCAGAAUAUCUCAAAUAUAUUGUACGGCUGUGCCGUACUGGGCCUCAGCGAGCGGGAAUGGGUGAGCGACAGGGGAGGAGCGUGUGUGUGUAUGUAUGUGUAUGUGCGUGUGUAACGGAAGCGCAAGCAGGGUGUUGAAUCGCAUCCCUAGCCCCCGUACACCCCACCACACUCACCACUUCACCCCGCUCGACCCUAUCCCCCCCUUCCCGCCGAUCGACAUACGGACAUAUGUACGACAACGCGCAGGCUGCUGUACAGGGCUCCUACCCUUUCUUGGAGCGGCUGCUAUCUGAGAGUGUACGGCAGAGGUUGGUUGGAUUCCAACCCCAGGAGGUUAGCUGCAUUUCCUGGGCGGCUUACAAGCUUGGACUGAAAGGCACCUUGUAAGGCCGGGGGAGAAAAGGGGGAGAAAAGGGGGGAGAGGGGAAAAGACGAACCGAAAGCGAGUGAAGCUGCUGCCAAGGAACGGGGGCAGGGGAGGAGGAGAGGGAGGGCAAGAGGGAGGAAAGGGCUGAAAUGCAAUGGGUCGUGGUUUUGUGUUGGUGAUUGUGGAUUGUGGAUGAUGGUCCACAAUCGAUGACCGGGUUAUGAGACUCCUUGUGCGGCUGCUGGCCACACUUCAGAUGCGAUCUCGCAGAAGAGUUCCCGCUUUCCGUUGUAGCAGUAUGUAUGUCUGUGUGUCUGUCUGUCUGUAUGAUUGUGUGGAGUAGGGGGGUGUACAGCCCUUCACCCCGUGGGCCCGAUGUCCUAGCCUGAUGCCAGUCACCUCACCCUUCUCCCCUUCCCCGAUCCACUCGACCUCGGGCCACCCUCAUCCCCCUCAUCAACCACAUCACCCACAUCACCCACGACAUUGGCCCAUCAAACCCUAAGUCACAGUUUAUUGACUUUCCAGGUUCCCAGUUUUGUCGACGUCUGUCCAGUCACAAUAAUGACUUUCCCGAGUAAGCAUUCAGAGAAAUUUGCCCCUAGAUCAGCAGCGGCUCCAACUCCACUUCUUGUCGACCGGCAGAUUACCACAACUGGGUCUGUUAUCAGCAUCAGCAGCAAAGGGAGGCUUCUCCACGCAUCCUCUUUCAGUUGAAGGAUAAUUAUACCGUCCUUUGCCGGAAUCGAUCUGGGAACCUCCUUCCAUGGACGUUAUGUCGCACCCUAGCAUAUUUGCCGUGUCUGAAGCCGACUGUACGUGUAUGUGCGUGUGUCGGUAUGUAUGUGAUGUAACGGCUUUUACCGCCCCACCCAAACCCGCCUGGGUGGGGGGAAAGGCGGGCUCAGGGUUUUAAAGGUUCUGCGAUUGAGGUUGAAGUUGAUGCUGAUGCUAAAAACAGCCCCAACCCCUUCAUCCAAAUUCCUCUCCCUUCCCCCACCCUGUCGUACAAAAGGCCGUUACUGAAGGCCGUAUCUGAGCUGAUAGCCGGGGGCGGAUUCGACGGGGUGACCUCGUCCCAGGUGGGCUACUGCUGCGACGUGGGGCNNNNNNNNNNNNNNNNNNNNNNNNNNNNNNNNNNNNNNNNNNNNNNNNNNNNNNNNNNNNNNNNNNNNNNNNNNNNNNNNNNNNNNNNNNNNNNNNNNNNNNNNNNNNNNNNNNNNNNNNNNNNNNNNNNNNNNNNNNNNNNNNNNNNNNNNNNNNNNNNNNNNNNNNNNNNNNNNNNNNNNNNNNNNNNNNNNNNNNNNNNNNNNNNNNNNNNNNNNNNNNNNNNNNNNNNNNNNNNNNNNNNNNNNNNNNNNNNNNNNNNNNNNNNNNNNNNNNNNNNNNNNNNNNNNNNNNNNNNNNNNNNNNNNNNNNNNNNNNNNNNNNNNNNNNNNNNNNNNNNNNNNNNNNNNNNNNNNNNNNNNNNNNNNNNNNNNNNNNNNNNNNNNNNNNNNNNNNNNNNNNNNNNNNNNNNNNNNNNNNNNNNNNNNNNNNNNNNNNNNNNNNNNNNNNNNNNNNNNNNNNNNNNNNNNNNNNNNNNNNNNNNNNNNNNNNNNNNNNNNNNNNNNNNNNNNNNNNNNNNNNNNNNNNNNNNNNNNNNNNNNNNNNNNNNNNNNNNNNNNNNNNNNNNNNNNNNNNNNNNNNNNNNNNNNNNNNNNNNNNNNNNNNNNNNNNNNNNNNNNNNNNNNNNNNNNNNNNNNNNNNNNNNNNNNNNNNNNNNNNNNNNNNNNNNNNNNNNNNNNNNNNNNNNNNNNNNNNNNNNNNNNNNNNNNNNNNNNNNNNNNNNNNNNNNNNNNNNNNNNNNNNNNNNNNNNNNNNNNNNNNNNNNNNNNNNNNNNNNNNNNNNNNNNNNNNNNNNNNNNNNNNNNNNNNNNNNNNNNNNNNNNNNNNNNNNNNNNNNNNNNNNNNNNNNNNNNNNNNNNNNNNNNNNNNNNNNNNNNNNNNNNNNNNNNNNNNNNNNNNNNNNNNNNNNNNNNNNNNNNNNNNNNNNNNNNNNNNNNNNNNNNNNNNNNNNNNNNNNNNNNNNNNNNNNNNNNNNNNNNNNNNNNNNNNNNNNNNNNNNNNNNNNNNNNNNNNNNNNNNNNNNNNNNNNNNNNNNNNNNNNNNNNNNNNNNNNNNNNNNNNNNNNNNNNNNNNNNNNNNNNNNNNNNNNNNNNNNNNNNNNNNNNNNNNNNNNNNNNNNNNNNNNNNNNNNNNNNNNNNNNNNNNNNNNNNNNNNNNNNNNNNNNNNNNNNNNNNNNNNNNNNNNNNNNNNNNNNNNNNNNNNNNNNNNNNNNNNNNNNNNNNNNNNNNNNNNNNNNNNNNNNNNNNNNNNNNNNNNNNNNNNNNNNNNNNNNNNNNNNNNNNNNNNNNNNNNNNNNNNNNNNNNNNNNNNNNNNNNNNNNNNNNNNNNNNNNNNNNNNNNNNNNNNNNNNNNNNNNNNNNNNNNNNNNNNNNNNNNNNNNNNNNNNNNNNNNNNNNNNNNNNNNNNNNNNNNNNNNNNNNNNNNNNNNNNNNNNNNNNNNNNNNNNNNNNNNNNNNNNNNNNNNNNNNNNNNNNNNNNNNNNNNNNNNNNNNNNNNNNNNNNNNNNNNNNNNNNNNNNNNNNNNNNNNNNNNNNNNNNNNNNNNNNNNNNNNNNNNNNNNNNNNNNNNNNNNNNNNNNNNNNNNNNNNNNNNNNNNNNNNNNNNNNNNNNNNNNNNNNNNNNNNNNNNNNNNNNNNNNNNNNNNNNNNNNNNNNNNNNNNNNNNNNNNNNNNNNNNNNNNNNNNNNNNNNNNNNNNNNNNNNNNNNNNNNNNNNNNNNNNNNNNNNNNNNNNNNNNNNNNNNNNNNNNNNNNNNNNNNNNNNNNNNNNNNNNNNNNNNNNNNNNNNNNNNNNNNNNNNNNNNNNNNNNNNNNNNNNNNNNNNNNNNNNNNNNNNNNNNNNNNNNNNNNNNNNNNNNNNNNNNNNNNNNNNNNNNNNNNNNNNNNNNNNNNNNNNNNNNNNNNNNNNNNNNNNNNNNNNNNNNNNNNNNNNNNNNNNNNNNNNNNNNNNNNNNNNNNNNNNNNNNNNNNNNNNNNNNNNNNNNNNNNNNNNNNNNNNNNNNNNNNNNNNNNNNNNNNNNNNNNNNNNNNNNNNNNNNNNNNNNNNNNNNNNNNNNNNNNNNNNNNNNNNNNNNNNNNNNNNNNNNNNNNNNNNNNNNNNNNNNNNNNNNNNNNNNNNNNNNNNNNNNNNNNNNNNNNNNNNNNNNNNNNNNNNNNNNNNNNNNNNNNNNNNNNNNNNNNNNNNNNNNNNNNNNNNNNNNNNNNNNNNNNNNNNNNNNNNNNNNNNNNNNNNNNNNNNNNNNNNNNNNNNNNNNNNNNNNNNNNNNNNNNNNNNNNNNNNNNNNNNNNNNNNNNNNNNNNNNNNNNNNNNNNNNNNNNNNNNNNNNNNNNNNNNNNNNNNNNNNNNNNNNNNNNNNNNNNNNNNNNNNNNNNNNNNNNNNNNNNNNNNNNNNNNNNNNNNNNNNNNNNNNNNNNNNNNNNNNNNNNNNNNNNNNNNNNNNNNNNNNNNNNNNNNNNNNNNNNNNNNNNNNNNNNNNNNNNNNNNNNNNNNNNNNNNNNNNNNNNNNNNNNNNNNNNNNNNNNNNNNNNNNNNNNNNNNNNNNNNNNNNNNNNNNNNNNNNNNNNNNNNNNNNNNNNNNNNNNNNNNNNNNNNNNNNNNNNNNNNNNNNNNNNNNNNNNNNNNNNNNNNNNNNNNNNNNNNNNNNNNNNNNNNNNNNNNNNNNNNNNNNNNNNNNNNNNNNNNNNNNNNNNNNNNNNNNNNNNNNNNNNNNNNNNNNNNNNNNNNNNNNNNNNNNNNNNNNNNNNNNNNNNNNNNNNNNNNNNNNNNNNNNNNNNNNNNNNNNNNNNNNNNNNNNNNNNNNNNNNNNNNNNNNNNNNNNNNNNNNNNNNNNNNNNNNNNNNNNNNNNNNNNNNNNNNNNNNNNNNNNNNNNNNNNNNNNNNNNNNNNNNNNNNNNNNNNNNNNNNNNNNNNNNNNNNNNNNNNNNNNNNNNNNNNNNNNNNNNNNNNNNNNNNNNNNNNNNNNNNNNNNNNNNNNNNNNNNNNNNNNNNNNNNNNNNNNNNNNNNNNNNNNNNNNNNNNNNNNNNNNNNNNNNNNNNNNNNNNNNNNNNNNNNNNNNNNNNNNNNNNNNNNNNNNNNNNNNNNNNNNNNNNNNNNNNNNNNNNNNNNNNNNNNNUGUGGUCGGUGAGGGGAGGGAAGGGGGGGGGAGGGGAGGGGGGGGGAGCGGAGGGGAGGGGAGGGCGAGGGCGAGGAUUGCGGGGUACGAGGGAGCAGGAGGGUUGCGGCGGAGGAGCUCUUUGCAAAAAGGUAAGGGUGAUGCCGUACCAACCGACACGCCCAACGCAGCAACCACCUGACGUCCAGUCCAAAGCUGUACUGCCCAGUUUUAACCCCCCCCAGAUACCCCCCUGCCAGGUGGGAGAGCUCAUCCCCAGUUUUAAGGUGGUGGGGCAAUGCAGUGCUGCUGCGGCCGCUGCCACACCAGCCGCCUGCCACCACCCACCCUGAGCCAGUCCUUCAUUUCUUCUUCAUUCCCUCCUCAUUCCGCCCCCACCACCUUCCUGCGCGACCGUCCAGCACCUCCAGCACCUCCUGCACCUCCUGCACCUCCAGCACCUCCUGCACCUCCAGCACCUCCUGCACCUCCAGCACCUCCUGCACCUCCAGCACCUCCUGCACCUCCUGCACCUCCAGCACCUCCUGCACCUCCAGCACCUCCUGCACCUCCAGCACCUCCUGCACCUCCAGCACCUCCUGCACCUCCUGCCUUGGGGCCGCCGGCAGUACCUCGGCGGUUGCGAUGUUGUUCCGUCCGGUCCGGGUCUGGUCCGGUCCUCCGGGGGAGGGGUUUUAGGGUUUGUCAGGUCGUGUAGUGAAUAUAGUGAAGUAGUCAUAGUGUCAGGGGUCGUCAACUACUGAGCGCUUCCUAAGCAUGGCGGGCCCCCCCACAUGUGUGUCUCCCGCCCUUCCUAACUCCCCUUGCCCGGAAAAUCAUGUUACCCCGGGUACUCCUCUUCCUCCGUUGCUGUGUGUUUUGACACAACGACGAAUCCACUCGAUCCGUCAUUUUCGUCCCUUUUCGGUCCCAAUGCUGCGCCCGCCACCCACCCACCCACCCGUUCCAGAGGUUGUGUGUGUUUUCCCCGGUCCCCUCGCCCUUUAGUUUUGCCGCGUCAGUCUUUUCUUGGCAUCACCUUCACUCGCUCGUGGUUCGUCUCCCCCACCCCCGCCCGCCCCCUCGGCUGCAUCAGUCCCUCCGGAAACCCCUUCCCUCCCGCUCCCCCAGGUUUGGGCCAACACGCUGUACGCGAUGGGUCUCAUGGACCACUACGACCCACGGGUCUUCCAGGCGCUCUCACAGGCGCUGUUCAAAGACAACAGCAAUAGCAGUGGCGGUAAAAGCGAUAGCAGCAGAAGCCCCGACGUGAACUCCCUCACCUCCCCGCCGCCGCAAUCAUCACCACCACCACCACAACCGCCAUCACUGCCAUCACCGCCAUCACCACAGCUACCUCCCUCCUCCUCUUCCUCAUCCUCGUCCCCAUCCCAGCUCCUUCGCUUCGCCACGGCUCAGACGUGCGGUAAUGUGCUGUUUGCCAUGGGGGCUUUACGACAUGUGGACGAGCAGAUUAUGGACGCGUUGUUGACGCGUAUGCUUCAGAUUGUUCGUGGUGGUGGACGGGGGGGUGGGGGAAGUGGGGGGGUGUCGGUGGUGGAUUUGGCUCUGGCUGUCCGGGCGUGCGCUCAUCUCAACUACAGGUCCUCGCUGUUGGACGAGCUGUUGGAGGCGGCCAUGCCGGCCUUGAAGGUGUGUGCGGUGUGUGCGGGGGAGGAAGGGGGUGAGAUGCAAAAAGGGGGGUGCAGUCCGGAUGAGGGAUUUAGGGCCGUUGUUUUCGGGAGUGAUAUGCGCAUAAGCUACAACCCGCCACAUAAAUACACACACACGCACGCACACACACGCACACCACUAUACUUUGCAAACCCCAACACUCCCCACUCCCCUCUCCCCUCUCCACCUCCCCCGCCCCCUCCCCUUCCCCCGCCCGCUCACGCACACACUCUGCCCCCCCCCCACAGGCUCAGGCUGCUCGCCUCAUGGCCUACAACGUGCUAUGGUCCAUGUUGAUCCUGGGUAUACUGGGGGAGGUACGACAUCAGCCGUUGGUUCAGUACCUGGUGAGCUGCGUCAACCGGUACGGCACAAGUACGUGGAAGUCGGCGGCUGACCCGUCAUCGCCGUCAUCGCCGUCAAUUUCGUCAUCGCCGCCACCUCCUAGUUCUGAGACGGCGGCGUACGACGAUCUGACCCAGGUGGGUUAUUACAGGAGUAAUGUGGGUGUGUGGGCGGGUGGGCGGGUGGGCCCUAGGCUUGCUGCCUGGUUCAAGCCGGGAAAGGGUAAAUCAUGUUGUGGUGAUGGGUACCGCAUGUACGGGAGAUGCAGAAGCGGAUAUCGCGUGAUCCGCCUUAAGUGGUCUCUGCUUUCAUAGCUCUGUACUAGAGCACUACCCGCCCUGACCCCCCGACUUCUUUAAUCCCCCCCCGACCCGCCCUUCCUUACACGUUCUGUGUAUCACCACCCCCUCUUUUUCUGUACCUUUUCCGCGAAAACACAAACCCGCCCCCACCCGCCCCCACCCGCCCUUCUUACUGAACCUCCCCGAUUGUGUAAACCGCAGUUAGUGCAGUACCAUUUGGAGAGCAGAUAUCUGGGCCUUACGGGGACAGCGUACGACUUAACGCCGCCGCAGGGCAUGGAUGCCUUGAUACGGCAGAUACGGGAGCGCCGGCAGCAGUUGGCCGCGCAGAGCAGUACCGUCGUACACCAGAAAGUGGUGGCCACACUGCAGGUAUCGUGCCGUACAUAUAUCAGAUGAUGAAAUAAAAUUGAUUUAUGUACGACACUGCAGGUCCCGAGUUGCAGCGGUGCUGUUUGGCCACUUUGGGCUGUCGUACUUAGGCAUGCCGUACGAGGAAGGCUGUUACAGCAGUAAAGGGCUAUAUCUAUGUGUUUGUCGUCUAUCUCUGAGUUUAAGUUUAAGGGCUCUUUGUAAGUCCACCCCCCCCCUGGCAGGCAGAUAUCCUCCCUAACCGCCCACCCCCUGCGCCAACAGCCCCUCCCUAACUCCCUAACUGCGCAUUUGACGCUGGGAUAGUCGUGUAGUGUCGACGGAUCUCAGAGUACCAUUUCAUGCUGCCGUACUGUCUGUCGUACAGGAAAUGGCCGCCGCACCGAACUGCCUCACCGCUGGUGUACGGCACCCGCGCAUCCUGGCAGUGGAGUCGGAAGUGCUGUUGGAGCCGGAGCUGGUGGUGGUGGACGUGUUGCUCACAUUGGAGGCCGACCCAGAUGCGAACUUGAAUUCAAAUUCAAAUUCAAGUCCAUUCGAGGCUUCAUCUCCGGUAGCAGCUGCUGCAGCUCCUGCUGUUGCUGCAACCACUGCCGCUUUUGCUGGGAACAACAACAACAACAAGAACAACAACAACAACAACAACAGCAGUCCAACAGACUAUGUCCCGUCAUCUCCUCCUUCACCCUCCACCUCCUCCGCCACCUCCACCUCCUCCGCCCCGAUCCAAUACAAAUUGGCGGUGGAGGUGGAUGGUCCUCAUCACUUCAUGCGCAACCGACUCGACCAUCAAGACGGCACAUCGGCCUAUCGGGACCGGGUGCUGCAGCGGCGCCUCGGGCAGCAGGCCGGCGGCGGCGGCGUCGCUGUCGUACGAACCAGGACGUGGGUGGAGCAGCUGCCGGAUGACGAGGCCCGUCGGCGGUACCUGGCGGGGCUGCUGGCGGCCUCCGUGCCCCCGAGGUCGUGAAGGCCGUCAGUCUGUCAGUCUGUCAGUCCGUCAGUCCAUGAUGUGUGUGCCCAACUGCCGCUGUUACAUGGGGUGGGGAUAUUGGGUGGUGCUCGUGGUGAAGUGCGUUGUCGCUAACCUCGAGGGCUAGUUGGCGGAGUAGGGGAGGGUCGCGGAGGAUGGGAAUGGUGGCUUCGGCCGCGCAAAUGAGUGCUGGGUGGUGGGUGCUGAACUGGGUGCUGAAAUGCAUUUCAUUUGGCGGUUUGCAUGUUGUGGAUCCAUCCACGUGCUUGAUCGUGUGCGUAUGCUCUUAUUUUGGGGGAUUGGCAAAAGGGGGGGAGGGGCAGCUGUGGAUAGGAGAGUUCUCACGCCCGUGCAUCGAUUUGGGUCAGGAUGCAUCGGAUAGGUAUAGAACUGGAGGAGAGGUUUCAGCACUCUCUCGGCGUGUAAUACCCCGGUUGCCUUUGAUGAGGCCAGUUGCGAUCUAGUCCCGAGGCAAUGUGUGUGAUCUAGGUCUUGGGGUUACGGUCUUCUUUCGCUUGGUCGCCAGGAACGGAAUUCGGGCUCAGUGGUCUGCCUCAGUGGUCUGCUCGGCCUCCAGACUAUUAUGAUGUGGGGAAAGAGGGUUAUGAUGCUGUAAUGCCUAUACAACGUUGUACGACGAUUCAUCGGAUCCGACCUUGACAGAUUGCGGAUCAGUUAUGCCAUUGUGCGUGUGUGUGUGUGUGUCUGUGUAUGUUUAGAGUGUAUUUUUAAAGGUUACAAGUAUCUGCGAGGCAAUUGAUCUGCCUGCUAUAAUUUUUCAUCAUCCAGUCAUCCGCAGAGGCAGGCAGAGCUUCGGCUAAUGCCACCAAUCCAGCGUGCUAAUCACUUACACUCCCGACAAUGUCGAAGAUCUGCUCUUAGGAAAUCGAACCCAGAACCCUAAACCGCAUAAUGCAAUAGUAUCUGCACGACAGACCAGAUCAGAGCGGCAAGUUCGUAUGGCGUAGUACAGUGUAGUAAUGGUGGAUGGUUCUGUCAGGUGAUGAAUUGAGGAAAUAACCAACAUGUUAGAUUGGCCCAGAAGCCUUCCACUCGUGUAAUAACAAGAAAUACAACAAGGCCGUGGAGGCCAGAAAGAGAUAUGUGGAGGUACGGAGGACACAGAGGGCAGCGGAGAGAACCUAACCACGGAGAGCUGCAAACUGGCAGCCAGGCCCCGCCCUCCGACGGCACACAAGUCCCGUGCCUGUGCCUGCAACUGCCACACCCAGCGAGCAGCCGCCCUGCAAUGCCGGCAACACCUGACCAUCCACAGCCCAGCGUCAAUGCAGGGGGAAGAUGAGGAGGAAGAAUGCCUGCCGCAAUGGAAGGAUAGACAUCAACGGCAAUCUACAGAUGCAGUACAUGGCUCAGAACAGAUCCAUCCGUCUCCCAGCAAGCGGGAGAUGUUUGGGGACAGGAACCCCCAUAUGGACCACUGUCGUCACGGCCAGAGAAAAGCAUGCAGGCAAAACAAGAAUAGUCAUCAACGGCAAUAUACAGAUGCAGUACAUGGCUCAGAACAGAUCCAUCCGUCUCCCAGCAAGCGGGAGAUGUUUGGGGACAGGAACCCCCAUAUGGACCACUGUCGUCACGGCCAGAGAAAAGCAUGCAGGCAAAACAAGAAUAGUCAUCAACGGCAAUAUACAGAUGCAGUACAUGGCUCAGAACAGAUCCAUCCGUCUCCCAGCAAGCGGGAGAUGUUUGGGGACAGGAACCCCCAUAUGGACCACUGUCGUCACGGCCAGAGAAAAGCAUGCAGGCAAAACAGAGAUUGUCAUCAACGGCAAUAUACAGAUUCAGUACAUGGCUCAGAACAGAUCCAUCCGUCUCCCAGCAAGCGGGAGAUGUUUGGGGACAGGAACCCCCAUAUGGACCACUGUCGUCACGGCCAGAGAAAAGCAUGCAGGCAAAACAGGGAUUGUCAUCAACGGCAAUAUACAGAUGCAGUACAUGGCUCAGAACAGAUCCAUCCGUCUCCCAGCAAGCGGGAGAUGUUUGGGGACAGGAACCCCCAUAUGGACCACUGUCGUCACGGCCAGAGAAAAGCAUGCAGGCAAAACAGAGAUUGUCAUCAACGGCAAUAUACAGAUUCAGUACAUGGCUCAGAACAGAUCCAUCCGUCUCCCAGCAAGCGGGAGAUGUUUGGGGACAGGAACCCCCAUAUGGACCACUGUCGUCACGGCCAGAGAACAGCAUGCAGGCAAAACAGAGAUUGUCAUCAAGCAAUAUACAGAUGCAGUACAUGGCUCAGAACAGAUCCAUCCGUCUCCCAGCAAGCGGGAGAUGUUUGGGGACAGGAACCCCAUAUGGACCACUGUCGUCACGGCCAGAGAACAGCAUGCAGGCAAAACAAGAAUUGUCAUCAACGGCAAUAUACAGAUGCAGUACAUGGCUCAGAACAGAUCCAUCCGUCUCCCAGCAAGCGGGAGAUGUUUGGGGACAGGAACCCCCAUAUGGACCACUGUCGUCACGGCCAGAGAACAGCAUGCAGGCAAAACAGGGAUUGUCAUCAACGGCAAUCUACAGAUGCAGUACAUGGCUCAGAACAGAUCCAUCCGUCUCCCAGCAAGCGGGAGAUGUUUGGGGACAGGAACCCCCAUAUGGACCACUGUCGUCACGGCCAGAGAACAGCAUGCAGGCAAAACAGGGAUUGUCAUCAACGGCAAUAUACAGAUGCAGUACAUGGCUCAGAACAGAUCCAUCCGUCUCCCAGCAAGCGGGAGAUGUUUGGGGACAGGAACCCCCAUAUGGACCACUGUCGUCACGGCCAGAGAACAGCAUGCAGGCAAAACAGGGAUUGUCAUCAACGGCAAUCUACAGAUGCAGUACAUGGCUCAGAACAGAUCCAUCCGUCUCCCAGCAAGCGGGAGAUGUUUGGGGACAGGAACCCCCAUAUGGACCACUGUCGUCACGGCCAGAGAACAGCAUGCAGGCAAAACAGAGAUUGUCAUCAACGGCAAUCUACAGAUGCAGUACAUGGCUCAGAACAGAUCCAUCCGUCUCCCAGCAAGCGGGAGAUGUUUGGGGACAGGAACCCCCAUAUGGACCACUGUCGUCACGGCCAGAGAACAGCAUGCAGGCAAAACAAGAAUAGUCAUCAACGGCAAUAUACAGAUGCAGUACAUGGCUCAGAACAGAUCCAUCCGUCUCCCAGCAAGCGGGAGAUGUUUUGGGACAGGAACCCCCAUAUGGACCACUGUCGUCACGGCCAGAGGACAGCAUGCAGGCAAAACAAGAAUAGACAUCAACGGCAAUUUACAGAUGCAGUACAUGGCUCCGAACAGAUCCAUCCGUCUCCCAGCAAGCGGGAGAUGUUUUGGGACAGGAACCCCCAUAUGGACCACUGUCGUCACGGCCGGAGGACAGCAUGCAGGCAAAACAAGAAUAGACAUCAGGGCAAUUUACAGAUGCAGUACAUGGCUCAGAACAGAUCCAUCCGUCUCCCAGCAAGCGGGAGAUGUUUUGGGACAGGAACCCCCAUAUGGACCACUGUCGUCACGGCCAGAGAACAGCAUGCAGGCAAAACAAGAAUAGUCAUCAACGGCAAUUUACAGAUGCAGUACAUGGCUCAGAACAGAUCCAUCCGUCUCCCAGCAAGCGGGAGAUGUUUGGGGACAGGAACCCCCAUAUGGACCACUGUCGUCACGGCCAGAGAACAGCAUGCAGGCAAAACAGGGAUUGUCAUCAACGGCAAUCUACAGAUGCAGUACAUGGCUCAGAACAGAUCCAUCCGUCUCCCAGCAAGCGGGAGAUGUUUGGGGACAGGAACCCCCAUAUGGACCACUGUCGUCACGGCCAGAGAACAGCAUGCAGGCAAAACAGGGAUUGUCAUCAACGGCAAUCUACAGAUGCAGUACAUGGCUCAGAACAGAUCCAUCCGUCUCCCAGCAAGCGGGAGAUGUUUGGGGACAGGAACCCCCAUAUGGACCACUGUCGUCACGGCCAGAGAACAGCAUGCAGGCAAAACAGAGAUUGUCAUCAACGGCAAUCUACAGAUGCAGUACAUGGCUCAGAACAGAUCCAUCCGUCUCCCAGCAAGCGGGAGAUGUUUGGGGACAGGAACCCCCAUAUGGACCACUGUCGUCACGGCCAGAGAACAGCAUGCAGGCAAAACAGGGAUUGUCAUCAACGGCAAUCUACAGAUGCAGUACAUGGCUCAGAACAGAUCCAUCCGUCUCCCAGCAAGCGGGAGAUGUUUUGGGACAGGAACCCCCAUAUGGACCACUGUCGUCACGGCCAGAGAACAGCAUGCAGGCAAAACAAGAAUAGACAUCAACGGCAAUUUACAGAUGCAGUACAUGGCUCAGAACAGAUCCAUCCGUCUCCCAGCAAGCGGGAGAUGUUUGGGGACAGGAACCCCCAUAUGGACCACUGUCGUCACGGCCAGAGAACAGCAUGCAGGCAAAACAGGGAUUGUCAUCAACGGCAAUCUACAGAUGCAGUACAUGGCUCAGAACAGAUCCAUCCGUCUCCCAGCAAGCGGGAGAUGUUUGGGGACAGGAACCCCCAUAUGGACCACUGUCGUCACGGCCAGAGAACAGCAUGCAGGCAAAACAGAGAUUGUCAUCAACGGCAAUCUACAGAUGCAGUACAUGGCUCAGAACAGAUCCAUCCGUCUCCCAGCAAGCGGGAGAUGUUUGGGGACAGGAACCCCCAUAUGGACCAUUGUCGUCACGGCCAGAGAAAAGCAUGCAGGCAAAACAGGGAUUGUCAUCAACGGCAAUGUACAGAUGCAGUACAUGGCUCAGAACAGAUCCAUCCGUCUCCCAGCAAGCGGGAGAUGUUUGGGGACAGGAACCCCCAUAUGGACCAUUGUCGUCACGGCCAGAGAACAGCAUGCAGGCAAAACAGGGAUUGUCAUCAACGGCAAUCUACAGAUGCAGUACAUGGCUCAGAACAGAUCCAUCCGUCUCCCAGCAAGCGGGAGAUGUUUGGGGACAGGAACCCCCAUAUGGACCAUUGUCGUCACGGCCAGAGAAAAGCAUGCAGGCAAAACAGGGAUUGUCAUCAACGGCAAUCUACAGAUGCAGUACAUGGCUCAGAACAGAUCCAUCCGUCUCCCAGCAAGCGGGAGAUGUUUGGGGACAGGAACCCCCAUAUGGACCAUUGUCGUCACGGCCAGAGAACAGCAUGCAGGCAAAACAGGGAUUGUCAUCAACGGCAACGUACAGAUGCAGUACAUGGCUCAGAACAGAUCCAUCCGUCUCCCAGCAAGCGGGAGAUGUUUGGGGACAGGAACCCCCAUAUGGACCAUUGUCGUCACGGCCAGAGAAAAGCAUGCAGGCAAAACAGGGAUUGUCAUCAACGGCAACGUACAGAUGCAGUACAUGGCUCAGAACAGAUCCAUCCGUCUCCCAGCAAGCGGGAGAUGUUUGGGGACAGGAACCCCCAUAUGGACCAUUGUCGUCACGGCCAGAGAAAAGCAUGCAGGCAAAACAGGGAUUGUCAUCAACGGCAAUCUACAGAUGCAGUACAUGGCUCAGAACAGAUCCAUCCGUCUCCCAGCAAGCGGGAGAUGUUUGGGGACAGGAACCCCCAUAUGGACCAUUGUCGUCACGGCCAGAGAAAAGCAUGCAGGCAAAACAGGGAUUGUCAUCAACGGCAAUCUACAGAUGCAGUACAUGGCUCAGAACAGAUCCAUCCGUCUCCCAGCAAGCGGGAGAUGUUUGGGGACAGGAACCCCCAUAUGGACCAUUGUCGUCACGGCCAGAGAAAAGCAUGCAGGCAAAACAGGGAUUGUCAUCAACGGCAAUCUACAGAUGCAGUACAUGGCUCAGAACAGAUCCAUCCGUCUCCCAGCAAGCGGGAGAUGUUUGGGGACAGGAACCCCCAUAUGGACCAUUGUCGUCACGGCCAGAGAACAGCAUGCAGGCAAAACAGGGAUUGUCAUCAACGGCAACGUACAGAUGCAGUACAUGGCUCAGAACAGAUCCAUCCGUCUCCCAGCAAGCGGGAGAUGUUUGGGGACAGGAACCCCCAUAUGGACCAUUGUCGUCACGGCCAGAGAACAGCAUGCAGGCAAAACAGGGAUUGUCAUCAACAGCAACGUACAGAUGCAGUACAUGGCUCAGAACAGAUCCAUCCGUCUCCCAGCAAGCGGGAGAUGUUUGGGGACAGGAACCCCCAUAUGGACCAUUGUCGUCACGGCCAGAGAAAAGACUGCAGGCAAAACAGGGAUUGUCAUCAACAGUAACGUACAGAUGCAGUACAUGGCUCAGAACAGAUCCAUCCGUCUCCCAGCAAGCGGGAGAUGUUUGGGGACAGGAACCCCCAUAUGGACCAUUGUCGUCACGGCCAGAGAACAGCAUGCAGGCAAAAACAGGGAUUGUCAUCAACGGCAAUCUACAGAUGCAGUACAUGGCUCAGAACAGAUCCAUCCGUCUCCCAGCAAGCGGGAGAUGUUUGGGGACAGGAACCCCCAUAUGGACCAUUGUCGUCACGGCCAGAGAAAAGCAUGCAGGCAAAACAGGGAUUGUCAUCAACAGUAACGUACAGAUGCAGUACAUGGCUCAGAACAGAUCCAUCCGUCUCCCAGCAAGCGGGAGAUGUUUGGGGACAGGAACCCCCAUAUGGACCAUUGUCGUCACGGCCAGAGAACAGCAUGCAGGCAAAACAGGGAUUGUCAUCAACAGUAACGUACAGAUGCAGUACAUGGCUCAGAACAGAUCCAUCCGUCUCCCAGCAAGCGGGAGAUGUUUGGGGACAGGAACCCCCAUAUGGACCAUUGUCGUCACGGCCAGAGAACAGCAUGCAGGCAAAACAGGGAUUGUCAUCAACAGUAACGUACAGAUGCAGUACAUGGCUCAGAACAGAUCCAUCCGUCUCCCAGCAAGCGGGAGAUGUUUGGGGACAGGAACCCCCAUAUGGACCAUUGUCGUCACGGCCAGAGAACAGCAUGCAGGCAAAACAGGGAUUGUCAUCAACAGUAACGUACAGAUGCAGUACAUGGCUCAGAACAGAUCCAUCCGUCUCCCAGCAAGCGGAAGAUGUUUGGGGACAGGAACCCCCAUAUGGACCAUUGUCGUCACGGCCAGAGAACAGCAUGCAGGCAAAACAGGGAUUGUCAUCAACAGUAACGUACAGAUGCAGUACAUGGCUCAGAACAGAUCCAUCCGUCUCCCAGCAAGCGGGAGAUGUUUGGGGACAGGAACCCCCAUAUGGACCAUUGUCGUCACGGCCAGAGAACAGCAUGCAGGCAAAACAGGGAUUGUCAUCAACAGUAACGUACAGAUGCAGUACAUGGCUCAGAACAGAUCCAUCCGUCUCCCAGCAAGCGGGAGAUGUUUGGGGACAGGAACCCCCAUAUGGACCAUUGUCGUCACGGCCAGAGAACAGCAUGCAGGCAAAACAGGGAUUGUCAUCAACGGCAAUCUACAGAUGCAGUACAUGGCUCAGAACAGAUCCAUCCGUCUCCCAGCAAGCGGGAGAUGUUUGGGGACAGGAACCCCCAUAUGGACCAUUGUCGUCACGGCCAGAGAACAGCAUGCAGGCAAAACAGGGAUUGUCAUCAACGGCAAUCUACAGAUGCAGUACAUGGCUCAGAACAGAUCCAUCCGUCUCCCAGCAAGCGGGAGAUGUUUGGGGACAGGAACCCCCAUAUGGACCAUUGUCGUCACGGCCAGAGAACAGCAUGCAGGCAAAACAGGGAUUGUCAUCAACGGCAACCUACAGAUGCAGUACAUGGCUCAGAACAGAUCCAUCCGUCUCCCAGCAAGCGGGAGAUGUUUGGGGACAGGAACCCCCAUAUGGACCAUUGUCGUCACGGCCAGAGAACAGCAUGCAGGCAAAACAGGGAUUGUCAUCAACAGUAACGUACAGAUGCAGUACAUGGCUCAGAACAGAUCCAUCCGUCUCCCAGCAAGCGGGAGAUGUUUGGGGACAGGAACCCCCAUAUGGACCAUUAUCGUCACGGCCAGAGAACAGCAUGCAGGCAAAACAGGGAUUGUCAUCAACGGCAAUCUACAGAUGCAGUACAUGGCUCAGAACAGAUCCAUCCGUCUCCCAGCAAGCGGGAGAUGUUUGGGGACAGGAACCCCCAUAUGGACCACUGUCGUCACGGCCAGAGAAAAGCAUGCAGGCAAACCAAGAAUAGACAUUAACGGCAAUCUACAGAUGCAGUACAUGGCUCAGAACAGAUCCAUCCGUCUCCCAGCAAGCGGGAGAUGUUUGGGGACAGGAACCCCCAUAUGGACCACUGUCGUCACGGCCAGAGAACAGCAUGCAGGUAAAACAGGGAUUGUCAUCAACAGUAUCGUACAGAUGCAGUACAUGGCUCAGAACAGAUCCAUCCGUCUCCCAGCAAGCGGGAGAUGUUUGGGGACAGGAACCCCCAUAUGGACCACUGUCGUCACGGCCAGAGAACAGCAUGCAGGCAAAACAGGGAUUGUCAUCAACGGCAAUCUACAGAUGCAGUACAUGGCUCAGAACAGAUCCAUCCGUCUCCCAGCAAGCGGGAGAUGUUUGGGGACAGGAACCCCCAUAUGGACCACUGUCGUCACGGCCAGAGAACAGCAUGCAGGCAAAACAAGAAUUGUCAUCAACGGCAAUCUACAGAUGCAGUACAUGGCUCAGAACAGAUCCAUCCGUCUCCCAGCAAGCGGGAGAUGUUUGGGGACAGGAACCCCCAUAUGGACCACUGUCGUCACGGCCAGAGAACAGCAUGCAGGCAAAACAGGGAUUGUCAUCAACGGCAAUCUACAGAUGCAGUACAUGGCUCAGAACAGAUCCAUCCGUCUCCCAGCAAGCGGGAGAUGUUUGGGGACAGGAACCCCCAUAUGGACCACUGUCGUCACGGCCAGAGAACAGCAUGCAGGCAAAACAGGGAUUGUCAUCAACGGCAAUCUACAGAUGCAGUACAUGGCUCAGAACAGAUCCAUCCGUCUCCCAGCAAGCGGGAGAUGUUUGGGGACAGGAACCCCCAUAUGGACCACUGUCGUCACGGCCAGAGAACAGCAUGCAGGCAAAACAGGGAUUGUCAUCAACGGCAAUCUACAGAUGCAGUACAUGGCUCAGAACAGAUCCAUCCGUCUCCCAGCAAGCGGGAGAUGUUUGGGGACAGGAACCCCCAUAUGGACCACUGUCGUCACGGCCAGAGAACAGCAUGCAGGCAAAACAAGAAUUGUCAUCAACGGCAAUCUACAGAUGCAGUACAUGGCUCAGAACAGAUCCAUCCGUCUCCCAGCAAGCGGGAGAUGUUUGGGGACAGGAACCCCCAUAUGGACCACUGUCGUCACGGCCAGAGAACAGCAUGCAGGCAAAACAGGGAUUGUCAUCAACAGUAGCGUACAGAUGCAGUACAUGGCUCAGAACAGAUCCAUCCGUCUCCCAGCAAGCGGGAGAUGUUUGGGGACAGGAACCCCCAUAUGGACCACUGUCGUCACGGCCAGAGAACAGCAUGCAGGCAAAACAGGGAUUGUCAUCAACGGCAAUAUACAGAUGCAGUACAUGGCUCAGAACAGAUCCAUCCGUCUCCCAGCAAGCGGAAGAUGUUUGGGGACAGGAACCCCCAUAUGGACCAUUGUCGUCACGGCCAGAGAACAGCAUGCAGGCAAAACAGGGAUUGUCAUCAACGGCAAUCUACAGAUGCAGUACAUGGCUCAGAACAGAUCCAUCCGUCUCCCAGCAAGCGGGAGAUGUUUGGGGACAGGAACCCCCAUAUGGACCAUUAUCGUCACGGCCAGAGAACAGCAUGCAGGCAAAACAGGGAUUGUCAUCAACGGCAAUCUACAGAUGCAGUACAUGGCUCAGAACAGAUCCAUCCGUCUCCCAGCAAGCGGGAGAUGUUUGGGGACAGGAACCCCCAUAUGGACCACUAUCGUCACGGCCAGAGAACAGCAUGCAGGCAAAACAGGGAUUGUCAUCAACGGCAAUCUACAGAUGCAGUACAUGGCUCAGAACAGAUCCAUCCGUCUCCCAGCAAGCGGGAGAUGUUUGGGGACAGGAACCCCCAUAUGGACCAUUAUCGUCACGGCAAGAGGACAUAAGGUCUAGCGAGGGUGGUAGGACGCAAGUAGGCGGCGCUAGGCACUCCACGCACACACGAAAAGGUUCAAAUCACAAUCACCUCAAUUGAAGGGAGCAGGGAAUGCAUUAAUCAUGUAUCAAGCACAUUAGUAUUGGACGCGCGUGGGAGUGCAGGUAUGGUGCGGCCCAGGAGCCAUGUCAAGGGUCAGUUCAUCUGGCUUGACGGACCCGAGGGCCCUAAAAAGUUAGAAGGUUGGUGCUUCAGCGUCGAUCAGUCGGGGAAAGUGUCGUCCUUCCCAUUGACAGGCCUGGGCGGGCUACUUGCGCACGAAUGACGUGGCGGAAAUGCGCAAUCUAUUUAUUUAUCUGUACAUGGCGGCAGGGCAGCGGAUGGACACGCUCUCAUGGCUACUCAGAAAAGUGUGUGAACGAACGUAUCGUCAUUGGUCUACGAAUGAGCUGAGCAGCGAAUUGACAUUACUAUGGUGCAGGGGCAACGCUGGCACGUUACGAAGAGACGUGGCACACUAGGGGUGACAGCAGCUGGUGAGCCAGAGACGCCAUAACGUCUGUCCAUCAGCAGAGAUAUCCCUAGAUGAGGGACCCAUAGGACUGGGGCGAAAAUAUCAUUCAUCGCUUUCUAACCCUCCACAAAUUAGCAACGCCUUGGCAGCUAAAAAUUCUCUUGAAAGGUUGCCUUGAGAGGUGCCUCACAGCGACUUACCAGAUACUUUCUUGAUAAACAUCGAGACGACAGCCUUCCAUGAACGGUGAAACCUUGACAACGGUGCUGAUCGUGAUAUCAUUAGCGGUGGUGGUGGCGGCAGCAUCAGCACCAAUACCACAUGAAGGAGCGAGGGAACAUGAAACCCGUAGGCUGCAUCCCUAAUUCAUUCACAAGCAAGCGACGACAUCCACAGCGGUACGACAGAGAAUGCCGGUGUUGAUGAACACCAGUAUAACGGUGUGUCAGAUUAAACAACCAGCGACCUCAGCAGGGCACGAAUGCCAUUCAGAAGACCGUCGUGAGAUUAUUACUGGCGUUUUCUCAUCAACCACACGACAAGUACCACCACACAUUCAACACUCAACAGAACAAACGCGCAGUCCAGCUGGAACCCCUCAGCGAAACAGUUGAAAAGCCUCAGACAUCCAAGGAAGAAUCAAGCGGCAUCAGCUCUCAAGCCCGGCGAAGGCGAAAGCUCUAGACGGGCCCUGCGAAUGGUUUUUUCUGAGAGAAGCCCUGUUUGGAAACGUCAUCAUCGGCCAUCUAAAUAUAAAUCAAAUCAGGAAAGACACCAACAGCAUCAUCGUAUGCCAAGACGAAGCACUCAAGCAUUUGCCUCAAACCGCAACAAGGUUGCACCGUAUGCACAUUGCCACCUGAGGUGCCCAUGAACAUGACCUGCCCUAGACUGCGCGGCUUCACCAGGUAGGUUCACUCCUGCAGAGCAGAAAUCUGACUACACCACAGCAGUUACAACUUGGCGUGCUUCAUCAUGGGCAUAGAUACAUUUCUUCAUUUGCGGCAUGAUGAAAUCAUGAAGCAGUGAAGAAUGCGCUUCAUGCAAAGGCUAAACUUUCAUGCAGCAGCAAAAGAGGUAAUAGGUUACCAACAUACAGAUACAGAGCACGGCUCAGAACAGAUCCAUCCGUCUCCCAGCAAGCAGGAGAUGUUUGGGGACAGGAACCCCCAUAUGGACCACUGUCGUCACGGCCAGAGAACAGCAUGCAGGCAAAACAGGGAUUGUCAUCAACAGUAACGUACAGAUGCAGUACAUGGCUCAGAACAGAUCCAUCCGUCUCCCAGCAAGCGGAAGAUGUUUGGGGACAGGAACCCCCAUAUGGACCAUUGUCGUCACGGCCAGAGAACAGCAUGCAGGCAAAACAGGGAUUGUCAUCAACGGCAAUCUACAGAUGCAGUACAUGGCUCAGAACAGAUCCAUCCAUCUCCCAGCAAGCGGGAGAUGUUUGGGGACAGGAACCCCCAUAUGGACCACUGUCGUCACGGCCAGAGGAGGACAGCUGGAAAGAAAAUAAAAAAGAUGAAGUAGGGAGGCGGUUGGGAAAGGGGGCCUAAGGGACAUUCGUUCUCAUGGCCAGAGAGUUGCAAAACACGAUGUCAUUUCUGAACAAUGGGAAAGCCAUCGGUGAGCAUAUGCAACGCUUAGUGCAAAUGCGAAGAACCCGUUUUAAGCUCGGGUAAGAAAACCUUGGAGACCAAGAUAAUUACAGCCACUGCGAAUCCGGAUGUCCGAGUAGGCCAGAGCGCCCGGUGGAAGGAAAAGUCAUUUUCUGUGUAGUAGCUUUAAUCAUGAGGUGUCAUCAACAGCUUGAAGUUGUCGUCAUAGCGCAGAAAAUAGAGGAAUAGGCAAGGGCUCCAUGCCAAAUGUUCAUUUUGUGCAGGCCAGUACGUAGCAGGUGCCCAUAACGUCGCGUGGUGGACAGGAAAAUGAUUUCAAGCCACAAUACAGCCAACCAUAUAUUGACCAACGCAGGUGUUGAAUCAAGACAUGUCUGGGCGCAAUCGUCCCAGCCCCAAACCAUGACGAAGAGCUAGGAUAGCGUGCUCAAUCAAUAGCAGCAAGGAGAUGUUGAGCUCUCGCAACCGGCCCUGUGGCUCCUCGGAACGGGUUUUCACAGCACAGAGCAAGCUGUGUAACUAGUUAUGAAAGGAGCCGGACUGUCUGUAUGGGGAUCUGUAGACAUGUCAAAACCUGGGCUGGACCGUACGUGCAUGCGUGCUGCAGGAUGUACUACAGCUCGAGAGUCUGAAAGCAGCAAAAGAGGGCCAAAGGAUAUAGGGGGUAAACAUAUCGGGGUUGGUAUGACGCAAGCAGGGUCGCGCUGGGCACUCAAAGCAUGGACGAAAAGGUUCAAAUCACCUUUCAUCUCAAUUGAAGGGAGCAGGGAAUGCAUACAUCAAGCGCACGUAUGGUGCGGCCCAGGAGCCAUGUCAAGGGUCAGUUCAUCUGGCUUGACGGACCCGAGGGCCCUAAAAAGUAAGAAGGUUGGUGCUUCAGCGUCGAUCAGUCGGGGAAAGUGUCGUCCUUCCCAUUGACAGGCCUGGGCGGGCUACUUGUGAACGAACGACGUGGCGGAAAUGCGCAAUCUAUUUAUUUAUCUGUACAUGGCGGCAGGGCCGCGGAUGGACACGCUCUCAUGGCUACUCAGAAAUGUGUUGGAACUAAUGCAUCGUCAUCAGUCUACGAGUGAGCCGAGCAGCAAAUUGACAUUAAUAUUGUGCAGGGGCAAGGCUGGCACGUUACGAAGAGACGUGGCACACGAGGAGUGACAGCAGCUGGUGAGUCAAGAGACUCCAUAACGUCUGUCCAUCAGCAGAGAUAUCGCUAGAUGAGGGACCCAUAGGACUGGGGCGAAAAUAUCAUUUACCAUUUUUCUGCUGGCCGCCGCGGCCCAAAUGAACCGAUGCUCUAUUCAGCGACAACUGCAAGGACCUCUAUACAGUGAGCACAACACAACUUACCUUCUAUUUCCACGUAAUUAAACUUAUGGACGACCGGACUUUAGCCAAAAAAGGGAACUCUGACGGCGGCCCUUGCAGCAGCAACCAUCAAGGCAGCGCGCAGCAUACGGAAUAAUGUUAUGGGUUAUGCUGAUUAUUAGUAGCAAAAGCAUAUCCUAUGUUUUAAGGGACAAAUGCUAUAUGGUUUUCUUACGCUCAAAUUUGCCCUUUGGGGGGAUUUUGUACGAAUGGAUUCAAUCAACAGAAGAAACGGGAACUGAGUGUUCCGUGGUCAUAGCAUGCUUUAGCGAGGAAGUACCGUUUUCGUUUUUUCAACGGGACAAUUUUCUUCUUAAGGACUCAAUUUAUGACAGUGGCAUGACCAGUAUGCAGAUGAUUGACUUGAUUCGAUCGGAAUUACCGAAAGAUAUGUGUAAAAGCUUCUGAAAGAGCUAGAAAUUUAAAGAGCGUGCAAAGCAGUCAACCCAACACGCCAAGCCGGUCCAUAUCCAGUAAUUCCGCUAUGGCAACUCGACAGCCCCUCGCGCUUAGCUUGGCAGGCUUCCAGUUUACAUACCGUAAUAACUACUUUGACUGGCGGCUGCUACAUGGCAUUGAUAUUGACACAGUGGUGCGUGUGGUUCAGGUCACUGCGGCUUGUGCUGUACAAGGGCCGGCAUGUAGGUUGCCAUUUGGGGUAAAAGCCGAGGGCGGUGGCAAGUAGUGGAUUGUAUAACACAAGCAAAGGUUCUUAAUUGAAAAAAUAUUUGAGCGUUACGCUUUGCGACAGGACCGCGUUGCGCAGCACGGUUGUGACCCACAUCCCUUGCAUAUGAUUAACGAAAGCCUUUCUGCUUCCAUACGCCUGCACAUCCUUGUGACAAGCCACGAUUUUCUUUUGUCUGGAACAUUCAGGCAACAUAUUCAGCACGCAGCUCCCUCCUCCACUUCCUCCCUACCUCCUCACCCCACUACAUACAUACGGAUGGACCCGGGUGUGUCGGCAGGUCGACGGAGAAUCCGAUAUGUCCUAGAGGAACCACUCUUUCCUUUUCCUGUGCCUUGUGCGGUCCUACUGCUUGGAUGCUCUGCGGUAUGACCUAUAUUAAUGCACCUGACGCUUAUAUUGGGAACCCCUUGCCCAGGGACGUGUUUCCGAUUGCCUCCCUCGCCUGUCCGCCACCUAGCCCAUGCAGGGUUUGUUGGACACAUGAAACGAUUUAAGGGUCAUGAUUUGCUGCUGUGUCCACGAAAUGGUUGUACCACCCACAUUCCAGAAGCCCACGUAGCUCUUGAACACAAACAAUUACGCAAGGACACGCGAAUCAAUCCAUGGGGUUUUCACCGGCUUGUAAGACGUUCCUUAAGAGACAUGGAUGUGCACCGCUUAUUGCACCCAUUUGCACGCAAUCUCGUCUACAUGGCCGCCCCCAACGCCAUCCCAACCCAUCCCAAAAAUGCCAGGGCACUCACGUUUGCGUUCCACAAUGACAACGUCCAGACUGGUUUCCUGGUUACACUGAACCGCGUCUUAACGCAUGAAUGCAUAUGACCUCGAUCUCCUCCAAUCACCACCCCUGCAUCCCACCCUUCUGCACGCACCUCCAAACAGCACCACCUCCAAACAAAUAUUCCCCGCCCCUCCCCCCCUUCCCCCCCUCCCCCCCUCCCCGCCCCUCCUCCCGCACAUCCGCAGAUUCGUCUAACUGACGUUCAGGCGGUAGAGGACUGUCUGGACACCCUCCAGCGCGGCUCCUUCGCUGCGGAAAGGGACCGGCUGUCCCCCGCCAACUGCGUGCAGUUGUUCCGGCUGCUACAGCUCGCCGUAGAGUACUGCGGGCACCUGCGGGCGGCGCAUGCGCUGCUGCUGGAGUGCUACAACACAGCAACUGCGGCGGCGGAGAGGUGCGGAAGGAGCAGGGCUGCGUCGGGGAAAGGCAUUGUGGAGUUGGAGGGUGGGAGGGAGACGGGGCUCGGCAGAGGGGGAGGGUGGAAGGCGAGGAGGAGAGGGGAUAUUCCGGGUUGGAUAGCUAAGAAGGGAAGCAUGAGAAGGCAGAACAACAGGGUGCGAAGUGUACACUGGUGCAGGAAGGGAUGCCAAGGGUGUGGAAUGGGGUGGGCGUGUCGGUUUUGGAAAAGGCAAGUGCCGUGGACAGAUGCCGAACGACGCCGGACCUGCCCGCUCACACACUACCCCGCCAGUACGAGUUCCAAGCUCGAGAGCCCUUUUUCUUGUCUUGGCCAGCUACCGCUAUCUGAUACAUGUCGUCUGGCUGCCCCUUUCCUUCCAUGCCUGCAUAACUUGGUACAUAGCAUGUUCCCAUCUGUCAACGUUUUUUCCUGGCAUGCCUGUCUGACUCGGUGGCUUACCCCUCCCUAUCCCCCACAUCUUACCCUCCUUACCCUUUACCACUCUUCCACAUUCCCUCAUACAUACAUACAUGCUCCCGACCCUUGCGCUGUGUUUCGGCUCCGGCCCCCGGCGCUCGCGGCCCACAGUGUAUGACCCAAGUCAUACAUACAUACAUACAUACAUACAUGCACACAUGCACACACUCAUAUACAUAUACAUACACGCCCCCUCCAUUUAUCCCCAGCUGGAAGGCCGCAGCUCGCAGCUACUUGGAGGUGGGCUCUGUCUUCGUGUCUGAGAGUGUGACGCUGGGCAGCCUCAGCCGGGGGCCGCUUGACGCCACCGAUGCGGCCAAGGCGGUGCUGGAGGCGGCGGAUAGGGAGUACAACCUGGCGCUGGAUGCACUGGAGGCGAGUGGGAAGAGGGGAGAAUGGAGAAGAGGGAAUAUUCGUAGGGUGGCAGGAGGUGGUGCCAAGAUUGAUUGUAGGUCAACUUUCAAAGUCUGAGCAGGGGAGGUCGGGGGGUAAGGUUGUGGGGAGGAGAGGGGGGCCAGUGGCCUCAGGGGCCAGGCUACGUGACUGGAAAGGAGGUGGGAAUGGAGCCAUCGGAGAAAGGGGGGACAGGGGGGAGAAACGGGAGUUGGAUCGGACCCUGUGUGAGAUUGGCGGGAAAUGCCAGCGCAAGAAUCCACGUUGUGGAAGUGUGUGGGUAGUGGGUGAGGGGAGGAAGGUGAAGGAAAGUGGGCGGGGGGAGCAGGCGGGGAGGUACGAAGAUAGGAAUGAGGUAAUCGGGGGAAAAGCUCGCUGCCUGUGUGACGACCUGUGUGUGCAAGGGCGCUGGGCCUAACCCCUCCUCUCCCUGCGCCGCUCUGGCCCUACCUUCGUCCCCCCCCCUCUCCCCGUGUGUUGCCUCUUUUGACCUCAGCUGCGUUCCAUUCCCUCCUUUGUUCGCCUCGUCUCCACUUUCACCUUCCCUGUCUCCUUUCCUCCUCGCCUGUUGCCCUGUUGCCCUGUCCUUGUCCCUUUCUCCUCAUCAUGGACCUUCAACCAGAACCCCCCCCAACGUAAGGCCACCCACAACCCUGCGUCUUGUACACUCUUUCCUUGGCAGCAGCUUCACUCGUCCGUGGUUCGUCUUCACCCCCACAACCCCCCCCCCACCCAAAUAUGAGCCAAGCAACAGCGGCGCCCCUUUGGCCAGUCUGGUUUUUAGUGUGCGCAUGUAACCCCACACGCAACCUUCGCCCCCUGGCCCCCCGUGAGAACGCAGGCGGAGGACUCCCGGGCUCGGCACUUCCGUUUCCGCAAGCAGCGUACGGAGAUCUCCUGGUCCACUCUGAACGCUGCUGACGUGGACCGCCUCGUGUCCUCCCUGGACGUGGGACUGCUCGAGGGCCUUCUGCCCAACCUCACGUACGGCAGCAUUACUAACGAGGAUGACGAGCAACUGACACCGCAUCAUUUUGGACAGCUUAUUCCGCUGGGGCAGGUGGGGGGAAUGUGUGGGUGUGGGUGUGGGGAAGAGGGGGGAAGUGGGACAGCAAAUUGGAGCUAGGCUGGGUGUAUGUAUGUAUGUAUGUAUGUACACAACCCGGGCCUUGCUUCCCCUCUCCCCCUCGGAUGGCUGCCGGUAUAAAUAUAUACAUGUGUGUAUAUAUGUGUAUACAUGUAUGUAUAUAUGUUGUGUGUGUGUGUCGGUAUGAACCUCCCCCCUCCCAGCCCCCCACCUGUCACUAGACAGCUCGCACAUGGAUUACGUGCGCGCACCUCCACCUCCUGAUUACGGGCCGCCCGCUGUGCAAACCAUGUGCGCUCUCACGCCCGCGUGUCCUUUAUUUCCCAAUUCCAAAACUCCUCCAUCCCCCUCCACUACCACCACACACCUGCUUGUCCAGAUCAUCAUGUGCUGCUUGUCUUGAAGCUUCCGUUCAACCCCCCACCCCCCCCACCCCCCCACCCACCCCGUUGUCAUCCCUACCUGCCCGGGGGCCGCCCCCACUAUCACCACCACUCGCCCCCCCACUAUCACCACCACUCGCCCCCCCACUAUCACCACCACUCGCCCCCCCACUAUCACCACCACUCGCCCCCCCACUAUCACCACCACUCGCCCCCCCACUAUCACCACCACUCGCCCCCCCACUAUCACCACCCGGCCGUCACCGCGCCAGGCGGCUCUGGACUACGUGCUGUGGCAGGCCAAUGCCACCGGCGCGCUCAUGGUGUGGUUUAACGAACUGCGCUGUUGUAUGUGUAUGUGUAUGUAUGUAUGUAUGUAUGUAUGUAUGUAUGUAUGUAUGUAUGUAUGUAUGUAUGUAUGUAUGUGUUUAUCUGUUACAUGUCGAUCCGAGCCUGACGCUGGCCAGGGUGUACGUGUGUGUGCGUAUGUGGUCAUGUGUGUGUGGGGGGGAUGUAGGUCCUGAUGGCCUCCCUGAAGGGGGCCCACUCGCGCACUCAGCACCUCAGCACGGUUGCUCCUUCGGAACCCCUUGCGCGAUACGCACAUCAGACAUGACAUGAGGAUGCACACGGUUGCUCCUGCGGAACCCUUUCCCCUUCUUAGAAGCUUCUAGGCGGCUUGAGACACCCGCCUUGUCCUCCUCCGCCUCCUCCGCCUCCUCCUCCGCCUCCUCCGCCUCCUCCGCCUCCUCCGCCUCCUCCUCCGCCGCCGCCUCCUCCUCCGCCUCCUCUUCCGCCGCCGCCUCCUCCUCCGCCUCCUCUUCCCCACAGGAGCAAGCAAUGGCUGGUCUGCAGGCGGCGUGUGCGGACAUACCCACACUCACCAGCGCCACGCAGGUGGGGGGGUGUAACUGUGUAUUUUACCAAACCGCCACCACGACCACCACCACCACCACCACCACCACCCCGCAUCUCUGUCCUUCCCCCCGGCCCCGGCCACACUCCUCCCUGUUGUAGCGCCUGAGUUUGGGUGUGUUUUCCGUACUCCCCCUUUCUUUUCCCCCUUCUCGCCCUCUUCUUUUCCCCCGUUUCCCCCUGCAGGAGCUGCACGCUGAAAUCACCUCCCUGCUACUCGGCGGACAGCCCCAGACACAAAACCAGAACCAGAUUCUAAACCAGCCCGGGCUUGGGCUUGUGGCCGGGAUUAUGACACCCAGCGGCGGGGGUGGGGGUGGGGCUGGCUUGCCGGAUGUGGGAGGUUCGGCGGCGGCUGGUGGUGGUGGUGGUGAUGUUGGUGGCCUAGGGUCCGCAGUGCCCUGGGCCUCGGCGUCGGCGGAUCUGUCCCAGCAGUACGGGCAGGUGGGUCCGGGCAGGUGGGUCCGGGCAGGUGGGUCCGGGCAGGUGGGUCCGGGCAGGUGGGUCCGGGCAGGUGGGUCCGGGCAGGUGGGUCCGGGCAGGUGGGUCCGGGCAGGUGGGUCCGGGCAAGUGGGUCCGGGCAGGUGGGUCCGGGCAGGUGGGUCCGGGCAGGUGGGUCCGGGCAGGUGGGUCCGGGCAGGUGGGUCCGGGCAGGUGGGUCCGGGCAGGUGGGUCCGGGCAGGUGGGUCCGGGCAGGUGGGUCCGGGCAGGUGGGUCCGGGCAGGUGGGUCCGGGCAGGUGGGUCCGGGCAGGUGGGUCCGGGCAGGUGGGUCCGGGCAGGUGGGUCCGGGCAGGUGGGUCCGGGCAGGUGGGUCCGGGCAUAUAGUCGUCUAGUCGUCUAGUCGUAUCAAAUAUGCGUAUCAAAUACGCAAAACCCAAAAAUCAAUACGUUGGGAAUAAUCAAUACGGUCGUACUCGUCAGUACAGGCAAUCCGACCCAUGGGUCACAGGUACCUAAGAACACCGAUCAGGGCCGCUACAGGUCCAUGCAGAGCCAUGCGAUGUAAAUAGUCAAGGGGCCAUCCGUGACGGCGAAUCGAUAAUACUCGCCUAUGGCGACUAGCCUUCCUAGCACCACCGCUGAAGGCCUUCUGGCAGUAGAGAGUCUCUUUGUGAGGAAGGACGGAGGUCGCUUCAUGGGGGCAAGCCUUUGCGGCUGAUGGGCCGUGGUUAAUAGGCGGUUCUGCCCCUCUCGUUUCCCCAACCCCUCUGCCCCUCUCCGGCCUCGUGUCCAAGAUCCCGGUUCUCCUACUUCACGGCCCUCCCUUCCAGACGCAGUACGGCGGCCGGCCGGGGCUUAUCUUCCAGGGUUUGACACGCACGUCCUCCCCCGCACCCCUGCGACCCGUCAGUGGGGGCCCUGGAGGAGCACCGCAGGUACGUCUGUCUGUCUGUCUAUCUGUCUGUGUGUGUAGAUAUGUAUGUAUGUGGAUAUGUGUGUCGCAUUGGAUUGUUGCCAUUACGCCGCUAGCUAGCCAUGAAGGAAACUGAAAACAACAACGGUGCGAUGGAUGCGGUCUGCAGACGUGACGAAUAACCCACUGUUCGGUACUUGGGCGGUGGCUCAGAAAGCAAAGAGAGGGCCUGCAUGCUCACACACGCACACACGCACACGCAAACACGCGAGAUGGCGGGGGGGGUUACGCUGUCAUCCACAACUCUCCACUCCCUUUCCGUGACCAACCUGAGUGUGUUGUUGCUACUGCUCUGCCACCCCCACNNNNNNNNNNNNNNNNNNNNNNNNNNNNNNNNNNNNNNNNNNNNNNNNNNNNNNNNNNNNNNNNNNNNNNNNNNNNNNNNNNNNNNNNNNNNNNNNNNNNNNNNNNNNNNNNNNNNNNNNNNNNNNNNNNNNNNNNNNNNNNNNNNNNNNNNNNNNNNNNNNNNNNNNNNNNNNNNNNNNNNNNNNNNNNNNNNNNNNNNNNNNNNNNNNNNNNNNNNNNNNNNNNNNNNNNNNNNCCACCAGGUUCUCCGCAUAGGGCCCUCACGUCUCGGUACCCCGGGGGGUGCCGCCGGAGGUGGGGGCUUGGGGUCCCCCUCAAGACGGUUAUCCGGAAGGUAGGGUCGGAAGGUGGGGAGGGAGGUGGGGGGGAAGGGAGGUGGGGGAGCGCGGGAAUAGUUGUAGGGGAAAAGGCAACCUAACCCGCACUCGUUGGCUGUACUGUUGGGGAAACGGGGGGGAGCGGCGAGCUCAAGGAGAGGGGGGAAAUGGGCUUCGUAAGGGAAGAGGAGGAGGAGGAGGAGGGGGAGGGGAGGGAGAUCAAAAUGGCGGUGAAGGAAAGCGCCCGCCUCGAUGAUGUGAUGUCCUCAUGUGCCGCGGCAGGUUACAGGAGAGACCUAUAGGUAACCUCCGACCGCUAGCAGAGCGGUAGCAGAGCCUUUCUUCUGGCAUCCUGCGUCCUUGACCUUGACACGACCGACCGACCGACCAUGAGGUCGAAGUCGGGAAAGGGAAGAAAACUCUGCUGCGAGGUGUUCUGUAAUGCGACCUUAGCCGUGGUACGGAAAAACAAGCAACGCAGUACAGGGUGACGUCACUCCUGUCGUCAGUGAGAUCAUCUGUGUCAGUGAGAAGCGGUGCCAGCUGCCGUUGUGGGUUUUGAUUCCACCCAGAGGUGAGGGGGGGAAUCAGUCAGCCCACGGCUGUUGAGGUGGCAGGAACCGAAACCUCCAUUAGACUUAACUACGUACACAACUUACACAACCAGAUAUCUUCUUAUUACCUACAUACAUACCUAUCUCCCGCGUGUGUGUGUGUGUGUGUUCCGGUGUUGUUAUGUGGUGAGAAGUUUUGCCGGCGGCGCGCUGGAGGAGCUGGUGGCGGCGGCGUCGCUGAUCAGCGGCGGCGGCGCGGGCGGUGCUGGUGGCGGCAGUGGCGGCACUGCCGGCGGCGGAUUCCCCGUCCUCGAGUUGCACAGUCGUGCCACCGAGCUGAACCACAAAGUGGACGUCAUUGAACAAGACCUGAGGUGAGCUGAGCUUAGUGGGGAGGGGAGGGGAGGGGAGGGGAGGGGAGGGGAGGCGGAGCUAAAAGCAGGCGGGGACUUGAGCAGACCACGGCAGGCACCCUGACACAGCUUCAUCCGUUGUGCGGGAGAUUGGCGAAAGGGGGCGACAGGGUGAGGUGCGGUUCAAGGUGGGAUCGGAGCACAAUACAACACGAGACCGUCCUGCUGCUAGGGGGGGAGGAAUGUGGGGGGUAAGAAGGCCCUACUGGCCACCCCGGUGUGGUGAGGUGCUGUGCGGGGGGAAGGGACAGCUCUCCUAUGUGGUGGUUGUCGAGGGAGGGGGGUCUGGGCAGGUGGGAGCUGGUGGGGGGGCUGGCGAUGUGGAGGGGCGGGUGGGUGGCAAGGUGUAUUUCAAAGCAACUGGAUAUCGCUUCAUCUGGGAGAGGAAGUUGUUUUGGGGAGGAGGGGGUUUGCGGAUCUCUCGUAGCCCCCAUGCAUCUGGACUCCUCCACCCCUCCAACCCCGUUGGUUCCCUCCUCCAUCCCCCCCUCCCCCUUCCUCCAUCCCCCCCUCCCCCUUCCUCCAUCCCCCCCUCCCCCUUCCUCCAUCCCCCCCUCCCCCNNNNNNNNNNNNNNNNNNNNNNNNNNNNNNNNNNNNNNNNNNNNNNNNNNNNNNNNNNNNNNNNNNNNNNNNNNNNNNNNNNNNNNNNNNNNNNNNNNNNNNNNNNNNNNNNNNNNNNNNNNNNNNNNNNNNNNNNNNNNNNNNNNNNNNNNNNNNNNNCGCCUCCCCCUUCCUCCAUCCCCCACGCAAGCCAUCACUGGUCACAGUAACAUUUUCCUGUCAGCAUUUAUCUUCUCCUGGACUACCCGUCUUUGGUAUCUGCUCCAUUCGUUAGUGUGUUAGUUCGUCUUACCCCCUCGCCCCCUUGCGCCUACCGGACGUCAUGCCAGGAUGGAGAGGAGUAAGACGGAGGAGAUGCGGCGCAUUCUGACAGACAUACGUGACAGACUUAACCAGCGGCCUGGAGGUGGUGGCGGCGGCGGCGGCAGUACAGGCACCAUGACGCAGCAGGGCCCCGGCGGCGGCGGCGGCGGCGACGGCGGCCUGUCCCCCGCCGAGUCGUUGACCUUCCCCUCCGCCACGGCCUACAUCAGCCCUCUGGACAUCACGGCCGCGCAGGGCCUAGCCACCUACUCGGCCUUCGUAAAUACACCCUCCGCCGCCGCGGCUGCCGGCGGCGGCGGUGGCGGGUCGCGGUACGGCAGCGCAGCUGGCGUCAGCAUCUCUGGACUGCCGCAGUCGGACAUGGGUCCCACCAAGGUCCGGGUGUAAGUGUCGUAAGUGUCGUACGUGUCGUAGUAGGGGGGGUAUAGAUGGUAAUAUCGUUUAAGUAGGUCAGUAGUAAGUGCGGAUGGAGGGGCGACCGGCGCGAUGUUGUUGUUGUUGUUGUUGUUGUUGUUUUCCUCUAUCGUGCGUUGAGGUCGCGCCCUAACCCCCGCUCUGUUCCACUCCUCGCCCCCUCUCCUCUCCACUCCGAUGCCGCCCCCCGAAUGAGGGUGAGGACGAAGGUAAUGGCGAUGCGGUGCAGGGCCGAACCCUGCCUCCCCUCCAGUCGCAUUCCCCCCUUACCUCUAACUCCCCUUGGGUCCCCCUUCUUAGCCUGCCUCCCCACGUACCCCUCCCCACGUACCCCUCCCCACGUACCCCUCCCCACGUACCCCUCCCCACGUACCCCUCCCCACGUACCCCUAUCCGAACCCCGGGCCCCCGGCCUCCCCUCCCUUAACUCUCCGGCCUCCCGGACCUCCCUUAACUCUCCGGCCUCCCGGACCUCCCGCAGAUUUGUUGACGAGGACGCCAUCAGAGAGCAGGAGCGGCAGCGGGCGGUGCAGGUGCUGGCAAGGCAGGCGGAGAAGCUCAAGCAACAGGUGAGAAGUGGAGGGUUGAGGAGGGGAGAAGGAGGGGGAGCGCAGGGUUGAGGAGGGGGCGAGGUGAGGAAGGGGCAAGGGAGGAGGCAGUAAAGUUGUUCGCAGCAGCUAAGGAGGUAUGGGCUGUGGGAGAAGGUACACAGGAUUCAAACCCGAGAGCUCGGGAGGACAACGGAACCAAUUUUAACCCGCAGGUGGAUUGUCGCAGUGAGGGGCGCAAGCCGGGGGGGGGGAGGGCGCCAGUGGGGAGUGGAGGCGGCGGUACCUGAGGGCAUGUAGGGGGGCGUGGUUGGGUGGUGGAGGGUGGCUGGGGUUAGGCUGGAACAAGGUUUCGUUGAGGAGGAGGAAGAGGAGGGGGCGGCAGGGGGCUAAUGAUUGCAUAAUGAAAAAACACAGCUGCCGAAGUGUGUGGGAAGGGGAGGGGAGGGGGGUUAUGCCGGCAGGAAGUGUGGGUGUGUGGGUGUAUAGCCGGGGCUCGGAAAGCUCCAGUUCCAGCUCCUCCAUACCUUUCUUUUCUUCUCCCCCCUCCUGCCCCCUCCUCUUCCUGCCCUUUUUUACCGAAAAACACACUUGCAAGGCCCUCCCCCAGCUUCCAGUUGUGUCUCCUCCUGGCCCCGGGUGGCUCCCCGGCUUACCACCACCAGCCGCUCUUAAGUGGCCGAAGCGUCUGAUUUAUGUAUUAUUGUCCCCCCCUUCCUAUGGUUCCUUCCAAACCCUCCAAUCCUUCCAGAUGCUUCGCGAGCACCAGGAGCGCCGUCUGGUGGCCUCCGGAGGGAUCCCCUCGACCUCCCCACCCGCACUGGGGGGGGUAGCCAACAGGGCAUCGUCCGUACAGCACUUGAUUGGGGGCAAGGUAGGGGAGCGGGAGGGGGGAGGGGGGCAAGGUAGGGAAGGGGGGAGAAGGGGAGGGCAGGGAGGGCAGGGAAGGCAGGGGGACGGGGGGUGUUAGGAAACACCACACACAAUGCAGCCCCCCUACCCCCCUUACUUGGAGCCACCUCCCCACCUCCCUAUUGCACCGCCUCACUCUCAUCUCCCUCUCCCCCCGUCCGCCUCCUCGUCACACACACCCCGUCUUCCCUUUUGCAGGAAGGGCCGCGUCACAGCCGGCAGUCGAGCAGGUGGGGUGGGGUGGGGUGGGGUGGGGUGGGGUGGGGUGGGGUGGGGUGCGGUGGGGUGGGGUGGGGUGGGGUGGGGUGGGGUGGGGUGGGGUGGGGUGGGGUGGGGUGGGGUGGGGUGGGGUGGGGUGGGGUGGGGUGGGGUGGGGUCGGGUGGGGUGGGUGGGGUGGCAGCAGGGUAGUCAGUGCAAUAGUGGAUUAGAUAGUGGUGGUGGUAGUGGGUGUGUGGAACUGCUGGGGGGGCUGUGGGGCUCCCGGGUCCUUGGGCGGCAAGCACCCGCGCUGCCUGGCAGGUGGUAGGCACAUGGACACACAACCGCCGCUCCAACCGCCACUGAAACGACCGCCAACGAACCCUCCAACCCCCGGCAUGUUCAACACUGUCCUGUGUUUCCCCACCCGAACGCUUCGGCCACACACACACCCUCAAACAUGUCUAUGUCAACAGAGAGGGCAUUGGCAUUGGCAGCGGUAUUGGCAUGGGAGGUGGAGGUGGAGGUGGAGGUGGAGGUGGUUCCUCACGGCGCCCAGGUGGGCCACGUCGUUCCAGUCCGGGAAGGAGCAGUCGCCCGGGCAGUAGCACACACAUCUCCCGACAAAACACCACAUACGCCACAGCGGCCACUGCGGCCGCAGGUACACCCCAAUACACCCAACCGCCGGACUACAGCUCAGAUCCUGAACAGCAGCUACAGCCAUCGCGGCAGCAAGUGAUGUACGGGUCGUACGAGCCGCAGGUAGUGAUGGUUGCGUCAUCCUCUCGCCAUGGCAGCAGCGGCGGCGCCGGCAGUGGCGGUGGCGGCGCCGCCCCUGGAGGCGGCAGCCGGCCGCCCAAACCGUUCUCGCGGCUGUCCGGGAUGCAUGGCAGCCUCGGGGACCUGCCGAUGGCGUCAGCGGCGGUUGCGGGAGUGUACGGCAUGGCCGGCGGCAGCGGUGGCGGAUCGCGGUCGGGCACCGCGUCUGGGGGCCCUGGGCAGGAGGGCCGAAGUGGGGGAGGAGGUGGGGGAGGUGGAGGAGGAGGAUUCCGACAUCGGAGCUUAUCAGAGAGUGCUGAAGGCGGGUGACUGGCGGGAUUGCACGUUCAGAGUUGCGGUUGGGAGAGUGGGGGGGUGGGGGAGGAUGUGCGCCGGGGAUUGGAGAGAUUGAAAGGCGGGAAAACCGCCGCGAGAAUGCGAGAAAAUUACCCUACCAUGUGGAUGGUACCACCCAAUAUGCGCGCGCUGGCGGUGGUGGUGGAGAGGGGUUCCGGAACGGGUAGCGGACUGACGCUGUGUUGCAGGGAGACCUUCCACAUCUAUAUCUCUCUGUAUACGUGUACAUGCACGUGCGCGUGCACGUGUGUGUUUCGGUGGUCGUGUUGGUGGUGAGUAACGCCUUUUGUGGAGGCGUCGUAGAAACAGUAGCGACAGGCUGAGAGGAGAUUAUGGUAGGAAAGUAACAAGUACAGCAGCAGCAGCAGCAGCAGCAGCAGCGGGGGGGGAUGUGGGCCAUGUGUGCCGCAGGGCGGGGAGCGGGACGGGUAAACUCGUUCAGGUGCACCUGAGAGAGAGACUUCCAAAUUAAGCCACGCUGCCACCCCCAUGGCACCCCCUCAACACCGCACCCAACCUCAUGCACGGGGUAAAGAAAGACAAGAAACCCCCUCCCUAGACCCCUUGGGCCCCUCUGGUACGGUACCAGAUGGAGGGCGGCCUCCGGACGUCCGGAUGUGGCAGUCACAGCGGCUCACAUGGAGAAAGAAGACAGCACGCUCCUCCGUACAGAAGCACAAUUGCAUGUCGUACUAACACCCGCCCCUGUCGUCCCACACAACCACCGACACUCCAGCAGGUUCCGGAGCCUUCAUCGCUGAAUAGAGCUACUACUGCUACUACUGCAGCACCGCCACCCUCAACCCCCCUCCCGCCUCCACCCGUCCGGACCCUCGACUACCACCCAACACCACCCAACACCACCAACACCCAACAACUCCAACACUCACCACCCCCACCCCCAAUCCCCCACUAGCACCAACACCAACACUUGCAGCCACCGCCGUCGGGCGGCAGUCUUGGAGGAGGAGAGCGUUUGUCAAAGGAAGGGCGUUAGCGCUGGUUAGUUACAAGUUGCGAGUUCCACACACACACACACACGCACACACACACACACACACACCCAACACACACACACACACGUACGUGGGUGUCCGUAGAAGUCUGAGGGGGGGCAUGGAGGGUAAGCGGGUGAUUCGCGGGGUGACGGGACGCAGCGGCGGCGGCGGUGGCGGUGGCGGUGGUGGUGCGGCUAUUAGGGUUCUUCCUUGCGGUGGUGGCGCAGUACGGCAGCGGUACGACACCUAACUUUGAAAAGGUGUAUGUCCGUAUUGGUAAGGCACGGACCAAUGCCCCCGGGAGAUCCCGGGAUUGAGACCUGUCAGGGUCGAAAACCCUUCCGAUUGUGGAAGGUAAAGUGCCCCUAGUCGAUGGACUGUGGUGACCUGGGAUUAAGUUGACCUGCGAGCCGACCAGGAAUGGAGUCGGGCCGCUGUCGACCCGGCAGAUUCCGUUGGAUGCUGGUGGUGGGUGCGGAACCUGAGCGAUCCACUGAGAAGUUGACUAGGGUGACUGGAUGAGGGUGCCCUGCAAUACCGGGGAAGAUAGGGUUUCGGUAGCUGCCACGGGUGAAGAUAUGCCCCCCUGUUCCACACAUUAUAACUACGUACAAACGUAACGCUCAACAUUUCAGGCACCUGAACUCGAAACACACAUUGUGGAGCAAUCUAAACGGUUUCAAAUCCAACACGUGUUUUUUCACGAUGUGGAGACAAGGUUUCAAAUCCGAUUCGGACAAGACUCCGACCCCUUAAGGUGGUCGUAAGGAAUGUGCGCACGAAAAUCAGCUAACGGGGAUUCCUCAGGGGAUGGAUUUUUUCGCGCCUCAGCUCGCUUAUGUCCCGGACGAACAUUCUUUGUGGGCGACCAAACAGGCCAUGUAUUGAUAGGUGAGCACUGCUACUGCUACAGCUAGUUACAGGUUGCAGGGGUGGUGGUGGUGGUGGUGCGCUAGGGUUUAAGACGCCUGUGUGCUGCGGGUGAUGGUGUUGGACCAAAAAGCCUGUUUAAACUUUUUCACCGAUGGUAAUAUUUUAGUGACCAAGUGGUUACUGUUGGGGGCUUCCUAGGUAACCACUUUGCAAAACUUUUUCCCCCGCGAAUACGCUGAACAGGAGCUCACUAGAGCCAUGCAUCCGAAGAUCCAACUUAACAACACUCAUUCACGGCUUUAAACAGGCAAGACGACGCUUAUACAUCAAUCUGUUUAUUUACACGGAUAUACGUACAGAUGAAAGAUUUGGCCGGAAGUACUAUGUACACAUAGAACCCAAACCAUGCCCACUUCUUAAAAAGCAGCGCACACCGCAGCUUGACACGUCAAGAUUUGUUCUGACUUCAUGUUAGCGCCAACUUCUCACUGCCCGUGGUGGUCCGCCCAGCGGUAGGCAGCCGACUCGUUCCAGUGCUGCAGUGCUGCUUUGUACGGAAAGCUUUUUAGGUGGUCACUACCCGGGGGGUCCGUAGCCCCCUAUUUCCCGGCGACCACCUGGUUGUGUAUAAUACUGGCAGGUGACUCUAAGAAACAUAUUUCCUAGUGACCGAUCACCUUCUGGAAGGGAAUUAUUUUCUCAGUAACCAUGUGGUCACUAGUAAUCCCUAUUUUUAAAGCACUGGGCGCAGCAUGCGCACCAUUAUGACUGAGGCGCCACCCCUGGCAUUGGCCAGGUACCUCUCGGAAAUCUGGGAGGCCAGGCACGUCGCGCUAAGGGGUGCUUCGCGCUGAAGCUAACGAGGAGGGAGGAGGAUGGUGACCUCCCGCGUACCCGCAUCAAUACCAAUAUAACGUCCAUGGCCCCCUCCCCCGGCUUUUACGGACACACACCCGCACUUGCGUGCGGAACUUGUAACUAUAGCAUUCCAGCGCACCACCACUACCACCACCCCACCUCAGCCCGACUUAUACUUCCAAACUGUCAGAGAUCUGAUCCGAACAACUCAGUGUGUGCCGUACACACACAUAUACACAACGGAUCGUUCAUAGUGCAUUGGCACUCCGUACAGUGUACGACGCGUCCCUUGUUUGUUCCCCUGCCAUCACCACGAGGCAGUUUAUGUUGUUGGGGGAGGGGCAACUCGACCACACGCUCACACACAUACACACACAUGCUACGUGAACUAGAGCCGAGGGGGGAGGAGGGGGAAGGGGAAGGGAUGGGGAGGAGCUCUCUCCGUGUGUACGGUGAGGCCAGGCCACCCGUGGGGAACGAGGUGGGUGCCAGACCAGUGAAGUACGACACGGUUUAUAAAACACACACACAGGGAAUGCCCUUACAUGUUCACCACCACCAACAGCAUCCGAGGACAGUCCUCGUUGCCAAUUGCUGGUUCGGUCCCACGGGAAAGUUCCUCUGGUUAGACAGACAGACAGACAGACAGACAGACAGACGGGCCGCAGCGGAUGGCAGGGAGACAGAGCAGAGACGGACAGAUAGACAAACAGACAGACAGGCAGGCAAGGAGGAGACCGAGACCGAGUUCUUUUCCGCAGGAGCCCUAAAACCCUAAUGGACAACCCUAAACAAAGCAGCCUAUCGGGCCCCCUGGGGCCCCACCUUCGCCAACUACCUCCCCUCCUUUCCGCCAACCAAAUAAAUCCUCUCCCCCAACCAAUUCUCCGUCCUGUACGGCAGCCUACAACGUAAACCAACCGCAUCCACUGCACCGCAUACCCAUCCAAGGAAGGCAAUGAUAUUACAAUAAUAAACCAGCUGGGCAACUAACAACUAACCAACCAGUACUGCAGUUAUCCCUCCUAAUUAUCCGCCAAGGAAGCCGAUCAGCACACAACCGCAAUGCUGUGGACGACCAAGCUUCAAGAGGUGGAAGACGCGGAAGAGAAGGAGAAGACCGUACAGUACGGGGCGCAACACGUCAAUGUCAAUGUGCGAAGUCUUCAUACUAAUAGUAAUAGGGUUCAGGUGCGACAUGCGUUACAGCCCCAAAACGGGUCAACCACCAUGAUGCAUCACCAUACGAAAAAUGGUAAAGAGAACCGGAACCCGAGGAUGCAGCCGUUGGCUGGUGGUUGCGUGGUGGGUUGUCGUUAAUCCGGUAGUUGUGUCCCCACAACUGCUGGUUGUGUGGUGGUUAAGCUGACUGUGACGGUGACGGCGAUGAAGGUGCCGCCUCUCUGUAGCAACCGCAAUAAAUAAAUUAUGUCGACCCAUCAAGGCGAUGCAUCAAGGCGGCAACCUAACGGCCAGGGGGUUUCCAACUGUCGGAGAGCACCGGCACAGGCACAGGCGUGUCGCCCCAACCGCCUAACCACCGCCAAAUAAAAUUGUCUUACAUGAAGCAGGAAAUAAAGUUGCAAUAAAAAAUACUUCGCCACGCGGUCCAUCUCCUAUCGAAAGACGCAGACAAGCAACAACACGAGAACGCCAAACACCAGGAGGGGUCUGUUGAGGGGGCAAAUACGCCCUAAAAUUUAAAGUUCCGAUAACAGGACAUGGAUGACAUACAUACAUACAUGACAGACACACAUACAAAUACAGCCCCUUCUCACCCCAAAACACUCCCACGCCUCCUGCGUUCGAGCGACCGCUCCAUACGACAAUUUUGAUGCACAUAAAAGCUCUUCAUCCAGCCUCCCCGCCCGCCGCCCCCUCAACCCGCCGGGGUCCCCCUCAGGAGGACUCCAGGGGGGCUACACACGACCCAGCUCCGUUCCAGGGAGGGGUGGAGGGGGCCAUGGGGCUGUAGGAGGGUGUACAUGCGCGGGCAUUGCUUUAAAUUGGAUUGCUUUGCAUUGCUAGCCUCUGCAUUGCCACAUUACCACGUAGGUUUGCACCAUAUGCACACACAUGCAUUACUCGGCCCGGCAACGCAAGCCAGGCUGCCGACUCUCCCCUCACAGACAACACCAAUACACAACACUCAGAGCCUAGGAGCUGCAGCGCCUUCCUCCCCUCCCCUCCCCUUCCCUUUCCUUCACCGCCACCAGCGGGGUUAUACUCCCGCAGGUCAAUGACCCCCCUGGAUACAAACCGCACCCCUCGUCGUCGCCGCUGCCGCCGCCGCGGUUGACGUUGCCGCCGUUGGCGGUUGUGGCAGUUGUGGCGGUUGUGGCGGCGGCAGCGUGUUAGUGGACAGCCCCGAUGACGUCCGGCGCCCGGCGGCCUGCAGCAGCAGUUGACUGCUCCGACGGAAGGACCCGGGCCCGGGGUACCUGGGGGUGCAGCUGGCGGCGACGGCGACGGCGGCCUCGUCCGUCGUUUCCAAGACCGCCCGCGUAUCCAAAUCCCCAAGUAAGCUGCCUCCACCUCCAACGCUACCACAGCACCCCACGCCGCCGCCAAUGCCGUACGACGUAUUCGACGAACGACGGAAGCUGCGGGGGCUCGCACAUGGUGAUGACAUGCCGCUUGCUGGAGCGGUGGCGGCGGCGGCGACGACGGCGGCGGCGGCGGAGGUAGAUGCUGAAAGACCGCUGUGCAACCCCGGAUGUCCGCCAGCGCCACCGACGGCACUGCCGCUGCCGUACAUCGCGCCGGACCCAGGCAGCCUCGGCAGCAAGGAAUCUGAGCCACGGUUGCUGACGCCACCUCCGCCGCCGGGAUAGCUACCCGACGCGGCGACGGCACUGCCACGUCGGCCGCUGCAUGCGCCGCCGCCGGCCCCUCCGGAACUCGCCAGGAUAACCGGUAGCGAGCCGGCCUCCGUAACGCUCGGGCUCGUGGAGGGCUCCGCUACGCUGCCGACCAGGACGGAUUUACCACUGGAUGCGGCCAUAGGGCCCAGUACGUCGCGCGGACCGUAUGGGGCCGCCGGGGGCACGCCGCCACCUCUGCCGCCACCGCCUCCACCUCCGCCACCCGCUGCUGCUGCUGCCGGUCCAAGGUACGACAGGCCAGCUGAUGACGGCGGUCGGCCGACAGCACCAGUACCCCGCGUAAAGCUGCCGCCACUGCCGCUCCGUACACGGUUAGACUGUACGAGCUCGUCCUACAACCAUUGCAACCAGUUCGUUGAGGGGGGUGGUCGGCGGCUUAGUGAUAACCUAGGAGGCGUGGAGAGGAGGCGAUAUUGGAGAAGAGGGCUGGUGCGCGAAGAACUUUAUCACACACUUGGUGUGUGCAGUUGGAGGGGUGAGUACGAGCAAAGUACGAGAUUACACAUACACACGGAACUCUCGUCACGCACCCCCUGUAAACCCCCUUUCUCCGUUCCACCCGCCCUCUCCCCCCUCCCCCCUUCAGAGUGCCGCCGUACCAGGAUCUGCGCCAUUUCGUCGUCGCAAUCCGGGUUACAGUACGACAGAUCUCCCGCGUCAAACCUGCGCACGGGUGUUGUACGGCAGAGGGUAGAGGGCAGGUGGGUUGGGGUGAUGCCAGCCGAUCCUGAUGGCUACGACCCAUCACCCCAGGGGGGGGGGGAACCCCCUAAGACAUCUCACCACCACCACCACCGCGACCACCACAAUCUGAAAGGCGGCCGCAAGCGUUGAUGGUUUGCACCCACCAUCAUCACCACAAGCUCGCUAUGGUGGUGGUGGGUGCAACCUAGGGGCAGUUCGCUAAACACCCAACUGGCCAUCAGCGGCGGAAGGACCGGCUCCCCAACCCCCCCUAAGGGCUCCCACUCAUCAUUCGGACGGUGUACGGCAGCCGCCCCCCUCGCUUGGCAGUAAGGAUAAAACCCCGACUUCUCCCGCCCCACCCACCAUCGCCCGGUCCCUUCCACGAUGUCAAACGGAAUCGCCUCAUCGAGAUUUGCCGCGCCUGGCCCCGCCGCUGCUGACGUAUCUGUACGGCUUUUGCCAUCUGCCGCUGUCUCCUGCCCACCAUUGCUACAGCCGCCGCCGCCAUAGCUACCGCUACAGCCCCUGCCGCCGCUACUGCCUGCCGAGCCCGCUGACCCCCCCGCCGACGCCAACAUGGCCAUCAGCGACUGCGCGGAGAAGCCUCGGGGGAGCAAUCCCUGUUGCGCUGUCGGGGCCGACGGCGGUGCAGCUGGCGCCGCCAUGCUGUACAGCAGCGCUGGGCUAGUUGUACAUGAUGGCAGCCCUGUCGUACUUCCGCUGCGGCGGCCACUGGGCGGUGGUGCCCCGGCGGCGGGAUGUGCGGCGGCGGCGGCGGCUGCUUGCUGCUCCCUGCAGUGGCGAUGAAUGUCGGGAGAGUCGCCUCCGGCGGCGGCGGCGGCGGCGGCGGCCUGGUGGCGCGGUUGUGGCUGCUCCGAGCCCCCCCCGGCUUUUUGGGAAUGCGUCUGCUGCUGUGUCUGCUGCAGCGCAGACUGCUGCUGCGAUGCUAACUGCGCCACGUGCUGUGUCGGCGGUGGAGUCGGGGGGGGCUGCGGCUGGUGCUGCUGCCGUGCGCCAUCGAUUGUCGUGCUGCUGACGCCGCAGGUGGCAGGACGGAGCACCCUCCCAAACCCAUAACCGACCACGGGCUGUUGCUGCGGCUGCUGCUGCUGCUGCUGCGGUUGUGGCGUCGGCCCCAACGGCACUGACACCUGACGGAGGGACGGCAAACGUACGACAGAUACCGAGCCUGACACGGCGCCGCCAGGUCCCACGCUGCUGCUACUGCUGCUGUUGCACGCCCCGCAGACAGGCGUGGCAGUAGCCGCUACGGUGGCGCCAAGGGCGACGGCGGCGUCGGCGGUAUUCAAUAUCGAACCCUGCCGGCGGAGGAAGCCGCCGCCACCUGUGGCGGCCGAGAUGCCGCCGCCGCCGCCACUGCUGUUACUCCAACUGGCCCCGCCGGCGCUGCUAGUGCUGGCCCCGCCAACAAAGUCAGAUGCUACGGCGUUUGUACUGCUCCGGCAAAGCACCGACGGCGAUGGCGGAUGGCCGCCUCCGAAGGCUGUCCCGCUAGGGGGUGCGGCUGCGGGUUGAGCGGCCGCGGCCGCGGAUGCUGCCGUGGCGGCGGAGCCAGCCGAGCCGGCAAUCCAGGCGAAGGCCGCCGCGUUAUCUAUGGAACUCCUCGUGCGGGUCACGUGACCGACAAUGGGCGACGGCAGCGCCUGUCGAGGCGUGGCGCAACCACUGCCGCUGACUGUCGGGCUCAGGCGAGCCGUACUGUUACCGUACUCUGGUGUGUACGGGAAGGACGAUGGACACAGAGACGAGUCGCAGACGAUGAGGCCGCCGGCGCGAGUACUGCCACUUUCCUGGGCUCCAGGGGUAGCGAUUUGGCGGGGCGUUGUCGUACGAGUUGGAUCGCACGUGUCCAUCGCGUACAAAGUCACGCUACUGUGACGGGCCCAGCGCUUACUGUGUGCUAUGUCCGUGUCGAUGUGCGACUGAGACUUCUGCUUUGAAGGAAGCUUUAGCAUCUUUCGCUUUUGUUGUUGUUGUUGUUGCAGUUGCUGUUGCAGCUGCUGCAGUUGCUGUUGUUGUGAAUAAACUUCCUGGCUCCUUUGAUCCUGGAGGCGCUCGCUGGUCGCCUCAUCGAUGUCCCUUUUUCCGCUUUCCUGCUGAGAGGUCUCGCACGUCGUCGCCAGGAACCGCUGAUACUCGUCAUCGUACUGGGAUUUUUGGCGCCAAACUGGAUAGGUUGGUGCGAUUGUGUUUGCAGUGGUUGGUUACACAGCGGCAGUUAGAACGUGAAGAGAGCAUAUAGCAUCCUUUCCAGCAACUCAAUGGACAGUUGCAGCAAAAAAACACCUUGUCGGCUUGAGGCCAAACAAGUUGCUUUGGUUGUUUGGGAAGCAGUAUUUGGUGCGCGACGGAGGGCCAUGGCUCUGAAAUGUUCGAGUUGAAACACCAACGGCGAAAAAAACUCAAAGAGCGGAUACCCUGGAACCCCUAUAUGCUAGCAUGCGUGAGUCACCGCGUAUGGAAAAAUUGAGCCAUUUCGCUCUCUUCGUGGCUAAUCGACCUAAAAGGAUAGUUAGGGGUUUGCCGUCUUCCUGCCCAGGAUAAAUCCCCUCAAUACACAGUUGCAAAUGACUUACCAUCAGAUGCUCGGUUCCUGCCGGCCAGGCUUGCGUAAACCGUCGCUUUGGAGGUCCCAAUCUGCUUGUCAGCCGCCCCCUGCCCAGCCCAUCUUCCGAAACCGUCACCAUCCUCCGACUCCGUCCGCGUGCGUAUGCCAACCUGUGCAAUUGCUAAGAUGGUCAUGACUGGCCUGCCGCGCUCGCACUCGGGGCAGAACCUGCAAACACUCACCUUCCGAAGGCUAUUAAGCGCGCGGGUAAGAGCUUCUAUGCGGCCCAUCCUAGUCGUCCCUUAACAGUACAUUCGCAAGCAGGCUAAUGAAUGCCUAAUGCUAGAAGACCAUAAGAACCGUGUGCAGAACACUGGGAAAAGGUGUGUAAGGCGAUACAAUUCUAAUUUUUCACAAAGACAUUAAAAAGGGGGCCACAGAAUCUGCGGAAAAUCUACUUAGGUAUGGAUAGGUGAUACAUAGUAUCGGGGAUACAUAUUGUCGGACCCCUAAUGUUAAAUGUGCAGGGUACAUGAAUGCAAUGAGAUACAUAUCAGCUCUAACUUCGUGCAAACAAGUGCUCCCUCGGGCACUUUCCUGCGCGGCGUAAGCUCUGGCGGAAAGAUAGUACGGCAGACAGUGGCUUUCAGCCAUUUCAGAACUGGUUUAUGUGCUUGCAACUUCCCAUACCGUGAGGACUUCUCAGGUCCGGUUGAAUCUUCACCACAGUGCUGGUCGCAUCGAAGCUCCUGCAACAGCCGAAUAUUUGCGGCCCUUGCGACCCUUCAUUAGCCCGAGAGCGGUGUGAGACAACGUGAAAUUUUUAAAACUAGAUACGGAAAUGGACUCUCUCUCGAUUGCAAACAUGUUGCAGAGAGAGCCGUGUGGCAGCUUCCUCCCUACUGAUGUGGCUGACAUGGCGAUGAUCUAGCGUCAAUUACCCUUUUUGAGGAUUAUAUCUGGCAAAUUGAUUUGUUCGCGAGAGCGGUUACCGAUGAGAGGUUAAUUAUCUGAGAUGAUAAUCUUUUGGUAUAUUAGUCUCUACUGCAGUGCACGGCCAGCUGGCCCGAUGGCUCUACUCUUCGGGAGUCUGGAGCCCACUGUAACAACCACACACCACACACACCUAAAAGUUUGCCAAGUUUCGGCGUCCCAGUCCUAGGAGACCAUUGGCCUUGCGCGCCUCGCUAAAAAAAAAAAGUUAUUACACACCCAACUGCCACGACUGCCAGCACAAUGAAAUUAUAUCUUCCCCUGCUACUCCCUGCAUGCGCUUUUAUCCGUCUACAUUCACAACCGACACCGACAAGCCCCCGAGCCCCACAGUCCCCUAAUCCCAGCUAAUCGCCUGCCUGGCAGCUAGUGUCACGCAGACACACCAAACCCAUCAACACCCCGGAAGGAGCACAAUGCGGCCUGCUCCUCACCCAUUUCGUAGAUCAUUCGUCCCCACAUGGACCCAACAACACUGCUACUUUCCGCAACGCUCUUCCAUACACUUCACAAGAGCGACAAAACGCCGAUAUAAAACACGCGAUGAGAGUCCAUACUAAACAGUACGUGUGCGUAUUUUCGCAGGACCGGCUCGCCACGCGCGAUUACGAGUAGUCCUAUCCCGUCAUUAAAACUGCACCUACAUGCGUAACCCCUCAACACAGAAGACGCGAAACACGCAACGGCGAUUCGCUACCUAUCAACCAUCCCCUUCUUCCACAAUUUACAGCUUCUACUUAAGUGUGAUAGUCCACGAGGGACAUUGGCAAACGCUUUAUCCCCUCCUCCCCCUUCAAAUGUACCUCACCCCACGCAUACAUGGUGCCGUUGGUGUUGCCUGGGGUUGCACACCUCCACCCGGGCAGGAACCACUGGUAUUCCCGCACACCCCUGCCCCCUCGGGUAAACACACCGAGCCUACUCCUCCAAUCCAUAUCAGCGGACCUUCCCUGGAGUCCUCCGAUAUGAACUACUGCUGCCCUAGACCCCAGACCAGGAGUCACAACCCGGGGUUAGCCCCCUCUACACCUUCACCUUCCCCGAGGACGGAUCCAGAUCCCACCCCGCCAGAGCUUCCUGGCGCUCUGUGUGCGAAAAGCUAGUCAACGCGAACGCAGCUCGCCGUUUCGCCCCCGAGGAGGUGACACCUCCUGAUGACACACACCAUAUCAUAUGAAUCUUGCACUCGUACACGCUUUUUGCUCGGUCAGUUUGUCUGUAUGUAUGUAUGCCAGCCUGUGAAGUCAGGUCGUCUCUCUGUCUGUCAGCGGGCCAGCCAGCAAGCCAGUCAGGCCCUAACAUACCAAUGGCUGACAGGCGAACCUCGCCCCCGGUAGUGGUUAUGCUAUGCUAGCUAUGUGGCAGCUGUGGCAGCAACCAAUCCAGAGGGCAGAAACCCUCACCCCUCACCGCUAGUGCAAUGACGACCCGCAGUUCUUUCUCUGUGUGAGUGUACGCUGCACGCGGAUGCGCUAAUGGGCACCGCCAAGAUUCACCGCACACUAGCCUGGUCGGCCCCUCUCAAAGGCCCCAUUUCGGGUUCCCACCUCCCGCACCGCACCACAUGUUGCGCAGUUCACCACAAUAGCCGACAGACAACCUGAACACGGGUAGCGGGUGGGACACCCCAAACCUCCUCGCCCCGGGCAAGCUGCAAGAUAGGAUCCGUUCGCUGCUCCAGCGCGCUCAUCUUGCCAUCUACCCUUGUGGUACCCUGCCAAUACACAUACAUGCAUACAUACAUGACACACAUGCAGUGCUCUUCCGCUUUUGGUGCUCCUGCUGCCAAUCGCCAUGAGCUGCUGUGGAGAAGGCUUCACGCGACGGUGUUUAAGACGGAGAAGGAGAAGACGAGGGCGUUCCGUGCGUGUGUGCGCAGUGCUGGUCAUUCAGCCCUAGACAGACAGACAAACAAACAGACGUACUGCGAUGGAGAACAUCCCACCAUCCCACGAGACGUCGCCCUGCGAGCUCCCAUCCAAUGCAAAUCGAGUCAUCCUACCAGCAUCCUUCCCUCCCUGCUUCCUUGCUCGCUUGUUGGACGACCACCCGCUGCUAUGUGGUGGUACGGGUACUGCUACUCUUGAUGUUGCUGCUGCUGGCCGAUGCAGCCGACGGCUUCUGCAACAAACUGAUACAACAGAUCCGCACCUCUGCUGCUCCCUCCUGCCCGGGGUUAGGUCCAGAGAUACGUUCCUGUAGGCUUUGUUCCCUACUAGCGCUACUGGUACUUAGCCGCUGCUGCUGUCCUUCAGUUGUGCAUACUACCGCGGGGUGCCGAGUGGGAUGGACGCAGACGACGACAGGACGCAUCCCUGCACCACGGCGCGUCCAAGUUACGGCGAAUAACUGCACCGCCGCUGCUAUGGCUAUGGCUAUCGCCGCCUCCGUAAUUCUCGCACUGUUGCUGGGGUGGCGGUGGCGGCCGCGCGGCUGCACGGCUGCAACACGUAGACGCGCGUCUAGCACGGCGGCAAGGUGGAUGCAUGCAUCCUCUUAGCUGACCACUGUGUGCCGACCAGUGCCCGGUGCCCUUGGUUAAGGAAGCAAGGUGGGAAACACCACGCAGGGCAGCAAGCAAGCACGCAAGUGCGCAGUGCGGUCGGCCCGCUGCUCAGCGGAGGCAGCAGUUGCGGCAGCAGAGCAAUGUUGGCUGUGUGCCGGGGCAGAUGCCGCCACCGCCCAAUCUCCCCUUCUCCCCAGCUAGGGGUCUCACAUGCCCAUCAGGAAGGCGUUCGCGUACGCCAUGGGCUUCACGUCCGGGUGGGGUACCGCGGAGAAGGUCGUGAAGUGAGGUACCUGGGCGGUGCAGGCGGGGGCGGGGGGAAAGACGAACCACACACGAUUGAAGCUGCUGCCAGGGCAAGAGAGUAACAAACGUAGGACUGACCGAACGGGGGGGGGGACAGAGGGGAAAAGACGAACCGCGAGUGGGUGAAGCUGAUGCCAAGGAAGGACUGCUGCGGCAGAUGUAAGACAGGGGGGAUGGUGACGAUGGUGGUGACAAAAGGAUGCGAAUACAAUGGGAGGAUAACGAGGGGAAGAAUGGAGGCCGGGGUAGAGGCGCCACGCGCCACGCGCCAACAGUAAGUGGUGAAGCUUAACCACUCUGUAACAACAUGAGUAAGUGCCAGGAAGCGGGCGGGUAACACGCCACACAAACACCUAGACAUGCGAACCCACUCGGAAGCGAGAGGUCCAAAUCGGGCAAUGCACAUCAGCAAGCAGCAACACCUCAAGGUCCCCUCUCGCAAAGCGGCCCGGGCAGGAAUAGACGAAUGGACGCGUUGAAUAAUUGGAGAAUGGUGGAACGCACGGACGAACAAACGCAGCGCAAGGCAGGCUGAGUGUGGUGGGGGAGCACAGAGCCCUUAUGCAGGACUGUCGAGAUGCCGUGCUGAAGAGUGCUGAGCCCAGGGCGCGGAGGGAGGGGGGCCCUGCGCAGCCCGGAGGACCACUACACGCGGGAGGAGGGUACGUAACGUGGAGGCUAUUUCACAUAGCGCCGCCAACGCGUACGUGCGGAGGCCACUGGCCACUUGCCAACGACACGGUUUGAGAAAGUCUAGCAAUACAAGGCGUACACCCGAACACCCGAACACACGAAUUUAGGCCUGCGCGCACUCACCAUAUCGUUUCCGUUGAACCGCACGAACGCGCCCUUGUUGCCCAUUUGGUCGCAGUAGUUGGGAGCGGAGAAAACCGUGAUGAGCCGGCCGUCGUGCUCCACCUGCCACGAUGAGCGAGGAGGGGAAAUGUAAGCAAGCAAAGCCAAGGAGGAGGGUAAGGGGACCCGUAACAGCAAGGGCGGUAGCUGCGGGACAUCGGCACCACCAAGCACCCAUCCCUUCCUCCUUCCUCCCUCACACUGUCUUCCUCUCCCCACGCGCCUUUGGUGGGCCCCCUUGACUGGUGGGCUCCUCCUUCCUCCUUCCCCUCCCCCACCUCGCUCAACCUCACCUCAUAUCCCUCCUCCUUGACUUCAUGAGACCUCACCAACAGGUCCAACCCGUUGGCAUCCAGAAAGGACCGGGUUACAUCGGCGCCGAACGACAGCCCCACACCGCGCUUGGAGGGCGUCCGCCCAGGCAGUGGCGAGGGGUCAGCCCACAGCGCAUCACACAUGACGCCGUCCUCGGGAGGCUCCCUGUGUGGGGGGAAAGAGAGGGAGAAGGGUACACCACGAAGCACAGACGUUUGACAGCACAGCGUUUGACGAGAAGAAGAAACCAUUGACGGACACUCCGAGAUAGAACCAAUGGUGUAGGAGAAGAAGAUAGAUACAGACCCGUAGUGUCUUGGUACCCGUAGUGGCAAGAUACAGACCCGUAGUCAUCGCGGCAAUGUAGGGAGUAGGCAGAUAGGUUCCGAAACGAAAAAGCAGCUGCCGAGUACAGUUAAGAGAAAACAUCGAAAAGGCUACCUAGCCGCCAGAUGAAUAAAAUAGUGGUAAAAGAAAGCAGAAAUGCAAACGAAGCCGUAGAGAGGUGAAAAGCGGAGCUUAAGACGGAAGUAAUAUCGGAAGGUGUGUGCCGACUUGUCAUCGAAAGUAGUGAACGAAAUUCGCUAAUUUGUACUGCUGAUAUAUACGCUGUUAGCUAACAUGCAAGUGCCAUACAAGGGCUGCAUGAAAAGCGAGUGAUGGCAAGUGGUCGUAAAAAACAUUUCAAGGUGGUGAUGCAGCCUUUAGCUCCAUCCUCGCCAUCCUCCCGCCAGCCAAAAGCUCAGCCAGCAAGCGCAGAGUCCCCCUUCUGUCCGCCCACCCACCCACCCACCCGCCCCCCCAGCCCGACCCACCUCAAAUAAUGAGCCUCCUGAAACCAAUUCACCUCGUCCCCAGGUACGGCACCCGACCCCACACCACUCUACCCUAACCCACCCCUCAGGCCCCCCCCCGUUCUCCACCCACCCACCCACCCCUCCACCUCACCCACCCACCUGAACCUGUUGGUUCUGCGGAUGUCGUCCAGGGUGACCCCGUCCUGGCUGAACAGCCCCCCGUGCAGCACCAGCACCCGGCCGUUGAGGCAGUAGGCCAGGGGCAGGGCGCAGAACAGCUCACGGAAGCAGUCCACCAUGGUGCCGUUGUACUUGGCCUUCACCUGGAACCAACCAGGAAGCAGGGACACCGGAAACAGCAGCAGGGAUAAGGGCCAGGGUCUCAGGGGUAGGGGUAGGAGUAGGAGUAGGGGUAGGGGUAGGGGUAGGGGUAGGGGUAGGGAUAAGGGCGAGGGGUAGGGGUAGGGGUAGGGAUAAGGGCCAGGGGUAGGGGUAGGGGUAGGGGUAGGGGUAGGGGUAGGGGUAGGGGUAGGGGUAGGGGUAGGGGUAGGGGUAGGAGUACGGGGUAGGGGUAGGGGUAGGAGUACGGGGGUAAGGGCAGAAGGAGGGUCAGGAGCGCAACAGUAACAUGUACGCGGUGCAAGAGGUAUAGGGAUGUAUUACAUGGAAGAAACAAAGGGAGGGAGGGAGGGAGGGAGUUCGGAUGCGUGGUGUGGGAUAGGGGUAUAGAUGCAGAGGCAUUGUGCUGGUCAGGAACCAUGCCAGACGUGCGGGGCCCGCGCCCUGUGGUGUUCCGCCGCGGUGAGGUGAGGUGAGCUCUCCCCGGGUGAGACAAACCACCGACGAUUGAAGCAGAUAUCCAGCUGAGAGAUAGACGGAUAUAGAGUCCAGGAGAAGACGAAUACUGCAGGACAGGACUAGUUGCUGACUAAUGAUGUCUUGAAUAAUGGUCACGGCCCGGCGACGUGGCCGUAGCUCUAGGUUGCGAAGCGGGUUUUACUAGCUGCCGCCAAGGUGAGGUGGGUUGUGGAUUUCGAGUUACUUUUACAUCAGUCAUCUGGAAACGACCUAUGCGGUUUCCGAACCCCGAACGACAUACACUCCUCCCCUUCCCCCUACCCCCACCCUCUUCACGACAGGCAGGUAUACGCACACACACAAUAAAAACACAAAAACACAAAACGCACACACAAAACACACAAAACACACACACACACACAGACACACACACAUACCACGAAAACACGGCGGGCGACCGCGCACCUCUCUCCGUCAGACACCCCCACACGCACCUCUCCGUCAAAGCCGUACACCUUGUUCAUGGACUUGGACUCGUGAUUGCCCCUAGUAAGGUGCAUGUGCUCCGGGUAAAGCAGCUUGAAGGCCAGCAGGGCAAAGAUCACCUCACAACUGAAGCUGCCCCGAUCAACAAAGUCACCUUCGGCAGCAUGAAGGGAGUACGGGGUAUGAACGAAAAACAACGCUCAACGUCACAGAGUUCUUCGUCUUUGCUCUCAAAAGGUUUCAUCGAAACACUCAUCGAAAAACUGUCUCAACGACCGUUUGCGGUUUUCUGGCGUUCUGUGGCGUGGGGCGUGGGGCGGUUUUACGCCAUUUGGCACACGGCAGAUGGGUUGGUGGAGUGGGUGGGUCCCUAAACCCUAAGUGGGUCGCACACGGGGCUAUGUACCCCGUGUAUCCCAAGAGGAAACACACCCCGUGUGUAACUGGUAGUACCGAGCUGUGUACCGGCAGAGCAUGUUGCGCAGCAGCCCACAUGCAAGCCCCCCCUGCACAUUACACGUGCCCAUAACCCACCGCCCCGCCCACCUACCCACCGCCCCACACACCCACCUAUUUCCCCUUGCCCUCCACCUCCCCCCACACACACCACACGCCACACACACAUACAAGCGAAUGCAAAACCACUUUAACUACAGACGCAAGCCCCCCCCACCAUCCACCCACUCCCACCAUUGAACAAGUACGGGUUGUCCGCCGAGGGCAGUCCGUUCAGCUUCCAGAUGUUGAGCAGGUCGUAGAACUGGCCGUGUAUGUCCCCACACACCGUGAAGUGCUUGUCCUCGGGUAUGGUCACAUCCACCAGGGAGGCCAGCGACCGGAACAGCGAGUGGGCCUUGGAUGAGGGAUGAGGGAUGAGGGGAGCAAGAACGGAAACAGCACGGGACGGGACGGGACAGCAAAAGACAGGAAAAGACAGGAACAGUAAAUAGAGGUGGCGAGGGCCGUAAAAGGUGCCUCGACUGUGGUAAGGUGCCGCGUCAUGUGCGAGUCUAGAGGGGGGAUGGGGGAUGAGUAAGGGGGAGUUUAGGGACUCUGCCAAACGACUACUGCCUCCCUCCACAUGCGCGCUUAUGGUGGUACGUGAAUGUGGUGGCACACGAAUAACUUCAUACCGAAGCGAGCUCCCUAGUCCAGCGACGUGUCAUUAAAAUUCUCCAAUAAGUAGCUAGUAGACUACGUGCCUGUGUGUCUAAGUGGUCCCCAGGGUACGCGGGGCUGGUGGCUCCCCCACCCCCCCACGCGGGGAAGUUCACGGUAGGGAGGAGGGUACGGCCCCUAAGGCCGUGUCCGCAGGCCGCCCGGACACCCAAGUGCGGGGCGGCGGGCGCCAGGAAGAGCUCCCCGUGUGCUACGAUGGUAGCUCCCUAGUCCAGCGACUAGCCUCACCCUACUAGCCUCACCCUACUAGCCUCACCCUACUAGCCUCACCCUACUAGCCUCACCCUACAUCCCGCCAUGCGGCCUCACUCCAUGCACAGCGCACGACCCCGGGGCCCCAACCCAGGAGUCCAGAGACACACAGCGCCCAACAAAGCCGCGUGCGUAUGUGCCGUCUUUGCGAGAGCUCGCUCAUCUAAUAACCCUCCGGGCCUCACCCCCCCCCGCGGGCACACUCGCCCCGAAACCACUUCUCCCCCCCCGCCCCUUUCCCCACCCACCCCACCCACCCAGUCUUGCACCCUGCACCCCACCUGGCGAACAAUCUCAAACGCAAACCGCUUGUGGAUGGUCCGCUGCUGCCGGAACUCCUCCAACAUAGCCGUCACAAAAUCCUCCGUGAUGACGUAGCCGUCAGUGGCGUUGCCUGAUCAGCAUACACACACAGCAAACCCAGCAUGUGAGAAAUACAUGACCGUCUAACCUAACCCAGCCCGAGCGAGCCCCACAGCGCCCGCGAUGUGCACGUCCGCGCUAUCCCCCCUCCCUCGAACAAAUCCCCCCCGCUGCCCUCAACGACUUUCCAGGUAGUAUAAUAAAUGCCAAAAAAACUGUUACUGCCAUACGCGCAGACAACAAAACAUGGGGGGGUUCCCGGGCGCCACACCACAUACCCAUACAAACACGGAAAACACGCACCCCACUUUGAACACGCGCCCAGGGUAAGACAGCAGAGCACCGCCGUAUCCGUCACCCCGCGGGGGGGAACACCCGCCGCAACAGGGGGGAGGGAGUUGCCCUGCUUGGUCGACUCACCCUGCAUCCGCGGCCCCGUGUACGACUCAUCGAUGUUGUCGUAUAUGGAUAGAUCCAGGGUGGCCAGGAUGGAAAUUGCCUCCGAGUCCUGCAACAGCCGGGAGAAGACUUGCGUGUGUCCCUGAUCCGGAAAAUAAAAACGUCCCCUGUUUCAACAGGUUGCCUUGUUAAUGAUUCGUAGAUUUAUGAUGAUUCUCCAUGAUCGGAAGCAAACGUUUAUGGGCAUGUAACGGUUGUAACGGUCAUAGCGGUUGGGACUUACCCAAAAUUUGGGCAUAUAGAGUGUGUGAGUGACGAGAGAGAGAGAGAGAGAGAGCGGGGGGGGGAUGAGCAGGUGUGGUGGACGACAGUGAUGAGUGGUAAAAAACUCCAAACCUCCCCAACGCCGUCUUGCCGGACCCUCAUGCAUCCGCAUACUCACCGUGUUCCAAGCCCUAAGGCCCUCUCCUGCCUUCCGUCAUCGGGAUUCCACAUUUCCCUAAUUAGGUAAUUAGCAUCACCAUCACCGCCUUCCCAAGACAUGAGGCUGCCCACCCCCACCCUUGUACAUUGGUCAUCUCCCCCCCCAACACCCAAACAACGCGGGACACCCACCACACUAGCAGUCCCAUUGGAAUCCAACACCCGCCCAUGAACCCUACACCUCACCCCCACUGAACUGAACCAACCAGACUGAAGGCAACCACCACCCUACGUUACGUUAAAACAUGCCGCCCAUCGACACAACAAACACACGUGCCCAACAGAACAAAACGCGUGCCUGCUGAGAGACAUUUGCCUCACCGUCUAUCCCCCUCUUACACCAACCCCAGCCCUCCACAUCCUCAAAACCACAUCCUAACCGUCCCCCAUCUACUCACCGGCACAGACAGCGCCUCCUCAAACCUUAGCCGCUUCACCUCCUUCUCGCACUCAGCCAACUUUUUGCGAAGGUCCGGAUCUCGAGGCGCCACUUUGGCGGCCUACAGGCGGGUCGGGUCGGGCGGCGAGGAGAGGGAAGGAGGCACCACGAACGAGUGAAGCUGCUGCCAGGGCAAGAGUGUACCAGACGUAUAGAACUGACCGAAAGGCGUCCGUGAAGACGGCGACCUCGGGGAGAGGGAGGGGGUUAGUGUAAAAAGCGGGGGCGCGAAUACGCAUGGUGUAAAGAACAUACACAAGUGUCUCGACUGCGCGGAGGGCUUGACAAGCCAUAUAUAAUAUAAUAACAAUGCCAGACGCAAAGGAUCAAGUACAGAAGUCCACAGCCGCAAACUGCUGGAGUCCCAAGCAAUGCGCACAGGGAGUGGAGGGACAAAGGGUCGGUAAACACAUCACCGCCAGGGAAGGAACUAGGGAAAUGGGUUGUGUUGGCAUUAGUGAGAAUACUACUGUAGGGGAACCCGUUAGCGAAGAGUGGUGUGGGGAUGGCUGACGAGGAGGUUGAAAGUGGCGGUGCAGGGCGUGUCUCAUUCGUAUAGCUCGAGUCCCUCCCCGGGCCUCGAUACACACGGGGGCGCCCCCCCCCCCACACACACAUAUACGACGGGUCUCCCUAACCGGGUUACCCUCUCCCUACAGAGGACAGAAAGCGACCAGACCCAGAUGCGGCAGCCCCUACAGCGCCUGUUGCCCGCUGUCAGACUUGCAACCCCUGACUCCACCGACUGAGAGUGGACGCACCGCCCUGGGCGUGCGUGGGGCUAACUGGGAAUGGAACCACCCCCGCCCGCCGCCUCGAGAUAGGGCCCUGUGCUGCCUACAGCCCUCCCCCUCCCCCCCAUUCCCUCCCUCCCUGCCUCUUUCUCUCUCGGGGUCUGACAACCGCCCUUGCAAUCAGAAACGGUACAGUGAAUUGUCGCUGCGUAGCUAUAUGGCAGGUAGCUUAGCAGACAAUAGCCGACGGCCCAACGGCCCAAAACCCCGCGUUAACAGCACCUGUCACCGGCAUCUUAAAAUGGACCUCAGAUUGUGGCGGCCCCCGUCUGAAAGAAAUAAAAGGAAGCGCAUUGCUCUGUGACAGACACGUCGGCUGGGAUCCUGGUACCCAGCGGGCAGGAGACCGCAAUCCACUACCUACUUCAACCUGACUUUUAACUAUCAGUCCUCGGCCUGACCCUGCAUCCUGAACCGUCAAUCAUGUCUACGCCUCCCCAUGAGACACAUACACACCGUCCACAGAUCAACAAACCCAACUUAACAAAACGCACCGUCCGCAAGUCCUUCAGAGCCAGCUUGUAUUUGCCCAGCGCAAAAUGGGCAUCUCCGCGGCGAUAGUAGCCCUGAGGCAGAAGAAGCGGGCAGUGCAGGGAGUGCGGUGAGCGCAACAUAGCGCUGAGGUAGAUGGUCGUUCUUCUUUCCCAUUCACUGGAGAGCGCCUUUCAGAAAUGUUGGUUGCGGGAAAAAGGUGAGGGGCUGUGUGGGGAGAGGUAAGGGAGGAGGUACAUGUAAAUGCAUGAAAGGACGGACGGAGGGGUAAUGAGUGAAAGGGCCGGUCAACGUGCGCAACGCGAGGUGGAGACCCCCCUGCCUUGGGCCACAGCAGUCUAGAAGCCAGGACCUACGUGUGCACAGGCAGUCGGUCCCUUGGUGCUCUGCCAUCCGCAGAUGCCCGUACCACAUACCCCUGGAAGGAUUUCCCACAAGCGAAUACCUUUCCAGCACAUGCCUAAUAAACUAUCGGCCAGUACGUUGGUGUUAUCAUUUAACAAAGCGCGACAGCAGGAAGGAUGUUGCUCACAUUUCGCGCCCGAUACCCACCUUGAUAUACUUGGGAUCUAUCUCCGUGGCCUUCUCGGCGUCCGCAACAGCGGCUCCAUAGUUUUCGAGCUUAAUAUGAGCGGCGGCGCGGUUCGCCCAGUAGAUGGCAUUGUUCGGGUUUAGCCCAAUGGCGCGUGUGUAGCCCUCGAUUGCAGCCGAAAAGUGCUUGGCUGCAGUUGACGCAAACAAGCUUACCUCAAGAAAUCAUAACCCUUUGCGCCGGCAUUCAAGUCACGCCGAAACCUUUUACACACCUUUAAAAUUCUUGUUCGCUUCGUCCUUUGCCACCUCGGCCUCCGCUACCACAGCAGGAUCUAAAGGCGGAGGUGGCGGGGGUGCCUCUGGCACUUCAAUCACCUCGUUGUCGUCUUCCAUGUUUCUAAAGAUCGUUCCCACCGUCCGACAAGAGGACUGCAAAGCUGUAUAGUUUCCUGAAUUCCUAAUAUUUACAGAAAGAGUAUGCAUCGAGAGUAUACAUCUGUACUGUUCCUUGUAUGCAUCGAGUGAACGGCUUACGUACUUUGCCGCGGACCGGGACACAACUGGGCACACAGAGCACUCGUCGCACGCCCCACGUUAAACUCUGUGUAAAGGUGAAUACAAGACCCAACUAUGUACAGAACACUUGUGUCUUCUGUCCUUAAGAAACACGAGCACGGCAGGCAGCACGGCCGUGGCCCUUGGUUCACUUAAAAUUGAAGUCGGCUGGGCUUGCGUAUUUCCAUCAUGAUAUACUUGGUAUUAUCCUUUAGCAUAUCGGCCAUUCUGCGCGUAAUCUGUAUGCGUACAGCUGUCGCUACGCGUCCAUUCCGAAAGUAGGAAGUUCGCCCACCUUCAUGGGCCUGCAUUUACAAUAGUUCAAACCUGAAGCGACUAGCCCUUUGGCGUCAUCCCAAAGCUACGCCGCAGUUCACAUGGCUUAGACAUUUCUGCGCGACGCCCGGCCUUUCUGGACACUUCCACGACACCCAAGUAACACGGUCCAUGCAACGUUGCUGCCCUAACGCCGGCAGAUUUUUACCACCAACGCCUUAACCCUGCUGUCGCCAACUCCGUUUCCCGGCUUGCCCUCUGCGCCGUCUGUCGUGCAAGUGUUGAGAGGGUCUUGCGGUCAACGCUUCACCGCGCUUCCCUCCCUCCCGAGCCCCAUCCGUGGCCCCAGCAACCUCCUCUUUUAACCCCGCGCGAAGAAUCCAGCAUCAAAGACGUAUACGCCCACCCCAGUUAUGCACCUAUCUCUUCGGUACUCAACACCAUGGAAAGUUCAUCUCGAACUCCCCUUUCGCUCCCAUCGCGAUGGGUUGGUUUCAGGCAGGGACGUGAGUGUGAGUUCUGAUUGCCUGUGUGCCCCGCAACUCCCGGCUUCAACGCAUCACUGUGCUUUUUCGUAAACGUCAGCAGCGAUUGUCCUCAGAGCUGCAUUAAAUUAAAUUGAUCUGCUCCUGCUCAAUAUGCCGCAGUAAUACCGUUAGGCUGGCCCGGCACUUGUAAUGGCGAGAUGUAAGUUGGUCAGUCGCUAGGUCACAUCUUCCACAGCAUGAAACUCGGAGGGAGGAAAGACGUUGUUUCGCGAUGAUGGUGGAAGGAGAUCUGUUGCCAUCAUCAUCAUCAUCGUACAUGUACAAUACGAUGAUGGCAUAUCGUCACACAUGCAAAACCUAGGCGACAAGCUCUCCUGUUUUGCUGAGCAAGCUGCCGCUCUACACACCAGGUUCAGGCCAAACAAAAUCCAGCCUCACCUCCUAUCGGGUUACAACUCCCUUCGGAUGCCAUUACGUCUCUAGAAGGUGGUACCUCUGCUCCAAAAAAGGAUACAGCCCUGCACCCCCCUCGACCCGUGUGGAACCCAGCACAUUCCAACCACCCGUCCUACCGUCCAUCGGUAUCUGUCAAUCUGUCCGUCUGUCUGUCCAUCUGUCUGUAGCCGUGUUUCCCAACUACCUGUGUUUUAUGCCGACCCCCAGCCAGCCUAAGUUGGCAGGUAUGCGGCUCGACAUUUAAUGUAUACGACCCUUGCCUACGGAACCAGACUCAAAACUCAGAACCCCCCCCAUGCCCCCUAACUCCUCCCCCCCUCCUCUUCUCCCCCCACACACAAAAACAAACGUUCCGCUUCAAUUCGCUUCUCAGUCCGUCUACAUGCCGCUGCGGCUUGCCCCAAGUGCGGAGGUGCGACAAUGCCGUACAAAAUCGUCCGAUAGCAUUGCCGCCGCCGCCGCGGUGGGCUGCCACGCCAGCACACGACCCACCAUCGCGCACAUGGGCGCCAAGUCGCGCGGCACCCUGCCGCCGUUAGCACCGCCGCCGCCGCCGCCACCAAUUACAGGCUUUUGCUGGUCGAGGCUAACUUCGCUGCCUGCCGUACUCGUCGUAGCAGGAUCUGCUUCAUGACCUCCAACGCCUCCAUCGCCGGUGCCGCCACCGCUGCCUGCGUCCCCCCCGACGUUGUCUUUGCCGUGUGCGAUGCCAGCGGCGCCGGCGGUACAGGUGCUACCACUGUCAGCGGCGCCGACGGCGCCCUUCACAUGGGUUCCGUACAGGUGCUCGGCCCGUUGCAAUAACGGCGGCGAUACCGUCACGCCCGCAGCCGCCAGCGACACCAGCGCUUGUAUUACUUGCCGCGGCGUCAUGACUGGCGCCGCAGCGUCGACGAGCUGUACGGCAACCUUGAGCGCCGUCGGCAUGCGAUUGACGUGGCCUACCGCCACAGGCACCGUUACCCCCGCGGCUGCGGACUCCAUGCCGUACUCACCUCCUGCCGCUGCGGUGGCCGCCGGGGCAGCGGCGGUGACACCGCCGCCAGCGUGGCGUUCGGGCCGUACUCGUAGGUGGGACAAGCCGUACAGUACGGCUAACAGCGACUGCGGGUGUCGGAGGCCAAGGCAUGGCGUUGUGGCAGCGUGUUGUUAGUUAUUGCUGCUAUUGUUGUUGCGGGCGUAGGAACUGGCGCUUGGAAGUCUAGAGAGCGGCAAUUUAAUCGGUUAUGCACCUCGGCCGGUAGGUAGCCUGACUCUCACAGAAAGCUGGUCAACUCCUUAACCACCAACGGUUAACUAUUUUUUAUAGUGCGGCCUUGAAGUGCCCGUUACAACGCGUGUACUCGCUCCAUGUUUUCCGCACAUACAUACACACAUACAUACACACAUACGUACACUCAUACAUACACACAUACAUACACGCAAGCUUACUGAAAUACAUAUCUACGCGCUAGGGGACAGACAUACACACAAACAAUGGCAAUGUUCCCCUCCGACAGCACGCACUUGCACACGCUAGACAUACACAGAUAAACGCACAGACAAACGCACAGAUAAACACACAGACAAACACACAGACAAACGCACACGCGCUCAUGCCCACGUCCUCCAGGCAGGGGGCCCCCUCUAUAACCCUUCAUCUCAGCCAGACCGCCUAGGAAAGGAAAGGUUCUGUGGAAGCACACGUACACGGUGACCAACCCACAACCCGCAACACGGCUCCCUAGCCACCGGGUAAACAGCCACCGGGUAAUAGCACUCCGACGGCUUACCGGAAUUGUGAUGUUAGGGCUCUGCAGGAGAACAAGCACCUCGGCCUCAUCAAUCAAAUUCGUACAGCGCUCGGCCCGGGGGGGAUCCGGCUGCAGCUGCUGCUCUAGAUGCGGCUGCAGCUGCUGCCGCUGCUGCUGCGGUGGCUGUCGAGCUCCGUCGUCAGCGGCUGCAACCACUGACGACGUUCGUGAUCCUCCGGCGGCGGCCCCAGCAGCAGCCGACAGGUGGUGGUGUGUCGCGGCUCCUCCCGCCGCCGCCGCCGCCGCCGCCGCUGCUACAGCCGCUGGCGCCGGUGCUGCUGCUGCUGCUAUCCCCGGCUGUAGCGGCAGGGACGUGACGACGUUGAUGCCCAGUGCGUUCAGGUGGCGAGCCGUCUGCAGCCGGCACACAUACAGACAUACAGAUCGACAUACACACAGACACACAAACAGACACAUAUACACUCAUGCGACGUCAGUAAUGGCAGGGAGGGGUAAGGGGACGGCGCGGGUCGAAUAGCUACUGACCAGGUUGAGGUCAGUUCGGGACAGUUCGGGAUGCUGUAUGUGUCCCCAUCCCACCCCAUCCCUCGCCCCAGAAAACCCUGAUUAAUUACAUACGUCCUUUUCUUCCCAUUCUUCCCCUCCUCCCCUCUCCCCCAUUCUCCCCCAUUCUUCCCCUCUCCCCCAUUCUUCCCCCCUCCCCUUCCUCGGGGGACUCCUAUGAUCCUUCCGACCUUUCCAUUCGCCUGCCGACACUCCCCACCCUGGACCGCACACGACAUACAUGCAUGCAUACAGUACAUGCACACAUACAUACAUAUAUACAUACGAGAGCACUCACCAUCAGCCGGUGCAACAUGUCCCACCCGGACUGAAGACGUUUGACCUGCGGUGAUCGUACGGUCAACGUAUGUGUGUGGGGGGGUUGGGGUGGGAUGGGGGGUUGUUGGGGUGUGUAUGGGGGGUUGUUGGGUACGGUCAACGUAAGUGUGUAUGGGGGGCCCGGGGUUUGGGUGGAAUCCCAUGCAAGACACAAGAAUUUGGAGUUUGGGGAAUCACACACACCUGCGGUGGUGGCAAAGUCCAGUGCCGGUGUCUAAAGUGUGGGUUUUGGGGGGUUGGGGGGACGACAUGUGAAUGAAGGACAAUAGGGGACGGACAUCGCCCGGUGGGUCCCGGAGGGGAUGUCAUUGUCAAGAGUGUUUGUUCCCUUCUUCCCUUCUUCGAAAAAGGUGCUCACUCCGCUUGGAACAGGACAAUAGGGUUGAUCGCACAAUCCGUUGAUAACCCCCCGCCCUCCGGUUCCAACAUGUUGAGGGGAUGUCAUUGUGACAGGCCCACCACCCCCUGAUGCACCACAACCAACAAUCCAUGUCCUCCUCUCCUUGAGCUGUGGGCCCACCGAGCCACCGACUACCGACCGUCGACAGGAAAGAGAAAGGAGAAAUCCAUCUUUAUCAUCCACCACCACUAUCACCACCACCACUACAGUCGUCGUCGUCAUCAUCACCACCAUCAUCAUCAUCAUGACCCUAAUGCCGUGUCGCCAACUUAUAACUAACUAAUUUUAACUAACUUUAGGACGAAAAAAAUAUCGCCCGAAAAAUAUCGCCAUUUCUUCUCAUCCGCAUUCUCGUUUUCGUCGUCACAUGUCCUGUGUGAGAGCGUCAUUACCUCUUGCAGUAGCAGUUGGACGAGCUCCGAGCCGGGGCCCAGACCUGCUGCCUCGCAAGCCUGUCAAGUCGCGGGCAUGCGAUUGAUUGUGAUUGUGUGCUCGGAAUGUGGUCAGAGGGCCAGAGGGAGGCCGGGGGGGUCGGUGCCCUGGGGUUAAGCUGCUCUGGGUAAGAGGUACACACCCCUACCCCCCCCCCCACACACACAUACACACACACACACAUACCACCUUCAGGAGAGGAGGGUAGAGGACUACACGGCCUAGGGAGCCGAGCUCCGCGGUUGUGUGGGUGGGUGGGUGGGUGGGUGGGCGACAUCCGUCAGCAAACACCAGCUCGCCAUGAUUAUGUGUGUGUUGGGUGUGUGUGUGGGUGUGUGGGUGUGUGUGGGUGUGUGUGGUUUCAUGCAGGCGGCCCAAAUUGCUGUCAGUUCUGUCGGUGGUGUUAGGGGUGGUGUGAUGUGGAUGGUGGUGGUGGUGUGGUGUGCACGGGGGUAUGUGCGAACCAGUCGUACACAUACCUGCAGUGCGUACGAGAUCCUAAGAUCCUCCUCAGUGGGUCGGGUUGGCCGCCGCCCUUGGAGCCCCCCUUGCUGCUGCUGCUGCUGCUGGUGCUGCUGGUGCUGCUGGUGCCGCCCCAGAUGCAUUAUUGGAGCUGCCAAACCCCCCUCUUUCCCCCCUCCCGCUCCGCCCCCUGCUCCCACUCCCCUCGCUGCCCCCUCCUUUCCCCCCUCCCCCACUGCUAGCUCGGACACCGGCACGUGGCUGGUGGUGGUGGCUUGUAUUUCUGUUUGUAUUUCUGUUUGCCUUGGUGACAGCGUGUCGUGCUGCUGCUUGCUUCGGAUACUGCUACUGCUACUGCUACUGCUGCUGUUGUUGCUGUUGCCACCAUUCGGUGACGUUGCGGCGGUUGACACCAUGGACAGUCUCAGCAGGUCGGUUAGGCGAGUGGCCAGGGGCCCAACGACCUGAAAAGUGGUGGUUGAGGUGGUUGAAAUGGCGCAUUUGUGGAUUAAGGCAGCGAGGGGGCGAGGGGGGAUACGGCAGGGAGGGAUACUGCGAUACACGUGAUGGGAUGUGCGAGGGGGGGGGGGAGGCGAGUGUGGGGAACUAGUGGACCAGGAGUAGGACACAACACGACGGGAAGAAACGCCAACAUCAUUAUCUUCUUCUUCAUCGUCAUUAUCAUCAUCAAAAGCAGCAGCAAAAGCAGCAGCAAAAGCAGGAUCGGCAGUGGUAGUAUCAGCAUUAGUGCAAUGGUAGAAGCAUGACAGGAAAAACAGUUUUCUACCCCCCUCACUAACCGCCAACCACCAACCGCCAACUACCCACAGCGGGUUCCGCCCCGAUUUGCCCAGCUGCCCGCAGCAGUACGGUGCAAGCAAAGAUGCUGUUCGUCCGUGCGAGGCUGUACGGCAAGGAUGACUGGUGUACGAGCUGCUCCAUGAAGAGCGGCUCCGGGUUGCCCGCCUGCGACCACGAUACGACAUACACACACAUACACACGUGGGGCACGACGGGUGGGGAAGCGGGGAAGCGGGGGGGAGGGCACGGCGGGAACAAAGAGGACGGGGAGGGCGGCUGGGUGCCUUCGGUACGAUGGGUAGCCCCUAGCACCAAUCGUAACUAGACACAACAGAUAACGGAAUGUAACACGCACACACACACACACACACACACACAAACACCUGGCGUGUUUUCCCCGCCUUUCCGGUGGUCCUCACCCUCCCGCUUGCCCGCACACUUAGGACGGGUUCCAGCGGUGUAUUCCCCCCACCUCCACCGCCCACCUGCCGUACGCCCCUAGCCAGCUCCACUCCGACCCAUCCAAACACCCCAACCCCGCAAUGUCACACACACACGGGGAACAUACCUCCAGAAAACCAAGCACCAGCGGCGGCAGCGCUUCCCCAGCCAGCGCAUUACCAAGCAGAGGCGCCGCCGCCGCCGCCAAUGCUCGAUGUACGGAUGGUCGUACAACGUUCAGCUUUCGUAACGCCGUACACACAUAAGUCAGACAGUACGCCUCCAAUCGGUGCUCCCGUUCGCCAGAGCCGUCGUGGUCGACGUCGUCGUCGUCAUCUCUGCGGCUGCGGCGCGCCUCCGUCGCGUUUGUCGUACUACGUAACUUGUCCGCCAGUUCGUACAGGUUUGCCUCCAAACGGCUAAGAAGUGCAUUGCUGAGCCGCCGACCGGCGUCCUCCGUCACUGUUAGCAGGCGAUAGCCCCUUGGCAGCGCCGCCAAGCCGUACAUACAGUACGACAGCUCCUUUAAACCUAGCGCCGGCGCCGCUUCAAGCAGUUUCGCCUGCAGGUGCUCUCUCAAUCUCCCAGGCACCACGCCCCUCCCUGGAGCUGCUGCGCCUCUCCCGCUUCCACGUCCGCUGCCGUCGUCGUCGUCGUCGGGGCGGUGAUCUGCGGCGUCAAGAUCCGCUGCCGCCGUCGCCGCGUCGUUCGGCGGCAGCGGCGACGUCGCCGUCGCCUCCCCGUUGACGAGUCUGGAGUACGCAACCACGGCCGUGGCUACCUGGGGUGUACGAUGUACGACAAAGGCAAGAGCGUCGCCCGUGGGCCCCGCUCAUUUCAUGCCAUUUUGGGCCCCUCCUCAUUUUGGGCCCCCUGGCCCCCAACCCCGGAAGGGGAGGAGGGGGAAAGACGAACCACACACGCUUGAAGCUGCUGCCAGAGCAGGGAGGAGGGGGAGUUGUAUACACUGCCACAAGUAUUCAGUGCUUAGGGUUCUCCCUAUAGCUCCAAGUCCCAGGGGGAGCUCGCCGUCCUGAAGGUGGGCACUUGUAUAUGGGCGAACAGGCAACAUAUAGACAUACGGACAGACAGACAGACAGAUAGACGGACGGACAAACCCAUUUCUGCACCUCACGCACCUGCGAUGGCCCCAGAACGUGCGCUGGUGUGGAGUCCAGUAACGCCGCCAACUGCCUCAACGACUUGGUCUUGCUGAGCUGUAACAGCAUUGCGCUAGACUGAGCCUCCGCCGCCGCCUUCAGCCGCCGCCGCUGCUGCUGCUGCUGCUGCUGCCACUGCCACUGCUGCUGGUCCUGCCGUUGAUGAUUAUCCUCCGUCGCCGUCGCCGUCGCCGCCGCCGCCGCCGCGGCUCUCCCCCUCCACUGACGGUGGCGACUUUCACCGGCUACGUAGGCCUGCGCGUCCUGUCGGGGUUUUUGAAGAUCGCCGCCGCCGCCACCGCCGUCGCCGCCGCCGCGGUCGUACUCGUAGUGCCCCGUGGGCCUCCUGAAGCCUUCUGAGGCCACCGCCUCCCAGGGAUUGUUUCUGCCCCCCUGCGGGGUUCGCCAUGGCCUCGGCGGCCUCAGCGGCAGGGGCUGCGGCGAGUUUGGGGGAAGAUCGGCCGUGUCGUGGCGGCUGCUACGGCUACCGCUACCGCCGCCAGCGAUUUGCUCGCCCCAAGAAUCCUGCGGUAAAGGUUGCUGUUGGCGUCGCCAGACCCGCCGGUCCCGUGCCCGAUCGUCGUUCCGGGGCCUGUCGUAGUCAGAGCCGCCGCGGUCAUUAUUGCCGUCGUCGCGGCUAACGCCAUCGACAUCACGCGUACGAGGCCAUGCGGCCAUGUAGCGGGCGUGGUGAUUGGGGAGCUGCGCGACGCGAGAGAGAAUUCGGGGCAGGAAGUGUUGAUGGACAUGCGGAUGAUACCUCGGAGCGGUAUUGGUUGCACGGAGGCAUGGAGGUGAUGAUGGAGUAAUUUGGGGAGUGAAGCUUGCAGGGUAAGGAUGUGGCCAUAAGGUCCGAUAAUUAGGGCAGGUUCCGCUUCCGUCGAUCAACCGUCUUCCUUGGCGGAGCUGCAGAAUGGCCGUGUCCAAGGUCCAAUUUGACGCGAUGCUGCAGUUCUUCGCUGAAUCCGAUGCUUGUAGACAUCCUCCCUUUGGCAAAUUCCGAUGCGUUGAAAGUCUCCAAACGCCAAGUAAGGUUGCCCCUCCAGAGUGAUGAAGCACGAGUUCGGAUGUCUUAAUUAUGCUUCCACAAUAACAAAUUCGUCUAUGCAUUUCAGAAGUGCUGGUUCAUCACUUCGCUUGCCCUUGCUGUUAGGCAGAAACGUAUUUCAGGCCGACAGCCCGUAAGAGCAGGCUUGAUUGGGAUUUAAGGACGAAUGCUAAGCCAUGGCCGUUAGCCAAUUGUAUACAUAAUUACUUAGCCAUUUAGAUACCAUGUACUCUCUCUUUACAGUGUGGCGUGCUCCGAAAUCAAACGCGGUCAGGUACAAGUUUGCGUAAUGUUUACGAGUUUAUUUGUUGUAGUGUAAUACGGACCACUCUAGAGCUCGCUCGGCGUACGUGUUGUGUUCUAGUAUUGCUCAAGUCGCACUUCCGAGUCGACCACACCGCGGACCCUUUCGUAGACUUCGCCCUGGAUGAUAGGACUACACAAGCUCUUGAAUUGAAACGAGUUAUGGAUAUGAGGAGCAAAUGCAAUCAAACGGCCGUCACACGAUGUCGCCAUCGUGCUAGGGCACAUACACUAAAGGCAAGGAACCAGUGCAUUAUCAGCAUUUUAAAAUAAUUCUAAUGACUCGUUGAUAUUUGAAUUCGCUCAUCCGCAAUGCUUGAUCGAUUGUUGAAACUGGGCUGCAGGCCAACUACGCAAGCAAGCUCGAUACCUUCGCUACAGUUUUACUAUUUUCAUAUUGCUUCAGAAGCUAUGCAUGGUCUGCAUCAAAGCUGGCGGACUACUGUCCCCCGGGUAGGUCGGGAGAAAGCCGUCCUUUGCAACCGUCCGCGAUCUAUAUAAUCUGAUCUUGUUGUUAAAGCAUUACAAAGUUCAACUCCGCAGGUGGGGGUUUGGAAUAGUGAGUAACGGUUGUCAAUAAUUUAUCAGCUUGUUGACGCCCUCUGUGCAAUUCGGUGGCAUGGAGGGAUCUCUGGUUCAUUUAAAGAACACUUGAUGUGCACAAUCGUAUCCACACCCUGAAACCCUAAAUGCCACUGUUUUGCGAAUCUUGGAACCGCGUCGGAUUUGCAGCUUCGGUUUAACAUUAACCCCAUCUUUUGCCAUGACGUCACGAGUACGCAGAGCCAGCAACUGGUCAACUAACCUUUAAGUCCGUUGAUGGCGUGAAUUCGGCAUGCGUGCCGAGUCAACUUGACGGUGUGGGUCAGGCGGUGUUCCAGUGCUGGCAACAGUUCCUCAUCAUGGUCAACGGAUGCCAGGUCAGGCGCACGACCCAACCUAAUCAAGCUUCCGGUUGGAUUCCCUCCACGCACAUGGCAAUGCGCCAUUAUCACCCUGCACAUUACCACUCCACAGCCAACUCACUUCCGCAAGCAUACAGGCGCGUCGUCAGACCGAGAUUCCUUCGGCCCUCCUUCGGUCGUUCUCCCGUCCCUCGGGUACCUCGGGUCCACAAACACACUAUCAGUCUCCAGUGUAAUAAGACGGGGGCACAUUAUUCGGACAUUCCUUCACCUCCACACACACACACACCUCGUUGGCGACAGUCCUCCCAAACUCGCUCACGCCUCGCCUUCUUCACCCUUGCCUCUUCACAUACCCAAUUCAUUCCGUACCCGUACGAACUGUACGGCGUGCUGCCGUACGACUCAGGUGUCGAUGCACACGACAGAGGACCAAUUUGUCGGGCCAGGGCGGAUGCCGUGCCGCAUGUUUGCAAUGUCGGGAAACUUGACGGGUACGUGUCUGGUCGGCCGACCGGGAGGUACUCGUGGGGGGGGGGCGGGAGGGUAACGGCCAGAGAGGGGUCUGAAUAGCUAAGUAGGUUCUCCUUUUGCAGUGAGAGGGGAGCACGGCAGUAAGGCGGCUCGCUUACGUGUAUUGUUGGGGGCGUGUUGUUGCCUAUAUAGGCCAUUGCACCAGGUGUGCUCGUGCGUUAAAGCUUUUAGGGUAUUGUUGUUGUUGUUGUUGUUGUUGUUGUUGUUGUUGUUGUUGUUGUUGUUGUUGUGAACUGUGUGGAAGCUAGCUAGUUAGCUUACUCACUUAACAGAGGUAGUGUGGCCCCCGUGACGUGUACCUGCAGGAUUUGUUGAUGCCAAGCCUUUAUGUGAAUAAAUACCUUAAUACCUUAUUUAAAAACACCAUUGGGGGCCAUUGCAUUCGCUUCUAACGGCGCGAAAUACAGUAGUAGAUUGUAACUAGUGGGGCGGUGGAAGCCCGCCCCACCCCCUAAUACGUUUCAGUAGUGUGGCGACUAGUCUUCCCUCCCUCGGGGGUAUGCUGAGGGCGGCACCAGGCGGCUGAACCCGGGUGGUCGUCGCGCUCAGGCACGUCGAGCCGCCUAGGGGCGCGGGGGGGUGAGGACGACAACGUCCUCCUCACUCCUCACCCGGCGCACCGCCGUGUUAACCACUAUUGACCGUUCAGGGGGGGAGAGGGGGCCGGCCGCCCCCCGGGCUUUUAACGGACGGCCCCCGGAGGUAUGUACGGCACUUGUAACCCUGGCGACUGACCCAAACCCGCUCCCCCUCCCCCCUCCCCCCCCCGCCCACACCCGCCCACACUGCGUCCGCAGGUGCGGGGGUGGAGGCCCAAAUGUGGGCUGACGUGGACGGCCCUGGGCUGCUGUCGUACUAUUACGAAGAUUCAGAGGUGAAGGUUUUUUGAUGCGGCAUGUGGCUUAGAUGUAUGUAUGUAUGUAUGUGUUUUGGGUUGGAUUUUAAAGGCUCUUGAAAUUUGAAGCCCCAGGUCGGAAUCCGCGAUCCGCUCAAUUCUAACACUUUAAUCUUUUCGGCCCAUAACACCCCGGCUCACGUACCCCACCAUCCCGUAACAUGCAAAGCACCCUCGCCACCUGUUCGGUCAAGUGUUCUCCCCUCGCAAUGGACUCAGCGCGAUUAGAGACAGUCAGUCAUUCGUAGUACACGUUCACUCAUGCAGGCCGUGGCUGCGCUUCGGUACGACAGCUUUCGUCAGCUUGUACGGGACAUUUGGGCGUUUUUGCGGCACUUCACCGGCGACUUGCGCUUCGCCAACGACUCGUGUGAGUAUGUACGAACCUGGUUACGACGCGGACUACCUAUUUGGUCCCUCGCCUUUCCCCCUUUCCUCUCCUUGACCCCUCUUCCCUCCCUCGCGGCCGGGUAAUGGGAAGGGAGGGGAGGGGAGGGGGGAAAGGCUACGGUGUUUACGGCGUGUGUAAGUCCGUCCUGUGCGGGGAGGGGGAAGGAGAAGGAGAGGGACAAGUUCCUCCGGUCCUGAUCUGUACGGAUCAAGGUACGGAUAUGUACGGAGGGGAGGGGAGAGGCCGCUUCUUAGGGUUGGACUCGCGUGGGUUGACCGCUUAGGAGACCCCCACCCGUUUCCCCCUUCCCCCCACCCGCCCAACCCCUGCCCGCCCUUCGCUGCCACGCCCCACGUCUCCGUCGCCUCUUUUGCCGACUGACACACGCGGGCCUUGUCUGUCUGUCUGUCUGUCUGCUUGCCACCUUGCUGUGCCACAUCUCCACAUUACCUUCUGCACCCUUAUAUCGCUUCGGUAUGUCUGUCUGUCUGUCUGUCCUGGGCAGGGAUCGAUGAGGGGUUCUUCGCUGACACAAAGAAGGCGCCGUACACGGACAGCCAGCAGAGCGCAGGUCUCAUUCUACACACCGGUCAAAGCCAAAGAAAAGAUGCAACUCUGAAUGUCGUACAGCCUGCUAGAAGAUUAUCAACGCUGAGGCGACUUGGGCGCGAACAUCAGCAGCAGCAGCUUGGGGUUGAUUUAGACGGGCGGCCGAGGUUGGUCGUUCGGGGGGAGCUAGAGGGCGAUGCUGGGGCGAGUCGCCUACGGUCAGAUGGGGCCGAUGUGGAUUUGGCGACCGUCGCCGCCGCCGCUGGUGUUGAUCGCGAUGCAGAUGGUGACGCGGGUGCGGAGGGGUUGAUGGGGGAAAUGGUUGGCGAGGAUGUGAACGGAGGAGCUGCGGUGGAUCGCGGCCGGGCCCGGCACGGUCCCAUGCGUGUGUAUCGUACCUCCGAAACCAGGGUGGUGGUCAAGGCGCCCACCGGCUGCAAGUACCGCUACACGGUGAGGCCGCGGGUUGGGGUGGAAGGGGGUGGUGGAAGGGGGCCAGAGGGAGAAAUUUGAAUUCGAAGUUUGGUGAAACAUGAUCAUUAGGAUCUCCUCCUGUAAUCAACCUCUCCCUCUCCCUCGCGUGGUGUGGUGUGGACAAGCAGGUUAGAAGUUACCUCCCCCUUCCCCCCCGGGUUCAUGUUCCUUUUCAUCACUCACCUUGUUGGCCCCUCCCCCCCUUUCGGUCAGUUCUACGUUUGAUACACUCUUGCCCUGGCAGCAGCUUCAAUCGUGUGUGGUUCGUCUUUCCCCCCUCCCCCAAACGUCAGCGCUCCCCGCCUUGCGCUGCGAUAUCCACCCUCCCUUUUUCCCAUCCGCUUACCCGCCGUCCUCUUAUCCGCUCACACACAGACACAAUGAUGAUGAUGAUGAUGAUAUUGUGACGAUGAUGAUUUACAUAUACCUACGUUUUUAUUGCCUACAACAUGUCAUGCCAGGUGAAUUCGAACUCGCACGUGUUCGAGUCCCCCGCCCGACAUCAUGCCCAUGUGGAGUGGCACACCAUCCUCUUCACCGUGGCCACCCUCAGUGUUGUUCUGUCGGUGGUAGGGCUGGGUCUGUGCACCUACUUCUCUAGGAAACACGCCGAGUACGUGGCGGGGUACUGGGAAUAUCAGGCCGUCAAGGUGCGUGCGUGUGUGUGUGUAUGUAUGUGUGUAUGUGCGCAUGUAUGCAUGUAUGUGCGUGUGUGUUUGUGUCUCCGUCUGUCUGUCUGUCUGUCGGUCAGUCUGUGUGCAUGCUUAUGAAUGCAAACGCGCGUGCGUGUGCUGUGUUGUGUCGUGUCAUGUUAGAACAUUGUUGUGGGAGGGUGUAGGGUUUCGUUGCGGGUGAGCUGGUGGGAUUCUGCCGUACCACGCCGUGCCGUACCACGCCGCGUGGGACACCCGACUGGAGGGUUAUGUUGAUCUGGUCUUGUCCAGUACGGGAUCGCUCCUAUUGGGGGAGACGGCUGCUAAUAACGUACAGAACCGGGAAUUGCGUGUUCCUGAUUUAUUAAGUAAAUCUAUUCCCGAAGGUGGGAGAAUUCUUCCUGAUAGGAUUACUAACGUAAGUAAAACUUUGUUGUAACUACGAACAACCGGAAACCUGGUUGAAUAUAGAAUUAUUUGUUAUAAUAGCUGGUGGUAUGUACUGUGUACGGCAACCGCAGGACCAGCUGGGGUCCGAGCUACCCCCGUCUACAUACGUACGGCUAUUCGGCAAACAGCCCGCGAAGUCAGCAGCACCAGCACCCGUAGUCCCUGCACAACAGCACGGCGGCGGCGGCGGUGGCGGCGGCGGCACUGAUGGCGCCGCAGCUGCUGCUGCGGCGGCGGCGGCGGUGGCGGUGGUGGUGGCGGCUCCUUCGCCACCGCCGUAACUUUUACCUGUCGUACAGCAACACGCUGCUGCGGCGGCGGCGGCCGCCGCCACGGAUGGUCUCCCGUUGUCAGAGGAGGUGUCGCCUCCUCGGGGGGUGGGUUUCGUGUGACCCCGUGGGUGGUUGUGCUGCGAGGGUUAGCGGGGGCGAUGGGUAGACACGGUGUGUAGACACGGUGUCUGUACGGCAGAAGGGAUACGCCCUUCCUGCCUGGUGCUGGUGCUGGUGGUGGUGGUGGUGACAGUGGGCAUCGGAAGGGGAAAUGUGGGGAGACCGGGGGGGGCGGGUGUUUACGGCGGGGGUUGUUCCUCGGGAGGCCCACAUGGAGGCGCCGAUAGGGAAGUUGUUCAAUUAAAGCCGGGUUUCCGCGCACCGGAUACCUCAGUCAACCACAGCCGCGUUUUUCAAGUACUCGUUUCCCAUUUUGGUGCGUUCGUGUUGAGGUGGGUUGAGGAUCGGCUGAGGCUCGAAAGCGCCUCCAACGAGAUUUGGCGGUGUGGCGCCUGCGGGGGUGCCUGGGGGUAGCCGACAGGACGGAGCGGCUUCUCCUGCCUGCCUGCCUGCCUGCCGCGACGUGGCGGGAGGUGGGUGAGGUGCCACGCGCGGCGAAUAGCCUCUCCUCGUCCCCCUUUUGGUGUCUUGGCUCGUGUCUUCCCCCCUGUUGAGAUUACACUGCCUCCUCCUAACUGCCUGGUCGAUUUUUGGGAGCCGGAUGGGAAUGAUAUAGUCACGACGCGGAACAGCUGUGCGCUCUCUCUCUCUCUCUCUCUCCCCUUAAGGCUAUUGUGGCUGGCAAUAGGAUCGACCAAAGCUGGUUUGGGGUCAUCGGAGUGCGAAGUAGGCGGACAGGAGCCGUUCUUAGUCCCCGGUAUAGCUGUCCCCGGUAGCGCCCCUGCUACGCUGAGAGGUGUGAGAGGAUGGGUGGACGGACGGGUGAAGGGUGUUGUCGGCAGCUGUUAGGGCAAGUUUGGGUUUGGGGGUAACCUAACCUACCGCUUUACCGCUACUACUACUCGACUACUCGACUCAGCUCCCGUUGAUGUUGUGUUUUGGAAUGUUGACAUGUCAUGUCAUGUCAUUUUGAAGCGGCCCUUUCCGGCACCCGGCAUGGCGCGGGGCACUGAGGCAGGAGCCUCAGGAGUGGCCCGGCUCCCGUUCGGGCAGCUGCAGCUGCAGCUGCCAGCGGCUGGGAGGUGGUGGUGGUGUGGAGGGCUGUGCACAAAGGGUGUGACGGACGGCCCGACACAACUCCGGACAUCACACACACGCACGCACGCAAAGCCUUCGCGACCAGGUCGCCUGUUCGUUGGCUUAGCAGUAGUAGCAAUAAUAAUGAUAAUGGUAAUAAUAAUACCUCCGAAUGCACCCGACUUGCUCUCGCUCGGUUUCCGGUUUUUGUUGUCUUGUGGUUUCUCUGCAAGUCCGCCGAGGGUUCUUUGGAUCUGUUUCGUUGGUUCGUUCGUUGGUUAAUUUCGUUGCCUGCCAACCACCGCGUCCUCGUCCUCCUCACAGACAACGAUGUUUGGGGCACUUGAUUGAUCUAUUGGUUAGUUGGUCAGUUCGUUAGUUAGUUGGACCUACGUAAGGACCGACUUUAACGGAACCGUGGUGGUGCGUUUUCCCCCGGUUCAAUCGCGUCACAUGUCGGCCCCCGUGGGUGUACGGCGGGGUGUAAUCCUGGUGCAUGUGCGCUUGUAUGUAUGCAUGUAUGCAUGUAUGUGCGCUAUAAAGCAGAGCUUCACCCCAUGUUCAUGUGUGUGUGCGAAGCGUCUGGUUAUGUCACUGAGCCGGCGCACACAAGAACUCUGUCGGGAAGGUUUGAGAGGUUGCGGGUCCAUGCCGGGACGUCACGUGCCGUGCCGUGCCGUGCCGCGUGGGUAUGUGUGUUUGUGUGUUUGCAUGUGUGUGUGAUGGUUUGUUGCGGUGUGCGCGUUAUAUUUUAUAUCUUUUCGGUGCACGUCCUAAAUAGCGUUUGUCUGUAUGCAUGUAUUACAAGUUAUGGCCGCAGCAGUGGCCGUCUCUCCUCCGGAUUUGAUGACCUAGCGAAGGCGGGGUGGGGUGGAAGUACAGAGGCAUGCAUGCGGGGUGAUCGGCGGGGGCAACGGUGUAGCGGCGGUGGCGGCAGAAACCCCAACACCCCCCCACCCCCACACACCCCCACACACCUCCACACACUCCUUGCGCCCCUCUCCCGUCCGCGGGAGAGAGCUUGGGCGGUCUUUCCGUUGGGGCUGGGCAGCAGCCCCUGCCCGUUCAGAUACUUGUAACCCCCCCCAUGUGGCUACGUAACUAAAUUGUAAAGCUCUGUACCGUCCUCAGUGGCUAACAGCCAUCGCAGUCGCAGAAGCAUGAGACCAAAAUCCGUCGUUUGAAUGUACGGACUGAGGCCUCCUCUUUGUGUGUCUAUCUGUGUGUAUUAAUUACUUCCUGAUUCAGUCUGCCCUGGAAAGAUUGUCUGGACGGGGACCUUCCUUUCCCUGCAAUGGGAGUUGCCAGUGGUGGCGUCCAUCACUUGCUAGUUGGUUAGUUGGUUCGUUUUGUCGUUCUUGCUAGGAAGGAGGCUUGCUGGUGGUUCUGUCCCCCUGUCUCCUCGAACCCGUGAUCUCGUGGCUCUUCCGAAGCUGCCAGGGACUGACACCUGACCACCUCCACUUCCAUUACUCCAGUCAGUUUGUGGGUAUGGUCAAUGGCCCCACCCCGCGCGGGGAUAUAACGUCAAAGGCGCACACAUGGCGGAUGAGGCGUUAACACAAUGCGCGGGUGGGGAGGGUUUGCAUGCACACAUGCACACAUACAUACAGGCACACGCUCGAGUAGUAGCACGUGCGGCCUGUUUGUAGGGUUGGUAAUGCAUAUGCAUAUCCUGCUCCAGUCCACCUCAUCAAGGAGGGGGAGGAACGUCCCCACCACGACGCAUCAGCUGGGCUGGUUCUGGUUCUGGUUCUGGUCUUCAGGAGCCAGAGAAGAAAGUUGAAACACCCCGGCAAGAGCCCUCUGUGGGAGAGGGCCAACUGCUAAGAAAUCCAGAACCCGACCCUAAGGCGCUAUCUUUGCCGUCCCCGCCGGAUUCUUUUCAUCAACCACGCGUGCAGCGACGUCUGCAAAGACAGUGACUUUUGGGAUUUAGCACACACACACACACACACACACCCGCCACAUACCCCAGCAACAGGAUGGAGGGAUGACGGGAGACACGUGCACGUGGUCGCAGAUAAACAGACAGACAGACGGAUAGAUCCCCAGGCCCCUUUCUCUCCCCCUGUCCUCCCCCCCUGCACGCGCUCUUCCUCUUUUUAACUCCCCUCCUUCACCGCUCCUCUUCCUUCCCCCGGCUCUCCACCCACUACGAUCUGUGUUUUCUGAGGGCCCAACCGCAUUCAGAGGAUGGCUUAGCUGGAGUUAAUUUGAAUUUUUAGCUGCGUAUCUUUCCAGCCCCCCAACUACUGUUUUACUAGUACGGAUGCUAAAGCCGCACCGCACUACUCCCCCUACAGUGCAGUACAGCUAGGAGGACAAGGUCGCUCCAGUGCAGUGCGCUGUUGGCCUCAACGGCCUCAGUGGAACACUCGCCCAACAAACACAACAUACCAUCCGAGCUGCUGCUUGCCAUGUAUACCGCUUACACAAAGACACAUAGCAAGUAGCGCGAGUAGCGUGCAUAAGGUGCCAUGCAAGCGCAUGCCUAUGUAAAUGCGAUGCGUAGUAUUUCUGUCUGUCUGUAGGUUGGUAGCUAGGUUGCGAGUAGUGGACGUUUGGAUGUAGGCGUUUGGGGCAAACGGCUUGUUUGGCUUGUCGACUUUGUUGGCUUCCCUUUUUCUGGGGGGCUCUUUCCUUUUUCUGGGGGCCCCUUUUCUUUUUCUGGGGGGCCUUUUCUUUUUCAUCAUCAGACACAAAGACAUGAGGGUGUGUCGCAUGCUCGGGCGUCGAGAACAUCAAUCGCAGUGUUGUUAUUGGGGUGAACUCCUUUUUCUUUCCCGGCGCUGCGUGGCUCUAAUUUCCGUCCCUAAGUAAGUGGACAAGAUAGCUGACGAUUAAAGGGACGAUUAGAGGGACGAUUAGAGGGCGCCACCGCGGUGAGAUGUUUCGAGGUGGUGGCAAGUGGGUUUGUGCGGGUGGCUUAGUGGGUCGGAUGAGAGGCGCUGCGAGCCUCGCACAGGCGCGGGCGGUUGUACGGACAACAGGAAUAGGCGCACGUGACGAGACACGGCCCAGUUCAUAUGGAUCUGUUGCGUGAAAGUUUCAGAGGCGCAUUCAGAAUUAAGUUCGGUUCAUGAGGGCAACUCAGUUACGGUCCGAUGUUCACAUCGUCAAGAGGCAAGCCCAUGGUGUAACCAGCGGUAGGCUGCGGCUACUAACUAUCUAAGCAGCACCGUUGCAUCUUAGCUUCUGGCGGCGCAAAACGCAGUUAGGUUCUCGGACUACAGAUGUACAUCGAACGUGACGACGAGGCCUAAGCAAAAUGACUGCACCAUAAUAUAAGAGGAGGGUGAUCACAAUGGUAUUUUUGCUUCCGCGAACUUGCAGCAACAGGAUGUGAAGCAGUGAAGGGUUGUGGGCUUCUCCGCCGCGCCGUACUGGUACCCAUUUUGGCGCGCACAACUGGCCAGCGGGCAAAACACCACAGCAAAACGCAGCACCCACCUUGCAGCGAUUUUCUUUUUUGUUUAGCGUCAUAGUUUUGCGAGAAAUGGAUACACCGUCAGUCGGCGGCAAGUUGGCUAUCUGUCAGAGACUGACGCAUAGACGCGACACACAGCAUUGAACGUCAAGCAAUCUGCUGUAAUAUAUACAGUAAGAUAGACAUAUAAAUAUUGGGAGGUAAGGAUGCGGCGCUCAUCUCCGCCGCGGGAGCCCGGGGUUGGCCCGGAAGGCGCAAAGGUGGGUGAUCGUAAAACUGAGCACAGUUUCCACUUUUAAUUAAAUUCGCUUAACAAACAAUUCAAGCCAUAAUGCCUUUCAUGUGGUCUUUUCGCUGCACAGGCGUCAGCUCGGCCUGGGCUGCGUACUGUCCCGACAAUGCCCAACAAACGGCAGGCCAUCCAGGGUUACGACGUCGAUAACAGCCUUGGAAGUCCUCUCUUUCCUCGAGAUUAUGAUCAGCUCCGCAAUUUGCUCGGCUCGCCGCUUCCGCCUCUUCACAGUCCCCCUCUCUUCCAGCCCUCACCCCGACGUAGCAUCCUCACCUCACCAGCCCGACCAGCGGCAAACCAGCGCCCGUCCAACCAAAUCCCCAGUAACAAUUCCCAUCGCCAUAAUCCUGAUAGCAUGGACGCUCUUGCGUCCUUUUUUGCUCCGUCACCCGCGCUGCCAGUACCGCUCUUCAGCCCCAGUGCAGCCGCACCCAACAGCCUUUUCGAUACAUCCGUGAACCGAGCCAGGGCGGAUGUCUUCACACCUACUCCAUGCAAGUCAGGCGCUCUUGAUCACGUCACAGCGCUUCUACAUGAUGUCGGCCGAGGGGGCCAAAGUGGCGCCGGCUCGGAUCCCAUCGGAGUUCAUCUUCAACAUCAGCGAUGUAACAACGACUCGGCUGUGCCAACUAACGCAGCGACGGACCCUCAUCAUCAUGAGGGCGGCAGCGGCGGUAGCGGCAGCGGUAGCGGCAGCGGCGGUACGGCAAUUCCAGUCAACGUCGCGUCAGCAUCUGCAUCCGCUGGCAUUAGCUGUACUGCGCAAUUGGCGGCAGCGGCUUUGCGCAGCCAGGCAAACAAGGCCUCGUCGUCACACGGAUUUCAUAUGGUGAGAAGGAGUCUACUGAGAUUUUGGGGGCAGCCAGUUUCGUUUCGCUCUCGUCUUUUUCCUCUUUAGUGUCAAUCCUUUCUAAUUGUCAACAACAUUCUUUUGGUUUGCGUCUUCCCAUUUUUCCAAUCGCAAGGUUUUCCUGGUUUCCGCUCAUCACAUUAUUAUAUUCUACAGAACGUGCUGUUUGCUAAGCACCUAAACAUCACAAAAUAUAUGCAUGCUGCUUCCUUUUUGCCUCGAGUGCUGUGACCGACACGCCUCGUUUCUAUCUUGUACUGCUUUACGGCCGUACUUUUAUGUUCCGUACUUUUUACCAUGUGCUGUCCGGAACCAUCGAUCUCCUAACUUUGCCAUUUCACCUGCUGCCUCUCUCGGUGUCCUUGUGCCUGGCCUCCACCGCUGUCGCCUUCAUUGUAAGAUCCACGAUGGUGGAUUUGGAUUUGGAUUUGGGCGGAGCCAAGCAACACCGGGAUUAAUGUUGAGCUUAAGCGGACAAGGUGGGUUUGGGCCCAUCCACCACCCGGUGCCGGGCUACCCCUCGGACCUCCUCGGUAUCUCGGGCCCAGGCUCGCACAUGUUUGGCGGCAGCGGCGGCGCUGCCGCCGGCAUUGAUGGCGGCAGUGGGAACGGCGGAGGAUUGUACGGCAGCUUCUGUGGCAUCGCCAAUGGCGGCGGCGGUGGUUGCGCGGGAUUACAGCUCAACGUGAAGGACAUGUUGUUGGCGCAUCACGAUGAUGACGACCGCAGCGGCGGUUUGCUGACCUCCAUGCCGUCUUUUUGCGGCGGUGGUGGUAGCGGUGGUGGUGGCGGUGGUUUCGGAUCUGGCCUGGGUCUGGGGCGACCCCGAAGCCGCUACUUGGAUUUUUGUACGACGCCACGCCACUCUGCGGACGCCGCCGCCAGCGGCGGCGCCGCUGCCGCACCUGACGCUACCAGCGGAGACGGUGCCCGCGCUGGCGGCAGCGGUAGUAGCGGAGGUGUGGCGUCAAACGUCGGGGCUGGCGGCGGCAGCGGCAGUAGUGUAGGCAUUGGCGAGGGCGUCGGCGUCGUCGGCAGUGUCGAAGGCGGAAGGUGCGGCGGCGGCGGCAUCUACCCCGGCGGCCUAUCGUCGCGUCAUCACGGAGGGGGCCUACUACUGGCGCCGCAGCUCCCCGCCCCGCCGUUGCUGCAAACCGAAACCAACACAGCGACGACGGGCAGCAACACCGGGCAGCACUCCAGGGGCGCUGACGGCGCCGCCGAGUCGCCUCCGGAGUCCCUGGACGAGCCGCAGAAGCCCGUGCUGUCGUACGUGAGUUAGCUACCCCCAUGCUCGCCGUUGCCGUGUGCUGACAAUUGGCACUUUUUUGCUGUUGCUUAACUGCUUAAACGGAUAGCCUGUUGUCGUAGUUUUUGUUUUUAUUAUCGCUAUGAGGCGGUGGGUUUGUCAAUGGUGGUGGUAAGUGCGGGUGUGGGGUUUCGUCAUGGGGUUCCCUCAACUGCACUUGGUUGUGUUUUUAUGGAGAUAUGUAAGGUUUGGCACCGGCGUAUGCGCAUACACGGGUUUAUGUGACCCUACUACCACCCAAACCCCCCCCGUGGGGAGAGGAGCCGGUAGUGGGGGCACGUACGUGUGAAAUUGAUAUGAGCACGUACGCGUGCGCGCGAAAUUUCGGUUUUACAUUGAUUUACCAUUGAUGAGAAGCUCAAUCCUCCUCUGCGCUGCUUUGUGGGGUUCGUUUUGGGUGUUUUGUUUAAAUGUUAAGUUAAGGGGUUGAUGGCUGAGAGCGGUGAGCAAUGGGGCGCGAAGGGGCACUGGUCCGAAGGCCCACCACGGAGCAGUGAGCGACAACGCCACCACCCCAACCCCCCCAGGUGGUCAAACAUGCUGUGUAUGUGGCUCUGGGGGCGAGCUGGAAACCCGUCCGGCUAUUUUCCCCCCCCCCCGGGGGGUUCGUGUGUGGUUCGUCUUCCCCCCCCCGCCGGUUUUAAAAGCUUCCGACCCUCUUUCUCCCACUGUUGAAAUCUGCGGGCUUCCUUCAUCAUCCCCCUCCUCCCCAUCCCUCUCCUUUUGCACUGAAACACGGCCCCCGCCCCCGUCCCCCAUCUUUAAUUUGACUUUGGGGAGCAACGUACCGAGCCCUUUCCUUCCUUAUAUCUUUACUGUUAUCGUAGUUGAAUUAUUAUUUUAAAUGGGUUCCGGCGAUUUCAUUCUUCUUAUUGAUUUGUGUAUUUUGUAUAUAAAUGAAGUGUUUUCAACUAUCAGCUUUCCCUCAUUGAGUUUGAACCUGCUGCAACCCAACCCACACAACGUAUUCACGCAGCCGUCACCAAACGAGGAAACCCGGAUCGCGAUUGCCGGGGGUUGUGUGAAGGUGGUGGAGUCAGGAGCCUCCCGCACGACGGUGGAAACGCCCGGAGUGGAGUUGGGUUGCGGCCCGAGCGGCGGUGGCGGCGGAGCCAGCGGCGGCAUCACCUCCACGGAGGUGGCGGCGGGGCCCGCGGCCGCAGCAACGGGCACAGAGCGCAUGGCCACUGUCUCAGCCUCCGCUGCUGGCGGUGGCGGCGGCGGCGGCAGCAACGGCGUCCUUGUGCCUUCUUCUGGAGGGUCUUUUGGUCUCCGUACGGAAUCCUUGCUCGUACUACCGGGAACGAGUGUCGCCGUUCCCGGUGGCGGCGGAGGGGGCCUUAUGGUACCCGUGUCAGGUAGUGGCCGCGGCGGCGGCGGCAACGACGGCGGCGGUUGCGACUUAUCGUCCAGUAUGGAGGCCGAUACGAUGCAGUACAGCGCUGGCGGCAGGGGCAGCGGUGCCGGCGGUGUUUGCCUGGACAGGGACCUUGGGAUGUCCUCCCCGUCGUUGCUGCCGCCACCGCCGCUCUCUUUGGGCGGUCUGAUGCCGUCUUCAUUUUCAGUCCCUCCACAUCUGCAACCUAACCAUCACCACCUCCAGCAUCACCAUCAUCAUCAUCAUCAUCAGCAGCAACAGCAGCAGCAGCACUACCAAAGUAGCGCCAUGACAUCGUCAAUGAUGGAUUUGUCGAUGGCUCGAGGCGGUUCCGGAGCCGGAACAGGGGCCUCCACGCUGAUGAUGGUUUCGGAGGGUGGCGGGGCAAUGCCGGGAUUACAGCCGUUGUCGCAGAUGCAGAUGCCGCUAUGCGAGGAUGAUAAGAGCUUUGUUAAGCGACAAAUUCAGCAACAGCAAAUGCAGCAACAGCAAAUGCAGCAACAGCAAAUGCAGCAACAGCAACCACUAGUGAGGGGUGGGAGUGGUACGUUUGCAGUUCGUAUGGCGAGUGGUGGUAGCGGAGCGGGUGGCGGCGGCGGCGGCGGCGUCAACGGAAGCAGUGGUGGACUUCUUCAAGGCCGCGACGCGGCGGCGGCGGUGGCGGCGUCAGGCGGCUGCGAGCGGCCUGGCGUAGGGCUGCCGCCGCGUAGCGGUGGCGGCGGCGGCGGCGGCAUAAAUGUCAUGCCCGGUGGCGGCAUGCCUGGUGCUGCUGUUGCCGCGGCAAGCGUUGGCGGUGCUGGCGGCGGCGGUGCAGGCAAUGGCGGGGCCUCUACGCCGUCCACCUUGCAGCGGCCGCAGCGGACUCGUACGGCAAGUUCGUAUGGCGGCGGCGGUGCUGGCGGCGCCAUGAACGAGGGAACGGUGAUGUCGAUGCGCGGCGCGCCUUCGAUGGAUUUUGGUGGGUUGGGUGCGGGCUUGGCAGGGACGCGGUUUAAAGCUUGUGGGGAGGUUCAAAGCCGACUGCUUUAUGUGGUGCGUUUCGAAAGAGUCCAUGCUUUUCUGUCGUACUGCUUUUUUGUACCCUUUUCGGGCAGUAUUAACCUAAACGGGUGGUCAAAUCUGCUGCCAGCCAUCCGGCAAUUCCCGCGUCCCCCGGAUUGUUUUUAUUACGAUGAUGUAAUCUUGCAUGUCAUAUCCCCCGAUUUCGCUUACAACGCGGUUCUAUUAUGCUUAUCUUAGGGCUAUUUAAAAUUCUUAUAAUAACUAACUCGAUGUUAGCUCAAUGUUACUCUCUCUUUCUCUGCGGACAGUACGACACAGGACAUUCGUGGCUUUAGGAUUUAGGGCAUACCUACGGUACGGCAGUUUUUUUCUUCUAAAAAUAGGGAUUACUAGUUACCAAGUGGUUACUGAGAAAAUAAUUCCCUUCCAGAAGGUGAUCGGUCACUAGGAAAUAUGUUUCUUAGAGUCACCUGCCAGUAUUUUAUGUAACCAGGUGGUCGCCGGGCGGUCAAGGUACUUGCAGACGUUCAGACAGACCAUGUCCUAGGGGUGCCUAUUCCCCCAUAUUGGGGGCCUAUGGCCUCUAGAGUUUUAAUGAUGGAGGUUGUGUGGUGCGUGCGUGAUGGAGUUUUGGCUGGCGCGGCGUUUGGCGCCGCACGCUGGCCUGUUUUGGCUUGUUACCUCACUCUCUAUAUAAAUAUGGAUUCAAAUAAUCACAUUUAUUUUUUCGCCUUUGCAUUUUAUUUUUUCUAUGUCUUGAUGGUAUUGCUGUCCUUGAUUGUGUUGCUGUCGCCCGUCAUUGUACAUUAUUAAUCUUGGCAAGACCGUCCUUAGUAUUUAGUAUUGCAAAGGGCAUUGUGUCGCAGCUACAGAGUCGUCCUAUCAUCCUCCUCCUCUCCUUUUACUCCAUUCCCUUUUUUUCCUUGCCCUUACCUGCUGAACCAACUGAAGAAACGAGCUUCCGUAGUCGGAAGUCGUUACUGUAACCGUCUGCUGAAAAACGGUUACAUGAUAUUUUUGGACGGGCAGUACGAAUUGUCACUAGCGCUUGCUGGUUCUUGUUGAGUUGGAGUUUUGAGUUAUACUGCCCAUCUCCUCAGGUGAUUGAUGCAAAAUAAACAUGAGUCCUAUGUGUUUUGCGAACUCCCUGUGAUGCAUGUAUUUGUGAACAUGGUUUUGGAGAUUCAGAUGUAGUGGUUCCGGAGCUGGAACUCUCACCGGACUUUCCGGGUCGCGGUGGCAUUAACGCCAACGCUAAUCCUAACGCUCACCGUUCCAGCGGCGCGGGCGGUGGCUUGACCCAGAUACAGGGUGGGGGGCCCAACCGCGGUCGUCGUACAUCAGAAAAGUACGUCGUACAUGUUGUAUAUGUGGUAUCCUGUCGUGCCCUGUCGUUCAUGGCUUUUCCCUAAGUAGACACUUAAACCCUAACCCGGCUGUGCCUACGUCGGAGUAGCUGAUGUGGCGGUGAGGGUGUUUGCAAUGUCGUGCCUGUGCAUUGCCUGUGUGUGUAAGGUGACACAGAAGGGCACUGUAUGUGUAUGCGUGUAUGCGUGCGUGUGUGUGUGUAUGCGUGUCUGUGCAUGCGUGUCUGUGCAUGCGUGUCCGUGUGUGUAUGUAUGCGUGUCUGUGUGCGUUCCCGGGAUCUCCAAUAAGCGACAUGAAAAGGCAGCACAUGUGAGCGUGCUAUCGUCAUGAUCGUUAAACUGCCCUUGGCCACUGCCCGUAACUCCCCGCCGCUCGGUACUCCAACAACCUGCCUGACAUUUCCCCCCCGCAGCAGCUCCAAGUCGUGCCGUUGUAAGAAGAGUCAGUGUCUCAAGCUGUACUGCGACUGUUUCGCGGCGGGGCAGUACUGCGGGUCGUGCUCCUGCAUCUCGUGUCACAACCGGCCGGAGCAUGCGGAUCGGGUUCUUCAGCGGCGUGAGGACAUCGCUGCGCGAGAUCCCCAGGUGGGGUGGGGAGGGGAGGAGGGAAGGAGGGGAGGAGGGGAGGGGAGGAGGGAAGGAGGACGGGGAAGGAUAGUUUGGGGGUGGAAGGGGGGAAGGCGGGAAGGGUUCAUGAAGGGCGGGGGGGGGUUAAGGGGGGGGUAAGUUAGGGUCGUGUAUGUGGGGGAGUUGGGAAUGGAUUGUGAGAGGGACAAGGGGUGACUUAGCUUUAGGAUGGGAAAUGGUAUGUUGGCAGGUUUGUUUUUGGAAGACCGGUUCGUGGGGAGGGGGGGGCGGGGUGGGGGGUGGGACAGGGAUGCAGCGGGAUGGGGUGAAUGAUGAUGAUGAUGAUAGUGUCGGUGUCGUACGCAGUCGGUUGCUCGUUAAAACGCGUAAAUGUACGGCGUCCUUUCCUUGUCGGGACGCUCGACGACAGGCCUUCACUCGGAAGAUUCAGUUGGCUCCCAACGGUAAUGGAAAGCACAAGCGUGGCUGCAACUGCCGGAAGAGCCACUGCCUGAAGAAGUACUGCGAGUGCUACCAGGUGGGCGGUUGUACGGGUGGCUGUACGGGUGGAUGCAUAGAGAUUACCAGAAUUAUAAUCGGUCGUUACCCGUGCUGCUCCGCACCGUGCAUUGAACCAUACCGUGUCACAUGGUGUGUGUGUAUGUAUGUGUGUGUGUAUGUAUGUAUGUAUGUAUGUAUGUAUGUAUGUAUGUAUGUAUGUAUGUAUGUAUGUAUGUAUGUACCAUGUGCCACAAUGUGGUUCAAUGCACGGUACGGAACAACGCGGCUGCACAUAUAUGUAUGAGUAUGUGUGUGUGUGUUGCUGGUGUGUCAGUGGGUGGGUGGGUGGGUGAGCGAUUUCAAGCAUCCUCCAGCACCUCCACCACCUCCACCACCUCCACCACCUCCACCACCUCCACCACCGUAUCGCGGCAGGCACUUGGCAUCAGGCUCUGGGGGGGAAGGGACUGUCGCAUCAUAGGGACUGUAGCAUCGACUAAACAUGUUGUGACAGAACUCACCAAGGCUCUUUUUAUUAACACACCGGGUUAGCCCGGUGUGAGGGAAAGAUGGACAAUACAGAGCGGACACACGCAGAUGGUGUCUCGGAUAGCACCUACCCGCAGCAAGGCAACUCAUGUCCCCCCGAUCGACCGACCAGCGUUUCUCCUACUCUACCAUAUUAGCGCCACACGUAUGCACAACAUAUGCGCGUGCACCGGGCCGUAAGAGCGCACUGUUCUCUCGCUCGCUCGCUCGUUCACAUACACGCACACAACACACCCUGCGGCAUGCCUGUCAUACACGACCCCACGCACCCUCCUCCCUGCCGCCUCGUGGCCACCUACCUGGUCUGGUUGCCCGCUUUCAAUGGAAUCACAAGCGACAAGGAAAGGUUGGGGGGGAUAUGUGGUCCUUGGGGAUCAGCGACCAUGCAUUCACAGACAGACAGACAGACACAGACACACAGACAGAGCCAACAUGGCGUUCGGGAAAACAGUUCAAAUCUGCUUCCAGUCACUUGUCGCCUUACAGGACAGAAGUUCCUGUAGGACUUUGAUUUGGCUGAACGUAUGUAUGCAUGUAUGUAUGUAUGUAUGUAUGUACGAACGUACGCAUGUAUGUAUAUAUGUCUCUGCCUGUGUUGCCCUCUCUUCCGAGGUCGCAGGGCGGUGUGAAGUGCGGCAUCCAGUGCACGUGUAUGGAGUGCGAGAAUAUGGACGUGGGCAGCUCGCAGGAGGGCGCUGGGUGGGUCCGGGGUGGGGGGAGGGGGGUUCGGCAUUCGGGCUUUGCGGGGGAAGGGGGGUAGGAAAGGGGGUAAGAAGCAACGUGGGGGGUCACGCGCUUCGGGAAGGGUAGGCUUUCGUUAUGGGCCGCGGGGAAGCAGGUAGUGUGUGGGGGCGGGAGAUUUAGGGUUGUGAACGAAUAACGUGGUGGCCUGGUUGACUGGCACAUAUACUGUUGAUGUUGUUACAAGUUACAAGUUACAAGUUACAAGUGCCGCACGAGUGCGGGGGUGUCCGUCAAAGCCGGGAGGCCAUGGACUAUAUGUAUUGAAAGUUGAUUACACCGUACGACCGACGGCGGCUUUUGGGUCCUGCCAACUAGACCCCUCCUCAUCCAGUCACCCAACAUCCGUAGAGACAGAUCAGCCACCACCACCAUCUGCGAAACUUAGUCCAUCAACUAGACCUCAUCUCCACACCUCAGCAGCGUUAGUAAACCUAGACCUCCCGAACAAUGUCGGGGGUCUGACCAGGAAUCGAACCCGGAACCUUCAUAUACACGAAGGCGCCACCAGACCAGACCGUUACAGGGUGGUUAAGCUUCACCAGUGGCCUCCUUCCCGAAGCAAUUCCCUGCUCUCCCCUGCUAGAGGGGCACCCUAAGCCAUUCACCCCGUCCGACUUCAGAGUGUACUCUUUGAGUUUGGCAACUCACCACCAGCAUCCAACCAAAUCUAGCGGAUCAACGGCGCGUCAACUUAGUUCCUGGUCAGCUCGCGAGUUGAUUUUAUCACGUCCUACACCGUCCACAAGAUGGGGGGCCACCUCCCAUUUCAUCGCCUCUCAAACACCCCGAGAGGUCGGCAGGCAGAUUUGAACCCGGACGCGCCGGGACGCGACGGGAGCAGAAGCCAGGCCUUAACCUCUGCCAGCCGCCUGCCUUAUACUACUGUUAUAUGUAUGUAUGUAUACAGUAUAUAUAUGUGAGAUUCGCGUGAGAUUCGCGUUCGCGUUUUUACAGUGUGUGUUUGUAUGUAUGUAUGUACCUUUGUGACAGUGUGAGUUAUUUUUUUGGGGUGUGGCGGUCGGAGCGGGAACCUGCUGGUGGGUUACGUAGCUUGACUGCCCCUGCCUGUUCACCUGUCUGUCUCUCUGUCUGUCUGUCUGUCUGUCUGUUUGGUGGGGUGGCGGGUGUUGCGAGCAAGCUAUCUGGGUUGGCAGUUCUUGCGGAGGUUCUUGCCUGCAGAGAGCGUAUGUUCAACAGGAAUUACCGAAAUGUUAACCCAUGAGAAUGGCAUAAAUACAUCACGUGAUGUGAACUUGUUUGGGUUUGUUGCAUCGCAAAGCUGCUCAAUCGCCGCCAUGACUCCACCGCUUGGUGGGAGUCAUGGGAAUAGCUAUAAAUAAGUGACUUGGGGGGGCGGGAAAAUAAGGUAAGAGGGCAACUCAUUGGGGCAGCACAUUUCUUUUUAUUGUGAUCGUUUCAGGAUGUAUAAAUGGAAAGCUGGGUGGCGGUAAAUGCAAACGCGCGCACCGGCGAUGUGCUCGUCCGCCCCAGCUUUCUCCCAUCCUGCCAGCACCCAACGAUUUUCCUGUGAACGCAGCGGAAGAGUGUACGUUUGAGUCCCUG